AUUUCAAGCAGUUACAGGCAGCCUGACGAUCCGGCGUGGUGGUGGCGGCAGCAAGAAGCUUCUUCACUCCUGCACAGCAUGGCGGUGGAGGACUGGCAUUAUUAGGAGCUUGAAGAUAAGUAAGGCAUGGAGCCAAAUCACCGGAUACAGUUCCACAUGACAAAGCAGCUUCUGCCAUAAGCUUGAAGAUAAGUAAGGCAUGGAGCCAAAUCACCGGAUACAGUUCCACAUGACAAAGCAGCUUCUGCCAUAGGCGCAAUAACUACCAUGCACAUCACCAAAGCAACACAUGCUAAUUUCAUGCUUCUUGCCAUUUUUGUUUUCUUUGUUUUCUAUUCUUUUUCUUAGUUUGUUUGAAUGGUGUGUAAUGUCUUUGUGGGAGGGGGUUUAUAUAGAAAAUAAGAUAAGGUGUGAAGAUGAAUAGAGUGAUGAAUUUUUGGUGAAUGUGCAUCAAAAUUGGGUGGUAGUUGUGAGUUCAAUUAAUGAUGUAUGGUCCAUUAUCUAUAAUUAUUGGAAUUGGAUCUCUACAAUUUUUUCUUCUCAUGUCUUCUCUCAUGUGCAAUUAUGCAUGGUUGAAUCAAUCUAAUAGUUAAAAAAUAAUAAAGAUAAAAAAAUAUCAUUUAAAAAAAUAGAGAAACAUAUGUUUAAUUUUAUUUAAUUUUUUUUCAUUUAUAAUUAGAGAAUACAAAAUAUCAUCGAAAAGACGACAACACUCAUAUAAUUUGUUGUUUCAUACGCUGUUUUUUUUUCAUUUUAAUAUCUUUAUUAAAUAAAUAUUUUUAUUUGAUAAUAAUUAAAAUAUUUAUAUAUAUAUAUANNNNNNNNNNNNNNNNNNNNNNNNNNNNNNNNNNNNNNNNNNNNNNNNNNNNNNNNNNNNNNNNNNNNNNNNNNNNNNNNNNNNNNNNNNNNNNNNNNNNNNNNNNNNNNNNNNNNNNNNNNNNNNNNNNNNNNNNNNNNNNNNNNNNNNNNNNNNNNNNNNNNNNNNNNNNNNNNNNNNNNNNNNNNNNNNNNNNNNNNNNNNNNNNNNNNNNNNNNNNNNNNNNNNNNNNNNNNNNNNNNNNNNNNNNNNNNNNNNNNNNNNNNNNNNNNNNNNNNNNNNNNNNNNNNNNNNNNNNNNNNNNNNNNNNNNNNNNNNNNNNNNNNNNNNNNNNNNNNNNNNNNNNNNNNNNNNNNNNNNNNNNNNNNNNNNNNNNNNNNNNNNNNNNNNNNNNNNNNNNNNNNNNNNNNNNNNNNNNNNNNNNNNNNNNNNNNNNNNNNNNNNNNNNNNNNNNNNNNNNNNNNNNNNNNNNNNNNNNNNNNNNNNNNNNNNNNNNNNNNNNNNNNNNNNNNNNNNNNNNNNNNNNNNNNNNNNNNNNNNNNNNNNNNNNNNNNNNNNNNNNNNNNNNNNNNNNNNNNNNNNNNNNNNNNNNNNNNNNNNNNNNNNNNNNNNNNNNNNNNNNNNNNNNNNNNNNNNNNNNNNNNNNNNNNNNNNNNNNNNNNNNNNNNNNNNNNNNNNNNNNNNNNNNNNNNNNNNNNNNNNNNNNNNNNNNNNNNNNNNNNNNNNNNNNNNNNNNNNNNNNNNNNNNNNNNNNNNNNNNNNNNNNNNNNNNNNNNNNNNNNNNNNNNNNNNNNNNNNNNNNNNNNNNNNNNNNNNNNNNNNNNNNNNNNNNNNNNNNNNNNNNNNNNNNNNNNNNNNNNNNNNNNNNNNNNNNNNNNNNNNNNNNNNNNNNNNNNNNNNNNNNNNNNNNNNNNNNNNNNNNNNNNNNNNNNNNNNNNNNNNNNNNNNNNNNNNNNNNNNNNNNNNNNNNNNNNNNNNNNNNNNNNNNNUUAAUUUUUAUGGGUUUAAAAAUAAAAAUCAAAUUUAUUUCAAUAUCCAACUGAUGAAAUUAACUAACGGUAUAAAAUUCUUUUACAUUGUUAGUGUAUAUCAAUUAAGAGUGUUUAAUUGUAUUGUUUUUGUUGAAUUUCAAUAGUUAUUUCAACCGAUGCUGAAGCUUCUCAAGAUACAAUGUUUGUGUGUAGAAGUUGAAAGGAAAAUUUGAUCAUUGGUGGAUUCCAUAACAUCCGUAAUGGGAUAUAUCAAUUCUCUUUGAGGUCGGAAGCUGAAGAUUGUUCAUUAUAUAUGAAAAUUGUGAGUUGCAAGUUUGGAAUAAAUGGCAAGUUUAAUCAUCCCAUUAGAUGGAAAAAUCAUGUUAUUUUUUGUUAUGUUGGUUUCAAUUAAAAUUUGCUUUUCAUGUAUAUCUCUUUAGAUAUGACAUUCUUAAAAUUCAUGAUUUAAACUAUAUUUAUACUUACGAUAAUAACAGUUCCAUUCUGGUUGAACUGUUUGUGCCUCAGUUUAAUUUUGCAGUUCAAUGAGUUCAAUGACUUCCUUAACAACACUCUUGAUUUUAAAGAUAAUGUCAAAGAUAGAGGGAUGCUAUGGUGGACUAAGUUUAAAACUUUUAAAGAAAAUAGCAGAAAUUGAUUAUUUUCCAUGUAAUAAUAAAACAAAAUAUUUAAAAUAUUUUUUAGUUUAUGUGAUUAAUAUAGAUUUUUAUUUAUAUUUUAUUUAUUUAUAAACCUAUCAUUAUUAAAAAUUAUUAUACAUUAUUGAGUAAUCACAAUACUAUUUAUUAAGAGUUAUUAAGAAUCAUUAUUUUUUAUAAUUAUAUUUUUUAAUCUCUUAAUAAUACUAUUUUUUUAGACUAAUGUUAAUAUAUGCCCCAAAAACAUAAGUUAAUGACUUAUUUGUAAAAAUAUUCUCUUAGAAUACGUGCAUUUAAUUUUUUAAAAUUUAAAAUAUUAUUUUAUUUCACAUAAAUUUUUUAUUUGUAGUAUCCUUAACUUAUACCUGAAAGACACAAGUUAGCAAGACCCUAUUUUUUAAUUAUUAUAUAAUUAAUCUUAAUAAAUCUACUAUCAUAAUCAGAUAGUAGAUGACCACCAAUAAAUUAAAUCCAAACUUAAACUAAGUUAAUUGUAAGUUCCACUUACUUUAAUUGUUUUGUUUUUUUCAUUUAUAAAUAUUUUCAUUUACCAAUGCUUAUUAAAUGAAAAUAAUUUAAUUAAAUAUCUUAUUUAAUUGAAACAAUUCAAAUAUUAAAUAUAAAUAUAUUCACACAACUAAUUGCAAUAAUAACAUCUUCUAAUAAACACAAAUAUACAUGUUUUUACAUUUUCCCAAUGACUUAUGUUUGUUCUUUUAUCAUAACCUUUCCUUUUACCAAAUGCAAUAAAUGACCAUUGAUUAUGAGUGAGCAUCUUGAAAACAGUUCCCUCAAUAAACUUCUCCCUAUCCAAUAAAUCCUACGAAUAACAAGUAAUUUAAAAUGUUAAAAGUAUUUUUCUUUGCUUAUUAUUAACAAAUUCAUUAUUAUUAAUUAAUUAUAUUUUAACACGAUACUAUUUUAUUUUUAUCACAAGUUAUCUCUUUUAAUCACCAAUUAUCUCUUUUAUUUUCAAAUGUCAAAAUUUAUUUUCACGGGUCACUAUCAACACAAUACUAUUUUAUUUUAAUCUCAAAAUUUUAUGUAAUAACAAUUACAAAUGAAAGUUCAAAGUUAUGCUCAAGAUAUUGUAAUGGGUUGUUGUACACCUUCUUUCAAAUCUUCAACCUUCUUUUAUAGAGGUAUAAAAAGAGUUGUUUGGGGGGUUUGAACAUAAGAGAGCAAAUUCAGUGAAGAAACAUGCCAAGAGAGACGUUGGAGAAUGUAUAUGGUUAGAAGAAUUUUCCACUAAAUAAUGGAACUAUUCACAACACCUUUUGAAGUACUGGGUAUCUACCAAAAUGUAGAACAAACUAAAGAGGUUACAUCACCAUUCCUUGAGUCUUGUAAAAUGAAACCCUAGUUUACACUGUCUAGAAAUCUGGGCUUUGACACGACUAGUCUGCUUUGGUACAAUGUACGCAUCAGAGGCUUUUCAAGUCUUCAGAGUCUGAGCUGUCAGCAAAGGAUGGGACACAUGACCAAAGUCUAAACCUUCAGAGACUGAUCAACACACUAAGAGUUAUUAGAUUUUGAUCAAUCGAAAUCAGAGUUAUAUUGCUUCUCCACAUAUGCUUUCAACAUGAUUAAUUUAGAAUGAAUUCUUUGUUUGUGAUCCUGCACACUUGAACAUAUGUUAGUAUAUUCAUUUGUUCCUUAAAAACUUUGUUAUCAUCAAAAUCCAAGGGAUAUUAACAUUCUUGUUCCAACAAUCUCCCCAUUUUUGAUAAUGACAAACUAAUGUAUUUAAGAACAAUGGUGGUCAAUUUAACUAACUUGACAACAUCAGAGUUUAAGGUUUGUAAGCUCCCCUUGAGUCUAAUAGCCCAUAGGUUAAGUUUUGUAAGCUCCCCCUAAGUCAUAUCCAAGUUAAUUUAAAAUUAUUUUAAUAAAAUAAUGUUCAAAUCAAAUCAAUAUCCAAAUAAAUAAGGGUCAGGUAAAUUAAAAGCAUUUCGAAAAAAAUAACUUUAAUCCUUUUAAAUAUUCCCAUAAAUUUCUCCCCAUUUUUUCAUCAACAAAAUGUGAGAACAUACAUGUGAGUAUAGAAGAAAACAAAAAAAUAUUUUAGGAAUGGAAAAAUAUGUGGUAAAAAUUGAAUUCUGAUAACACAUAGCAAGAACAACCUUUGCUCUUCUCAAUAAAGAGAAACAACUAUAAUGGUUAGAAUAUUUCUGCAUUUCUCAAGAUGGUCACACGUCAUUCAAGAAUAUCAACCAUCAGAAGUAACCAUUGCAGGCAUUAAAUCAUCUGAAGUUUCAUCUUCCAAUUACAACAUACAAGUCACUCAACCUCUUCUAUAAAAGCAUACCUUCAUAGACAUACUUCUCAUUUUUUCAACCAAUUAUUCUUAUCUUCAUAACAACAUGAUUUAUCCAUCAGAGAAGACUAAGAGCAUUAUCUGAAUAAAGAUCAAUGAUGAGGGUAAAAUUGUUACUAUGGAACAACACCUUUAGCAGUCCACUGAGGAGGCCUAGCCAUCUAGGUCAGCUGCUAAAAGGGGUGCCCUAAUGUAAUACCUCAAAAUUUGUCCCCCUCAUUCAUGCAUUCAUUUUUAGAUCAUUUAACAUUUCAUAUUGCAUUGCAUCGUAUCAAUCAGAAUCAGAUCCAAGAAGUUUGAAUAUCAUCCGAGACACUUUGUGGGUUCUAAUUGGGUGAUCAGUCAACACAAGGGAAUGACUUGAGUUACUUCCAACAUGUUCAAAUGGAGUCUAUUCACCAUUCAAAACACUAAUCUCGAAGGAGCAAAAAGCAGAGCCUGAACUGUCAUGCUCGCUAGGCGAGCAGAUCCUUCGCUAGGCGAAGUGCACGCGUUUUGAAAUAUAACAGAAACGUUUUGGGCUUGAGUUGCCUUCAUUUUGAGCCCACAAAGUCACAAAAAUUAGGCUAUAUAUUCUAGACUUCCAUAUCCCAAAAGGACACCGGAGAGAAUUAGAAAAAACCCUGGAAAAGAAUAGUGAGAGAAGAGCUAACAGAGUUCAGAGCAGCCCCAGAGACUGAAAGGAACUCAUCUGCAAAGAGCCAAUUCCAUCUCAUAUAAACCCUCAGAUUACUUUGCAAACCCAACCGGGCAAUUCAAUUUCAUUCGAUCCCUCCAAUCAGGUUUGCCCUAUUUCCAUUACUAUAUGCUUUCAAUUUGAAUGCUCUGAAUGUAUGAGGUAUUAUCGUUAGACUUUGCCCACGGGUUUAAAUAUGCAUGAAUGUGUAAACAAUACCUUGAAUGUUUAAUCGUUUCGUUUCUGAUGGAUACCAUAGGGUUUGGGUUGCCGAGAUCGAACUAUUAUCAAUGAAGAACCCAAAACCCGCAGGCGUUCGCUAGCACCUUCGCUAAGCCUUCGCUAGGCGAAGCAGUAGCGAGCGUGACAACAUUUGUUUUUUUUUCUGUUUUCUCUAAUCCGUUUUGUGUUCGUCAUGGCAUGUUUUCUCCUGAUUACCCCAUCGUGUUUCUCUAACCUGUUUGUUGAGUUUUUGUGAGGGCUCACAUGCUCUUGCAGGGAUAGCUUGCUUGGUAUUCCACUUUAUUUGUGGGAUACCACUUGGAGGUUUAUUCCGAUUACCUAUGCUGACUUGCUUUCUUUGAUGGUGCCAGCUUGAGAGAUCUCCGGGUUUCUUGUCUCUUUAGUUGCUGUUACUUCGGAUCUUUAUCCGUGUGGUACUUUUACAUCUUUCCCGCAUUUUACCGCUUUCUUAGCUGGAAGACCUCAAUAGGAGGNUCCCUGCAAUUCAGAGUUUGCCUCAUUUCCAUCUACUAUAUGCUUUCAAUUUGAAUCUCAUGAACUGUUCAUGCUUAUUGUAUUAUUCGUUAGACUUUGCCCACCGGUUAAAUAUGCAUGAAUAUGUUAAACAAUACCUUGAAUGUUAAUCGUUUCGUUUCUGCAUGGGAUAUCACAUAGCGGUUUGGGUUGCCGAGAUCGAACUAUUUAUCAAUGAAAGUGAACCCAAACGCCGACAGGCGUUCGCUAGCACCUUCGCCUAAGCCCUUCGCUAGGCGAAGCGCAAGCGUAGCCGAGCGCUGACAACAUGCUUUGUUUUUUUUCUGUUAUUCUCUAAUCCGUUUAGUGUUUCGUUCAUGGAUGUUUCUUUGCCCUGUCAAUCCUAAACCCCAUCGCCUGUUUCUCUUAAUCCUUGUAUGUUCGAUUUUAGUGGUCUCUCGAGGAAUGCGACAUGUGUUCAUAUGCAGGCAAUGCGAAAUUUAGUCAUUGCCUUUGGCUAUAUCAUUUAUUUGUGGGCAUUACUACUUGUGACUGUUCUACCUCAAAAACGGCAUUACCUGAUUGUCCUACAAUGACCUUGCUUUCUUUUUAUAGCGACUGCAAAGCCUUUGCACGAGAUGCGUCCGGACGUAAUUGCUUAGAGUGUUCUUCCUCUUUUAGUUGCCUGUUAUACGUCGGUAUCUUUGAUGCCGAUGUCGAUUUACUUUUACAUUCUUUCCCGAUUUUACGUCUUGUCCUUAACUGAGGAAAGUGACGCCUCCAAUAGAGCAAUAAUUUCUUAUUUUUUUGUUUUGCUUAUCCUCCUUAUGUGCAACAUAAGAUCUGCCAUGCCAGAAUUGCGAAAGUGGGACGUAUACAAUAUAGUGAAGGAUUAUUAAUCAUCCCCCGUUAUCUCAGCCUUGUGUCGCUUUUUCUAUUUAGAAUGCUUCAGACAACUACGUGUCGAUGCUCAGAACAAAAGCCCAAGAUUUUGUUCUAACAAUCCGGGUUACUUAGGCUCAGUCGUGGAUGUAGUGUCUGGCUUUCCCAACUGUUCUGAAUCCCCGAACACCUUUAUAGUCAUGCAGCUCACCGUAUCGCUCUAUGUUAAGAGCUAUGAGGUCUUAUGCUCACUUACACCGUUUUGAAUCUGCUCCCUAGACGUUCGCAAUGUCAGGUGGUUCAGAACGGCCAUUUGAUGUACUAUUCCAUGGCUGUUGCGAGGUUGAUAUGACCCGUUUUCGCUAGGAUCUAAUAGCCACUAUACCUCAUGUACUCGUUUCCUCUGUGGCCCGGUGUUGGCGUUGUCUUGAUUGCCAUAUUUUUUGGGCAUGGUGUGAUCGUCUUCCCCAUUAUGGAUUUGCUAGGGCUUCGAUUAGUGAUGGCUUCUCGUUGCGGCCCAUGUCAAUUUAUACAUGUGAGUAAGGAAUUCACCACCUGUUCCAUUGUUCUUAGGACCUUCUCCUUUAUUAUGUCACAUGAAGCAUUCCUACACUAGACUCCAACAAACAGACAAAGGCUCAUUUGAUAUUUCCCAUUAUUAUCCUACCUUAUAAGAACACUCAUUGUAGUAAUAUCCUUCUAUACUAGCAGGAUGACGAAGUAUAGCUUUCUCAAAGGUCGGAACGACACACCGGUUAGUAAAUCUUGACGUUAGUAAUGUCUCGUGUCUUGUCCAUUCUCAAAAAAACACUAAAGCCCACUUACCCGUAGUAGGGUGUCUGACCGAACUACGGCUUGCUCUGAUUCUCAUUCCAUGAGGCUCGAGAUACGUAGGCAUAAGAACGCGAUGGUGUCUUUAGCGAGCUUCACUUAACCCACUAGGUAAGCCAGCUUACGAAGACUCUGAUUGCUCAUGUUCAGAUGCAGCCAUACGAUGCGCAGUGUAUGCGACAUCCAAGUUGUCGCAUCGAUUAUAUUCAUAAUUGCCCCCCUUUUUAGUAAAUAGUUAACAUUACGAUAACCUACACUCUUUAGACAAGAACAACAAAGUGGAUCCUUAGGAUACUCGCGCCGGUCCAGGGGUGCUAAAUAUCCGUUCCUUAACGCAUAGAUCGAGCUCGCCGGAAACCCAAGAUUGAAGGUUGACGCGAGACAACCUUGUCUUUUCUGUUUGCUUCUUGUUCUAGGUUCAUUACACUCUUGAGUCGUCUUUUCCUCCUUUGAGUAUGAAAAUAACGACUUCCUUAGAGGUGUGCGCACAUACUUCUGUUCAUCAUCUUUACGUACGCCGGUUGAUAUUUUUUUCUGACCAUUUCUACCUUCUUCUUAUUCACAGUUGCGACGUAGGCGUGGCAGAUAAUUCGCGCUUGAGGGGACUACUCUUCCCUAGGAAGAAUCCCGGCUUCCUAGUCGUUUUGUUUGAUCGUGGGGUUUUUUUUUUUAUUAUCUAUUUCAUAUUAUCAUAAUUCUUUAUCAAUGUUAUGGUCAACCAAAGCUAAUCCAUAAAAAAUGUUUUUUUUGGGGGCGGACCGGGAAGGAGUGGGGGGGGGUCAGGCGUCAGGAGGGGGCGGGCGGGGGUGGGGCGACACUACGCCCGGGGCGCUGUGUUCCUAAUAAUUUGGUUUUUUGUUCGCCCACCGCCCCAGUUGGCUCGGUGUUAUUUAUUUAUGCUUUGCAUACUUAUCUGGUGUGUUGCAUCCUAUUGCGCUUUUACUGUCGUGUGUAGUGUGCUGGCUGUGUUUGUGUGUUGUCCCUGUCGGUGUUGGGGUCACAGAGGCUAAAGGCCCAAUACACAGGCCUAUCAGGGACUUUAGGACAUCUAGGAUAGAGUGAUACAUGGGAACGCGGAGUUAUGGCCGCCAAGCGCGAACAUGGUAUCAAGCAGCCAGUUCAAAUUCUGAUGGGUUUAUCGUUGCAUACCACCUGGGUAUGCAUAUGUCAGUAUUCUUGAAAGGAUUGUUUAUCCUACGUUCUCUUGACUCUUACCCUGCGCCUAGAUUACACCCGUGAGUGGGGCGGGAUGAAUCAUUUUACAGGUACUGAUGGGACUUGUUCUGUUGGUGCCGUCUCGCUGAUAGUGAUUUUGUGUGGGUCCUUGUGGUGACCGUUACGCUUCUCGAAGUAUGGGUUGCUAAAUUGAAUGACUGUGUUCUUGUUCCCGGUUCGAAUCAUGCUGAAGUUCUGAUCUGUGCCUCGUGAUAUACAACCAACCGUUUUCUGGAGCCAAAGUUUUGAUCUACGUAGUACAUUCUUCAGUGGGUUUCUCUUCAGACAGUGCAACCCAACAGAUAUUCAAGCAGAUACAACAACCUUGAUUUGCAUGUCACUGCAUUGCAUCACAUCAUUCGCAUUCAUAUCAUUCACACAUGUUUAUCCAUUUAUGUGGGGUUUAUAUCCUCUUCUUGAUUCUAGUCGGGGUUUUUCUGGUACUUUUUAAAAGGGAUAUUUUAUCUGAUGAAAGACUGGAAUCAAGGGGGUAGAAUACCUGUGGAACUGAUAAACAUGUCAUUGCAUUUGCAUAUUCAUUAGCAUGUCUUGCAUAACAGGUACCGUCGCAGUGUUCUCAGUUUGUUAGGUAUUCCACUGGUAGGAUAGUUGACUUAGGCAUUCACUGAUACGGUACCCGAAGGAAUCAACGAUGAAGAUGGGGAUAGUGAUUGCGACAUCGAUAACUGGUUGCGUCUGAGGAUCCCGGGUGAAGUUCUCCGCAACUGGUCUUCUGAAGAGAUUAUCCAAGUCACUCUUCUUGAAGAGUAAUUUUCUUUGUUUAUUCAUGCAUAUCCAAGUCUUACGUUCCGCCCAGAGCGUAAUGACUCAUUGUAGGGCUCAUCUAUGCGAAUACCUGCAUUUUUUAUCAUCAAUAAAGGACGUCUUUUUGCAUUCAAAUAUUUCGUUCACUGUUUUCCAUUUUUGCAGUUUUCAAAAAUCAAAAAAUAUUUGGCAAUGUUUUGUUUAGUUUUCAUUUUUUCACACUCAUAAGCACAUACCAUCACUCAUGCAGAUGCGCAUCACCGGAUCCUAUUGAUAACGAUUCUGCUAUGGCUCGCUUCGACUUUGAAAAUCCAAUCUUUCAAGCUGAAGAAGGGGGUGAUGAAGACUGUGAACUCCCUGAAGAACUUACCAGGCUAUUAAAACAGGAAGAAAGGGUCAUUCAACCGCAUCAAGAGUCUGUGGAAGUGAUUAAUCUCGACACCGAGGACGUCAAGAGAGAAAUCAAGAUAGGGGCGUCUUUGGAAGAUAAUGUGAAGAAGGGGUUGAUUGAAUUGCUGCAAGAGUAUGUUGACAUCUUUGCUUGGUCUUAUCAGGACAUGCCAGGGCUUGACAUAGAUAUUGUGGUACACCGUUUGCCUCUCAAAGAAGGUUGUCCUCCGGUCAAGCAGAAGCUAAGAAGAACAAGACCAGAGAUGGCUGUCAAGAUAAAGGAAGAAGUGCAGAAACAGUUGGAUGCAGGGUUCCUAGAAAUGCAAACAUUGUUCUAGUACCUAAGAAGGAUGGAAAGGUACGGAUGUGUGUCGACUACCGGGAUCUGAACAGAGCUAGCCCUAAAGAUGAUUUCCCAUUACCUCACAUCGAUGUUUUGAUAAAGAACACAACUCAGUUCUCGGUAUUCUCCUUCAUGGAUGGCUUUUCUGGCUAUAAUCAAAUUAAGAUGGCACCAGAAGACAUGGAGAAGACAACUUUCAUAACCCCAUGGGGCACCUUCUGCUACAAGGUGAUGCCGUUUGGUCUGAAAAAUGCCGGAGCAACAUAUCAGCGAGCGAUGGUGACUCUGUUCCAUGAUAUGAUUCAUCAUGAAAUCGAGGUUUAUGUGGACGAUAUGAUUGCCAAAUCUCAGACAGAAGAAGAACAUUUGGUGAAUUUGCAGAAACUGUUUGAGCGUUUGAGGAAAUUCAAACUGAGACUUAAUCCGAACAAGUGCACUUUCGGGGUGAGAUCGGGAAAAUUGUUGGGUUUUAUUGUUAGCGGAAAAGGGAUUGAGGUGGAUCCUGACAAAGUGAAAGCAAUACAGGAAAUGCCUGAGCCAAGAACAGAGAAGCAAGUCCGUAGUUUCUUAGGGAGGUUGAACUACAUUGCAAGGUUCAUCUCUCACCUAACAGCCACGUGUGAGCCAAUAUUCAAAUUGUUGAGAAAAGAUCAGGCUAUCAGGUGGAAUGAUGAUUGUCAAAGGGCGUUCGAGAAGAUAAAAGAGUAUUUGCAGAAUCCUCCUAUCCUUGUGCCUCCGGUCCCAGGGAGACCGCUGAUUAUGUAUUUGACAGUACUAGACAAUUCCAUGGGUUGUGUUCUCGGUCAACACGACGAGACAGGUAGGAAAGAGCAUGCCAUCUACUACCUGAGUAAGAAAUUCACAGAUUGCGAGUCGAGAUACUCAAUGCUUGAAAAAACAUGUUGUGCACUUGCAUGGGCUGCUAAGCGAUUGAGACAAUACAUGCUGUCUCACACAACCUUACUGAUCUCCAAGAUGGAUCCAGUCAAGUAUAUAUUUGAGAAGCCAGCUCUCACCGGAAGAGUUGCUCGUUGGCAAAUGGUACUGACAGAGUACGACAUCCAGUAUACAUCCCAGAAAGCCAUCAAGGGGAGUAUUCUGUCAGACUAUCUUGCUCAACAGCCGGUUGAAGAUUAUGAGCCGAUGAAGUUUGAUUUUCCAGAUGAAGACAUCAUGUUCCUCAAGAUGAAAGACUGUGAAGAGCCAGUUGUUGAGGAGGGACCUGAUCCAGACGAAAAGUGGACUUUAAUGUUUGAUGGGGCCGUCAAUGCCAAAGGAAGUGGAAUUGGUGUUGUCAUUACCACUCCGAAAGGUGCCCACAUGCCUUUCACCGCUCGUCUGACUUUUGAGUGCACCAAUAAUGAAGCUGAGUAUGAAGCCUGUAUCUUGGGUAUUGAGCAAGCCAUUGAUUUGAGAAUCAAGACUUUGGACAUCUUCGGAGAUUCAGCUCUGGUAAUCAAUCAAGUGAAUGGUGAUUGGAACACUCUCCAGCCUACUCUGGUCCCCUACAGAGAUUACACGAGAAGACUGUUGACUUUCUUCACAACAGUAAAGCUGUACCAUAUACCUCGUGAUGAGAACCAGAUGGCAGAUGCUCUUGCUACUCUAUCCUCCAUGAUCAAGGUGAUCCGUUGGAACCAUGCUCCCAAGAUCGACGUGAUGCGCCUUGAUAGGGCCGCGUAUGUGUUUGCUGCUGAACUGGUAGUUGAUGACAAGCCCUGGUAUCACGACAUCAAGUGCUUUCUGAAGAAUCAAGAGUACCCUGCAGGGGCAUCCAACAAUGAUAGAAAGACUUUGAGAAGAUUGGCAGGCAGUUUCUUCUUGAACAAAGACGAUGUGCUGUAUAAGAGGAACUUCGACAUGGUUUUGCUCAGAUGCGUGGACAGACACGAAGCAGACAUGUUAAUGCAGGAAGUUCAUGAAGGCUCCUUCGGUACUCAUGCCGGCGGACAUGCAAUGGCUAAGAAAUUGUUGAGAGCGGGAUAUUACUGGAUGAUCAUGGAAUCUGAUUGUUUCAAAUAUGCUCGGAAGUGCCAUAAAUGCCAGAUUUAUGCUGAUAAGGUACAUGUGCCGCCAAAUCCUUUGAAUGUGAUGUUUUCGCCGUGGCCUUUUGCUAUGUGGGGCAUCGAUAUGAUUGAAAAGAUUGAGCCGACCGCCUCCAAUGGGCACCGCUUCAUCCUUGUUGCCAUCGACUAUUUCACCAAGUGGGUCGAAGCAGCAUCAUUCGCGAAUGUCACCAGACAUGUGGUCGCCCGAUUCAUCAAGAAAGAAAUCAUUUGUCGCUUUGGGAUUCCCGAAAGAACCAUUACUGAUAAUGGUUAUAAUCUCAACAACAAAAUGAUGAAGGAGUUGUGCCAGAACUUCAACAUUCGGCAUCACAAUUCUUCCCCUUACCGCCCUAAGAUGAACGAUGUUGUUGAGGCGGCAAAUAAGAACAUAAAGAAGAUCGUGUAGAAGAUGGUCGUUACAUACAGAGAUUGGCAUGAGAUGCUACCCUUCGCCUUGCAUGGGUACCGUACUUCAGUACGUACGUCGACCGGGGAAACCCCUUACUCCCUCGUGUAUGGUAUGGAAGCAAUCCUACCUGUUGAAGUGGAGAUUCCUUCUCUAAGAGUCCUGUUGGAUGUCAAGUUGGACGAAGUUGAAUGGAUUCGAACAAGGUUCAAUAAGUUGAGUCUUAUCAAAGAGAAGCGAAUGGCAGCCAUUUGUCAUGGGCAGUUGUAUCAGAGUCGGAUGAAGAGAGCCUUUGAUCGAAAAGUGCAUCCUCGGUGUUUACAAGUUGGAGAGUUAGUGUUGAAAAUGAUCCUUCCUCCUCAAACAGAUCACAGGGGCAAGUGGACUCCUAACUAUGAUGGACCGUAUAUUGUCACCAAGAUUUUUGAUGGUGGAGCCUUAAUGCUUGCAACGAUGGAUGGUGAAAACUUCACUUCCCCUGUGAACUCAGACGCAGUUAAAAAAUACUUCGCAUAAAAUAGACCCGCUGGACAGUAAAAAGAAUAGUCCAGGCAAAAAAUGGGCACCGAGAACAAGAAAUGAAAAGUUCGAGCAAAAUUAGGGAUUAAAAUAAAAGAUCGACACCGGUAAGUGAAAACCUGAAAAGGCACUUAGGCAAAGUACCGGUGGAUUGAAAACCCGAAAGGGAUCAGCAAAAGUUAGGGAUUAAGAAUGACUGCGUUCUGAGUAGUUUCUGAAAUCUCAUCUCGUGAAUGACUGAACUUUUGAGGAUAGGAAACAUAAUAUCUUUUAUAAGCUGAUAUAUUGAGAUCUUGAAGCGACAAGUAUAGCUAGAUGGAACCCAUAGAAUCAUUUACAUUGAUUAGAUUAAUUUUGUUUUAUCUUUUGUCGAUACUUUCAGGGAUGGCAUUCUGAUUAAAUGCUAUUUAGAGCGCAGUCAAUCAAUAAAUCAUGUCAUUCAGUACAUACUGUGUCCAUUUUCAUUUUAUGUUUCUGUUGUGCCAAAAAUGACGUGAAUUUUGAUAACUAUUGCAUACAUGAAACAUAAGAGCUUAAGGUACAGAUGCUUAAUAGAACAUUUAAAUUUCUGUAAAUUCUAAAGUGCUUCGGAAUAUCUAUACAUCAACUCGGGGCAUUACUUAGUUCCAUCGAUGAUGCGACAGUUUUCCCCUAACAGUCGAAGUUGGUAUUUGCCCUGCAGAAUGAUCAGAGCAUUGGAUUCUUCGAUCCCCAAGGGCCUCACUGUUGUACCUCCCCCAAGCGGUUGUUCAGAAUAUACAUCCCAGUAGUUUGACGGUGCCCAGAAUAUAUAUCCCCAGCGAUUGAACAGUGCCAGACUGUAUCUUGCACGAGAGCGGCUGUCCUGCAGGGUUCGAUGCCAGAUCGAUGAUCUCGACGCCAGAUCCAUGGUCUCUUUUCUUGAAGCAGAAUCUCGGUACCGUAUCGGUGUUGCUCCCCUGCUAAGGGUUCUCUCUCGGCAAUUAUUGGUUUGCCAGAACAUUACGCUUCCCCAACAGCAGGUUUUCAGUGCCCGUUCUCUCCUAGUUCAGAGUCUUGGUAUUCACAUUGCUAGAACUACUGUGUGGCGGAUAUUUCCAAGAGUUCUUGUGCUAGCAUCUCCAACAGCGCUCUGUCAGGGCAGGAAGUGGUGAUCAUUUCCCCGCAGAUUCCCUUGCUCAGCUUGGCAUUCUACAAGUAUUUACCAUCCUUGCAUGUAGAUCAAAUUGCAUUUUGCAUCUCCCAAAUCGGUAGAUUUCAUUUUCCAUGGAGCAUUACGCCAUUUGAGAAAAAUUCAAAACGCAUGUAAGCAUAAAACAUUCGUAUGCCCAAGUGAUAAGCCAGAAGUUGUUUCCAGUACUCAGACUGAAGAUUGUUCAUGACUUACCUUUAUUAUCCCCAGCAAGUGUCAUUGGCCCAUGCGCCGCCUCUAUUAUCUUUCCCUAUUUAUGCCGAUGCCGACAGGCAUGAAGUUUCCGAUAUUCAGACCGAAGUGGCGUUCAGGCCAAGUUUCCGGUAUUCAGACCGAAGUGACGUUCAAGCCAGUUUUCCGAUAUUCAGAUCGAAGAAGUUUCUGACGUUCAGGCCAGUUUUCCGAUGUUCAGAUCGAAAAAGUUUCCGACGUUCAAGUCGAUGCAACUUGUGGCAUUCAGGCCAAUUUUCCGAUAUUCAGAUCGAAGUGGCAUUCAGGCCAAUUUUCCGAUAUUCAGAUCGAAGUGGCAUUCAGGCCAAUUUUCCGAUAUUUAGAUCGAAGUGGCAUUCAGGCCAGUUUUCCGAUGUUCAGAUCGAAGCUGUUUCCGACAUUCAGGUCGACGCAACUUGUGGCAUUCAGGCCAGCCUCUCGGUGUUCAGACCGAUAUUAUCAACCUCAUAUCUUCCAAUGUUCAGAUCAAAGUCAUUUCCAGUAUUCAGACUGAUGAGCGGCAUUCAAGCCAUGGUUAUUUCUGUGUUACCAUUUAUUUUGGUAUCCAGGUUAACAUUCUUUUUCGGUAUUCAGACUGACUCUCCACCGUUACCAGACGGAUUCUUCUUUCAAGACCACCUCUUUGCGAUUCUGACAGGCAUUGUUACUUCACUUCACUUCAGUGCAAAUUUUCGGGCUUUUAUUGUAUUCAAUCCCUUGAUACCUCGAAAGUGCGAAAGCCGCUGCUAUCUUCUUUUCGGGUCUCCAGUUGAUUGAAUAGGGGCAACUGUAAUACCUCAAAAUUUGCCCCCCUCAUUCAUGCAUUCAUUUUUAGAUCAUUUAACAUUUCAUAUUGCAUUGCAUCGUAUCAAUCAGAAUCAGAUCCAAGAAGCUUGAAUAUCAUCCGAGACACUUUGUGGGUUCUAAUUGGGUGAUCAGUCAACACAAGGGAAUGACUUGAGUUACUUCCAACAUGUUCAAAUGGGGUCUAUUCACCAUUCAAAAUGCUAAUCUCGAAGGAGCAAAAAGCAGAGCCUGAGCUAUCAUGCUCGCUAGGCGAGCAGCAUGGUUCGCUAAGCGAAGCUGAACUGUCAUGCUCGCUAGGCGAGCAGAUCCUUCGCUAGGCGAAGUGCACGCGUUUUGAAAUAUAACAGAAAAGUUUUGGGCUUGAGUUGCCUUCAUUUUGAGCCCACAAAGUCACAAAAAUUAGGCUAUAUAUUCUAGACUUCCAUAUCCCAAAAGGACACCGGAGAGAAUUAGAAAAAACCCUGGAAAAGAAUAGUGAGAGAAGAGCUAACAGAGUUUAGAGCAGCCCCAGAGACUGAAAGAAACUCAUCUGCAAAGAGCCAAUUCCAUCUCAUAUAAACCCUCAGAUUACUUUGCAAACCCAACCGGGCAAUUUAAUUUCAUUCGAUCCCUCCGAUCAGGUUUGCCCUAUUUCCAUUACUAUAUGCUUUCAAUUUGAAUGCUCUGAAUGUAUAAGGUAUUAUCGUUAGACUUUGCCCACGGGUUUAGAUAUGCAUGAAUAUGUAAACAUUACCUUGAAUGUUUAAUCGUUUCGUUUCUGAGGGAUAUCAUAGGGUUUGGGUUGCCGAGAUCGAACUGUUAUCAAUGAAGAACCCAAAACCCGCAGGCGUUCGCUAGCACCUUCGCUAGGAGAGCCUGCAGCGAAGCUUCGCUAAGCCUUCGCUAGGCGAAGCAGUAGUGAGCGUGACAGCAUUUUUUUUGUUUUUUGUUUGCUCUAAUCUGUUUUGUGUUCGUCAUGGCAUGUUUUCUCCUGAUUACCCCAUCGUGUUUCUCUAACCUGUUUGUUGAGUUUUUGUGAGGGCUCACAUGCUCUUGCAGGGAUAGCUUGCUUGGUAUUCCACUUUAUUUGUGGGAUACCACUUGGAGGUUUAUUCCGAUUACCUGUGCUGACUUGCUUUCUUUGAUGGUGCCAGCUUGAGAGAUCUCCGGGUUUCUUGUCUCUUUAGUCGCUGUUACUUCGGAUCUUUAUCCGUAUGGUACUUUUACAUCUUUCCCACAUUUUACCGCUUUCUUAGCUGGAAGACCUCAAUAGGAGGCAAUGUUUUCUUUUGUUUGUUUACUUUUGUGCCCAAAGACCUCCAUGCAGAGGAAAUUGACGGAUAAAAGGGAUUAUUAAUCAUUCCCCCGUUAUUCAGUGUGUCGUUCUUUAUGCUCACACUACGUGUCGACGCUUCAGAACAAAAGCCCAAGAUCUUUUGUCCGGUCAGUCAGUGGAUAGGGUUCCACCUUUCUGAAUCCCCACUUUUUGUCAUGAGCUCACCCUGUCCAGGGUUAAGAGCUAUGAGGUCUUAUCCUCAUUAUCCUUUUGAUCUGCUCACCCUGACGUUCAACGUCAGUGGUUAAGAGCCCAUUUGAUUACCUAUUCCAUGGCUUGUUUGUCGAGGUUGAUACGACCCCUCUUGACUAAAGCCCUACCCAUGUAUGUUUGAGCCCCCUUGUUGGCGUGUUUGCUUUAUGCAUAUUUAUUUUGUAUGGUGUGAUCGUCUCCCGAUAGGAUUGCUUGGCUUUGUAUAGUCUCUCGUUGCAUGUUAAUUAAGGUAGCAUUGUUCCUUCGUUUAUGACUUCCUUUUUGCAUGAGCAUUCCUAAAACACAAACAAACUCAUUGAUUUUUCUUCUCCUAAGAACACGUUAACUCCUUCUACUACAGGCGAGUAAGUAUCCAAAGGUCGAGCAUCCGGUAGAUUGCAUAGUAACGUCGUUCAUCUAAAAAACACAAUCCUUAACCCGUAGGUAGCCGAACUACGGCUUGCUCUGAUUCUCAUUCCAGAUGAGAUACGUAGGCAUAAGACGCGAUGUCUUAGCGAGCACACUCCUCUUUAACCCAUAGGUAGAGCUACGAAGACUCUGAUUCUCAUGUUCAGAUGAGAUACGUAUGCAGUGGAUGCGACAUCCGUGCGAGUCAUUUUCUUUUGACCCCCCUUUUAGUAAAUAGUACAUUAGAUAAACCUACACCCUUUAGACAAGAACAACAAAAGUGGAUCCCGUAGAGUACUAUGGAUGCGUAGGGGUGCUAAUACCUUCCCUUCCCAUAAUCGGCUCCCGAACCCAAGAUUUGGUUGCGAGACCUUGUCUUUUCCUUUCCUCUUUUCAGGUUUACUUCGAGCAUUUCCUUUCCCUCCUUUGGGAUAAAUAACCCACGGUGGCGACUCUUCUGUCAUCUCUUUUCUCGUCGGUUGUUUUUUUCGCAUUCCUUUUUUCAGGUUGCGACACCUAAGAGUAAGGAAGCCUGAGAAGAAGAAGAAGAAGAAGAUGAAGAAGAAAAAGAAAAGAGUUCCAAGAAGGAUGUUUUUCUACGACUCAGAUGAAGGAAGUGAGGAGCGUGUUGCUGACUAGGAGGAUUCUUUUGUAGCUAGGGAUUAUUGUUCUGAUCUGGACAAACUUAUGUAACCUCAAAAAUAUUGUACUCUUUCCAAAUGAUUAAUGGAAAAAAUUCCCUUUUUGCAAUGAUUUUUCUAAUUAAUUGUUUCAUUUGAAUGCGUUAAUCGUUCAAGAGAUAUUCAAAAAUAAUUAAUCCAAAGAAUAAUACAAAGAAAGCAAGGAUUAUUUCUAACAAUUAUCAGAUAAGGAAUAAUAUUUCCCAUAAAAUAUAGCUUAGAGAAAAUCACAUAAGCAUAAAAAAUAUAUCAUGUUGUCAUACCCUAAUUUUUAACCCUAAGAUCCCACAUAUCAUUUGCAUCCUUGUAUAUAAACAAGAUCACAUCUUUGUCCCCUCCCUCUCAUCCUUUGGGUUUGCCUUUUGUAAGGAUCAUCAAGCACCUAUUUGUUGGUGUUUUACCUUUGUGCUUAUAUAUUCAUUACUUAUUUAACCACUAAUCAAAAUAGCAAAAAAAAUAUGUCUUGUUUCCUUUAAAUUUAUUGUGCAAGGUAAGACUUUUCAUUAAGAGCAUCAAGCAUGACUCCUCAGCUUGGGUUUUGUUGAUUCCUCGAGUCAAAGUGUGUUCAAACAUUGAUUAUCAAGGUGAUAUCUAUCAAAGCAUGAUCUCUAAUAUCCUCAAGCAUCUUUCAAUCUCAUUUGGAUCAAGAGCAACUCAAAGUCUCGUUGCUUAUUUAUCAAGAAAAGUCAAAGGUUCAUGUGUUUAUUUCCUUCUUCAACAAGUUACCUCAAAAUUUGAGAAAUUUAAUCAAGAUGAAUUCAAGGAAACCUUAUUUUGAGUUCAUAUGAUCAUCCAUGUACCUUUAAAUGCAAGAAAGGUCUAAGUACACAAGUUUAUUCCAAGAGGUUUGACUAAAAAGUCAACAUCUGAAGUCAAAGUUCAAAGGAUCACAACUCCUUCAAUUCUCAAUAUUUUUGAAUGCUUUUUUUUUGCAUAUGAUUCUUAUCAUUAUACUUUAAAACUUAUCUUUACAUGACAAAAUCCAAUUAUUCUUGGAGGAUCAUCAAAUGUUUGGAGACAUUAUAAGUCAUUUGUGGACUUGGUGAAAUUUGACCUAUUUUCAAGUGACUUUUUCUCAACUCUCAAGGAUUACAAAUCUUUCAAUUUUUAACAUUUGAGGUUGAUUAUUUUUGCACAAUAUCAUUUUUGAUGCCCUCUACAAGUUUUAUUCAAGGAUAGAAGUAAAACUAUGCUUGGAACGCCAUGGAAUUCUUUGAGACAUUAUAGGUCAUUUUCAUCCAUUUGGGACUUAGAUUUUGCUAAGUUACAUUACCAGAUUUUCGUGCCAACUUCAACGUGUCACAACUUUGUGCUCAAGCAUCCAAAUGAGACCUUUCUUGGAAUAUUGUAAUCUUUUAUAUGAUGCCAACAAAUUGCAAGAAGAAUGGGAUCAAAGAGCCUCCUGAGCAAGAUGCCCCAGUGAGUUAAACAUGGUGACUUAGAACUAAAAAAAUCACCAUGAUCCAAAUUUUGAACUUCACUAAUCUCAAUUGCAAGCCAAGUUACCAUGCAUUUUGGACCUAAACAUGUUCAAUCAAGUCUCCGAAAGUUAAUUGACUCUUAAAACACAUCAUUUGGAUGAGUUUUGAUGGUUUGCAAGUCACACUUUUCUUACAUUCUGAUCAAAUUCGUUUUGCACGAAUUGAGUAUCAUUUCACAUGUAUUUGGAUCCCAACACAUUCCCUGUAAAUAGAGCAACAUGCUUGUUUCAUUCCUAAGCUUUUGAGAGCCAAGAAACCCCUGUUUCACUAUGAAAUUUUUCCAAAAAAUUGAGCUAUGGUGUUUUGAAUUCCAACUUGUUUCAAUCCAAUUUCUUGAUUCCAUUAGCAUCUUCGGUCUUCUAUGAAGCUUUUGCAACAAUUCUCAAGCUCUGAGACCUUCUAAAGUGACCUUCUAAAGUAUCAUUUGGACAAGAUAAUUAUGAGCAUCAUUUAAACUCAAACAAGUUACCACAAUGUAGUCCUCCUCUCUUUGAUACUUUCCCCUAACUUAUCUGGUGUUGAUUGAUCAUGUUCAUUAUUUAAUUUUAUUCUUCGUGGCUUGCUUGUUUAUGAAACUUCUCUGAAAUUCUCCAUACUCAGAUUAGAUAAAUGAAUUUUGGAGCAUGCAGUUGAAUUCGUGGUGAGGAGGCGAUCACAUUGAUGGUAGUCCCGUACUCUGAAUUUGAAAAACGAUGAAACUUCGGUGAGGGAUCAUCAGGGAAGAUGGCCGGAGUUAUCUCAAGUCAUCUGAGUUUUCUUACACGUUGGCAAUUUGAAAUAUUCUGAUUAAUCCAUUUUGAAUUAGAUCUCGUGUUUUAUCUUGUCUAAUGUUCAUCGUGCACCCUAGCCCGAGGAUUGUUGGAUCUGCCACGUCAAUUAAUGAGGCAAGAUCUAACGCUCAGUGUUUUUUCUGAUUUUAUCUCUUUUUAUUUUUUCAUUUUUAAUUGCAUUUUAUUUUAAAAUUCAUAGUAAAUUUAUUUUUCAUACAAAAAAUCGCAAAAUAAUUUCUAAAAUUAUCUUUUAUUUUUCUUCAUCUGAUUUUUAUUUUUCCAUAUUUUAUUUUCUUGAUUUCCUAUUUUUCUCAAAUUUUCUCUUUUCUCAUUUGUUUUAAUUGGUUUAAAAAUACUUUUAGGCAUUUAAAUUUUCUGAAAAAUUUAUUUUAUGUCUCUUAUUUUAUUUCCAACCUUCCAUAAUUUUCUUGGCCAUUUAUUUGGUGUUUUGAAGGGCUUUAUGGAUUUUCUCUUUUAUUUCCCUUUUAAAAUUCAUUUUAAAAAUAUUAUUAAUGCAUUUUCUUUUAUUUUCUUGUAUUUUAUAUUUGUUUGACCUUUGUUUAUUUCUGUUGGCCUUGGAUCAUGGUUGUUUUGAUCAUAGGUUUCAUCAAAUUUAAUGGAUCUCUGGUGUUGAUGGGGUUAAAACCCUAAUUCACCAAAAUGGAUGAUUGAUUUUGAUGAUGACUUGAUCAAUCCUUUGAUCCAAUUUGGGUUUGGCUUAUCUUCUUCUUCUUUAUCCCGUUCUUCUCUUUUUUUUCUUGAUCAAUUGGAUGGUUUGUGUCCAUCUUGUUCAUGAUGUGUGGAUUGAUAUUUGAUGAACUUUCAUCAUUUCAAAUGUACCUCUUAAUUGAUCAUGGAUCAUUUAAGGUAAUUUUUUAUGAUCUUUUUAAUUUUCCUUCAUGAUUUGAGGACGCUUCGGCCAUAAUGUGACCUUCUUUUGCAUAAUGGUAGCAUGUACUUCUACCCUUAUUUUUCUUCUUCUCAUCUUCCUUUGAGGAAUUUAACAACCAUUUGGGAUUGCCAUGAUCCUUCUUUUUGGAUUACUUAUUUCUUUGUUCCCACAUAUAUCUAUUGUACUUUUUGAUAAACAACCUCAUAUCUUCUUCAUUGGAGUCUUCGUUAUCUUUAGUUUCACAAUCACUAAGCUCAUUAUUUGAGGUUUUUUAACUCAAAGUAUUUAGAGCAAUGGACUUUUUCUCUUCCACCUUGUCUUUACCUUUCUUUUUCUUCAUCUUUUUUUCAUACUUUUUUUCCAUGUUGUUCCAAGAAAGUGAGUUCUUGCUCAUGUUCUUCCAAUUUAUCAAACAAAGUAGUAAAAUCAAGUGCUUUAAGAUCAUCCACUUCUUUAAUCAUGAUGACCUUUGGUUGUCAUUCCCUGUUAAGACAUCCUAAAUCUUAGUUAGUAACAAUAGCAUUGAAGAUAAGAUUACCUAGAGCAUUCAAUCUAUUAAUAAGAUAUGUGAAUCUCUUUUGCAUUUCGGAAAUGGUUUCACCAUACUUCAUACGAAAGAGUUCAAACUCUUGGUUUAAUUUGUAGAUUCUAGCUUGUUUGACUUCAUUAGUUCCCUCAUGGGCAACUUCUAAUGCGUCCCACAUAGAUUUAGCGGUUUCACAAUGAGAAACACGAUAAUAAUCAUCAACACCUAAAGCAGAUAUGAGAUUUUUUUUUGCUUUCCAAUCAUGUGACCAUAACUUUCUAUCAUUAUCAUUCCAUUGACCUUCCAGUCUUGGUAUGAUGAAACCUUCACCAUUGGCCAUUGUAAUUUUUUAGGACCAUUGAUGAUGACGUCCCAUACACCCUUAUCAAUGGAGUUGAUAUGGAUAUGCAUACAAGCUUUCCAAUAGCCAUGAUUUUCACUGGUGAAAUAGGUGCUCUAUUAUACGGCCCUUUAGGUUCAGUAGCCAUUAUCUAAUAAGAAAAUCUUAAGACCAAAAAUAAUUGGAGCUCGUGAUAUCACUUGUUAGACGAUAGACCUAGAUCUAGAGGGGGAGAUGAGAGAGAGUACACAAGAUUGCUUAAGCAGUUCCCAAUCGAACUCACUAUGGUAUGUCUGCGCCUCAAUUCAAAUUCGAAUUAAGUAUUAAAUAAUAAUCUACUUUGCAAUGUAUUUGUACAAGAGAUGUGAAAUUAAAUCCAACAAACCUAACUUUAUUUUUGACUCUAGCACCUCCAAAAACCUUGAUCAAAUAUUGAUCAAGACACAACAAUGCCACUUCAAUUCACGCUUGUUGUGCUACUUCUUGGCACCGGCCUCAUUGUCUCAAGGCUUUCACCGCGACUGAAUUAAUCCCAAGAGAAAAACCUUUUAAACCCAAGAUUUGCAACACAAUCCACCGUUUCACGCUACUUCUUGCACAACACACCUAGUCCAAGGAUUUCACUCGAUCUGAUCUGAAUUGCAUAACUUUGUCCAAAAUCUUCAAACCCUAAAUAUCUUGAAGGAAAAAUCCCACAUCGGUUUUUAUAUUUAAUCCUCAAAGAUCUUAACCCAAUAUUCUCGGUACAAUAACCUAAUUAGACGUUCUCAAUCCUAAUCUAAAUAGGCACAAAAUCAAAAAAGAUAAUAUGUAGUUUGAUUGUGUGUAUGCAUAGUUUGAAUUGAAGAUAAUGAGUUGCUUUGAAUCCUGAUUCAUGUAACGUUUUAAUCACUCUAAAAACCUUACUAGAGAAUGAUGGCAUGUACCUAUGUAUAUAUAUAUAUAUAUAUAUAUAUAUAUAUAUAUAUAGUAUAUUAUAAUAUAUUAUAUAUAUAUACUAUAUUAUAUAUUAUAUAUAUAUAUAUAUAUAUACUAUAUAUAUAUAUAUAUAAUAUUAUAUAUAUAUUAUAUAUAUAUAUAUAUAUAUAAUAUAUUAUAUAUUAUGGUCAUUCUGAAGACUCGGCACGGUGAAGNNNNNNNNNNNNNNNNNNNNNNNNNGGGGGGGAUAUAUCCAAGUAAAAUUUAUUUGAUAACCUUUGAAUAAAAAAUCAUAAGUGUGGAAACUAAGUUUCAAAUUAUUUCUAGAUCAAAAAUCGUCCGAACGCGCACCUACUAUUGAAUGAGCUCAGAUAUCGUAAAGUGUCAAAUGGUAUGUUAAAUCCACAAGUUGAUAACAAAUACUUUAAACAACAAAUUAAUACUCCAUUAUGUAAAGGGUAUAUCCCAAUGAAAUAAGAAACAAAAAACAGAGUUGAGACAAUUUUUCAAAACACUUUGCAUGCGAUCAAUAAAUUUGAUUUUAGUAAUAGUGUUGUAUUUUAGACAAUACAAUCACUACAAAUGUAUAUGAAUUACUACAACAAUACAAAUUUAACAAAUGCUUCAAAAAUUAUCAUCCAAACAACUGUUGAUAAGGGAUCAAAGUAAUCAAUAAUUUGCGAAACAAAAAAUAAAAGAUAUAUAUAUAUACUAUAUUAUAUAUAUAUAUAUAUAUAUAUAUAUAUAUAUAUAAUAUAUAAUAUAUAUAUAUAUAUAUAUCAUAUAUAUAAUAUAUAUAUAUAAUAUAUAUAUAUAUCUAUAUAUAUAUAUAUAUAGUAUAUAUAUAUAUAUAAUAUAUAUUAUAUUAUUAUAACGAUACGAGAGAGAGAGAAGAGAGAGAGAGAGAGUACACACACACCCCAUGGCACGCAUUCAUUAUCGUUAGAGCCGUUAGGAAAGAGUACACACACCUCCUCUUCUCUCUCUCCUCUCUUCUCUACCUAACACAGUAUACUAUAAAAUAUAUAUAUAAUAUAGUAAUAUCUAUAUAUAUAUAUCAUAUAUAGCUAUAAUGAUAAUAUAUUACAUAAUAUAGAUAUAUAAUAACUAUGACUAUAUAAUAUAUAUAUAUAAUAUAUAUAUAUAUAUAUUAUAAUUUAUAUAUAUAUAAAAAAUAUCUUUUAUAUUUGUGUUCGCAAAUUAUUGAUACUUUGAUCCCUUUAUCAACAUUGUUGUUUGAUGAAAUUUUUGAUCAUUUGUAAAUUGUAUUGUUGUAGUAUCAUAUACCAUUUGGUAGGAUUGUAUUCUGAAGAAUCUACAAACACUAUACUAGUAAACUCAAACUUUAUUGAUGCGCAAUGCAAAGUGUUUGAAAAAUUGUCUCAACUAGUUUUUUGUUCUUAUUAUUCAUGGGAUAUACCUUUACUAUAAUGGAUAUUAAAUUUGUUGUUUAAGUAUUGUUAAUCAACUUGUGAUUAUAACAUACAUACACAGCCGUUUACGCAUAUCACAUAUAGUAGGUCGGUCGACGAUUUUGAUCUAGGAAAUAUUUGAAACUUGUUUCCACACUAUUAAUUUUCUAAUAUAAAUUUUCAAAUAAAUUUAGGGAUAUAUCCCCCCCCCCCCCCUUAGAUCUAGGUCUAUCGUCUAACAAGUGAUAUCACGAGCUCCAAUUAUUUUGGUCUUAAGAUUUUCUUAUUAGAUAAUGGCUACUGAACCUAAAGCCGUAUAAUAGAGCACCUAUUUCACCAGUGAAAAUCAUGGCUAUUGAAAGCUUGUAUGCAUACCAUAUCAACUCCAUUGAUAAGGGUGUAUGGGACGUCAUCAUCAAUGUCCAAAAAAUUACAAUGGCCAAUGGUGAAGUUUCAUCAUACCAAGACUGGAGGUCAAUGAAUGAAAUGAAGAAAGUUAUGGUCACAUGAUUGAACAAAAAAAAAUCUCAUAUCUGCUUUAGGUGUUGAUGAUAAUUAUCGUGUUUCUCAUUGUGAAACCGCUAAUCUAUGUGGACGCAUUAGAAGUGCCCAAAGGACUAAUGAAGUCAAACAAGCUAGAAUCUCAAAUUAACCAAGAGUUUGAACUCUUCGUAUGAAGUAGGUGAAACAUUUCCGAAAUGCAAAAGAGAUUCACAUAUCUUAUUAAUAGAUUGAAUGCUCUAGGUAAUUUAUCUUCAAUGCUAUUUUACUAACUAAGAUUUAGGAUGUCUUAACAGGGAAUGACAACCAAAGGUCAUCAUGAUUAAAGAAGUGGAUGACUUAAAGCACUUGAUUUACUACUUUGUUUGAUAAAUUGAAGAACAUGAGCAAGAACACUUCUUGAAACAAUGGAAAAAAAGUAUGAAAAAAGAUGAAGAAAAGAAAGGUAAAGACAAGGUGGAAGAAAAGUCCAUCUGCUCAAAUACUGAGUUAAAAACCUCAAAUAAUGAGCUUAGUGUGAAUAAAGAUAAACGAAGACUCCAAUGAAGAAGAUUGAGGUUGUUUAUCAAAAAGUACAAUAGAUAUAUGUGGAACAAGAAAUAAGUAAUCCAAAAAGAAGGAUCAUGGCAAUCCAAAUGGUUGUUAAUUCCUCAAAGGAAGAUAGAGAAGAAGAAAUAAGGGUAGAAGUACAUGCUACCAUUAUGCAAAGAGAGGAUUAUGCCGAAGCGUCUCAAAUCAUGAAGAAAUUAAAAGAUCAUAAAAAAUUACCUUAAAUGAUCCAUGAUCAAUUAAGAGGUACAUUUGAAAUGAUAAAGUUCAUCAAAUAUCAAUCCACACAUCAUGACACAGAUGGACACAUGAAACGCAUCCAAUGAUCAAAAAAAAAGAGAGAACGGGAUAAAGAAGAAGAAGAUAACCAAACCCAAAUGGAUCAAAGAGAUGAUCAAGUCAUCAUCAAAAUCAAUCAUCCAUUUGGUGAAUUAGGUUUACCCCAUCACACCAGAGAUCCUAAAUUUGAUGAACCUAUGAUCAAAAAACAACCUGAUCAAGCAACAGAAAUAAAACAAAGGUCAAACAAAAUUAAAUACAAGAAAAAAAAAUGCAUUAAUAUAUUUUUAAAAUGAUUUAAAAGGGAAAUAAAAGAGAAAAUCCAUAAAGCCCUUCAAAACAACAACCAUCCUAAAAGAAGCAUGUACAACAACAUAGGCCAAACGAAAACUAUGGAAAGGGUGGAAUAAAAUAGAGCUACAAUAUAACCGACAAUUCUUUCAGAGAAAUUUAAAUGCCUCAUAAAGUAUUUUUAAACACCCAAUUAAAUAUAGAAGAGCGAAAUUGGAGAAAAUGAGAAAAUGGCGAAAUAGGAAUAGAUAAUAGAAAAUAUGGAAAAUAACAGAACUGAAGGAAAAAUAAGAAAGAUUUUAGAAAUGUAUUUUACGAUUUUUGUGUAUGAAAAAUAAAUUCUUACAUUAAUUCUUUAAAAGCAAAAUGCAAUUAAAAAUGAAAAAAAUAAAAGAGAUAAAUCAGAAAAAAUCACUGAGCGUUAUGAUCUUUGCUAUCAUUAAUGACGUGGCAGAUCCAUCUACAUCCUCAGUUGGCUGAGGGUGCAAUGCGAACAUAAGAAUCAAGCAUAAAACUACGAGAUCGUAAUGCAAAAUGGAUUAAUCGAGCAAUAUUUCAAUUGCCAACGUAGGUAAGAAAAACUCAGAUGACUUGAGAUAACUCCGGCCUUCCUGAUGAAUCCCUCACCGAAGUUCAAUCGUUUUUUUCAAAUUCAGAGUAACGGGAGUGAUACUGAAGCUAUAGUCUUUAAUAUUGCAUCAUACAUGCGACCUAUACCAUCUAUUUGUCGACCUAAAGUUUAAAAAAGUCAUCUAUAAAUUAACCUAUAGUCGUAUGUUUCGACCUGUGAUGAAUAUUUUUCACUUAAAACUAAGUUUAUCAUGCUUAACACAAUAUUUUGAUGCACAAAUAUUUUCCAGACCAUUUACAACAAUGUUGACAUACUUCCUAAUGCAAGAAUGCUAAAGUGCACAACUAGACUCGGAUGAUAUCGUCCAAUGUACAUAAACAUUAUUUCCUAGUUUUGACAUCAUUCAAAACAUAUGUAAACGGAAGAAUGUACUCACAAAGAGUAUUUGUCUCAAGAUCUUUUCUAUACCUCGACUAAGUGUUUAUUACAAAUCAUGCUCUGAUGCAAACUGAAGGUGAGAAAAAUAAAGAAGAAGGGAGACUGAAUUGUGUAUGCCAAAAACUUGUUUCGCUUUUGAUUAUACAAUUUCAUAACCUAAACAACGUUCAAAGUCUGAUAUUAGAAAUAGUAACAUCAACAGAAAUAAUAAUGAUCAGAAGUAAAAACAAGUAACACACAAAUAUUAUCCUGGUUCCUCUCCUAAACUGAGAGAGUCUAGUCCCCUUGCCUCAACAAGAGAUGUUCGCUAUAAUCAACAGAUUACACUUUGCUAAAGCAUACUUGCAAGAGACUUCACUUGCUCAAUCAACUAAGAAAAAGACUUCUGCUCAAGCAACCUUGCAAGAGACUUCUGCUCAAUCAACAUAAAAAUACACUUCACUGCUCAUCUACACAAACAAGGUACUUCUUAGCUCAAGCACGCAGGAAAUGGACUUCUUCUUAUUCAACCUAGAAAGAGACUUCACUACUCAAGUACACAGACAAGAGACUUAUUUUCUCAAGCACGUAUGCAAGAGACUUCCUCUAGUUUAAACAAAUAGUUUAGUAGAAAUGAUAACCACUAUACUUAGAUACACAAUCAGAAGUAUAAUAGUUGGCAACAACCACAAAGAUUUUUAGCCUCUUAAGAUUUCUAAGAUACACAAAGAUAAGAAUCUUAAGAUCUUAUGCAAUAAUAGUUACAAAUGAAAUCUCAGAGUUAUGCUCCAUAUAUUAUAUUGUGUUAUUUGUACACCUUCCUUCAAAUGUUAGCAUGCACAUUCGUUUUUUAAAUACUUUAUCAUCAUCAAAACUCAGGGGAUAUGAACAAUCUUGUUUCAACAUUUUUUCCAUACAUAUAAUUUCUUACACUUGUGUCAAGGUACACUACUACAAAAAAUACAUUUAACCUCAAACGUGAAGUUUAUUUAGCCUCGGUUACAGAUGCGAGGUAACAAAGAGUGUUAUGAAAAGCUGCCACUUUACCCCUCGGUUUUAGAAUAACCGAUGGAAUAGUUGAAAUAGCCAUUGGUUGGAUGCCCAAUACUAGAUUUUUUAUAUUUUCAAAACUAGCGUCAUAUACCUCUCGGUUUAUGAACAAAAUUGAGGGGAAANNNNNNNNNNNNNNNNNNNNNNNNNNNNNNNNNNNNNNNNNNNNNNNNNNNNNNNNNNNNNNNNNNNNNNNNNNNNNNNNNNNNNNNNNNNNNNNNNNNNNNNNNNNNNNNNNNNNNNNNNNNNNNNNNNNNNNNNNNNNNNNNNNNNNNNNNNNNNNNNNNNNNNNNNNNNNNNNNNNNNNNNNNNNNNNNNNNNNNNNNNNNNNNNNNNNNNNNNNNNNNNNNNNNNNNNNNNNNNNNNNNNNNNNNNNNNNNNNNNNNNNNNNNNNNNNNNNNNNNNNNNNNNNNNNNNNNNNNNNNNNNNNNNNNNNNNNNNNNNNNNNNNNNNNNNNNNNNNNNNNNNNNNNNNNNNNNNNNNNNNNNNNNNNNNNNNNNNNNNNNNNNNNNNNNNNNNNNNNNNNNNNNNNNNNNNNNNNNNNNNNNNNNNNNNNNNNNNNNNNNNNNNNNNNNNNNNNNNNNNNNNNNNNNNNNNNNNNNNNNNNNNNNNNNNNNNNNNNNNNNNNNNNNNNNNNNNNNNNNNNNNNNNNNNNNNNNNNNNNNNNNNNNNNNNNNNNNNNNNNNNNNNNNNNNNNNNNNNNNNNNNNNNNNNNNNNNNNNNNNNNNNNNNNNNNNNNNNNNNNNNNNNNNNAUAUAUAUAUAUAUAUAUAUAUAUAUAUAUAUAUAUAUAUAUAUAUAUAUAUAUAUAUAUAUAUAUAUAUAUAUAUAUAUAUAUAUAUAUAUAUAUAUAUAUAUAUACUCAUUACAUUGUUUAUAUAAAAUAUUAAUAAAUUAAUUUGUUUACAAACUAAAGUGUUUAUACAAAAUAUUACAUUGUUUACGCAUAAUAUUAAAGUAAAAAUGUUGAAUCUGAUUCAUCGUCAACAUUGUCGAUAAAGAACAAAUGUUGGAUAUCUUGGGGAAGAGCAAAUGUCGGGGAUCCUCAUUUCAUUGAUAUUGAGAAAGAUAAAAUGUCUGAUAUAAAACAAAAAAAGGUUAAAUAUAGAAAAUAAAUAUUCAAUUAUAUGAUUAUUUAAGAACACAAACAUUGAACCCAGAUAAUUUUUUCCUCUUGCUAUCCAUCAUAUAAAUUUUUUCCUAAACAAAAUAAACAUUUUUUUAAGUUUCAAAGUUUUCAUGUCAAAAGUUUCAUUAUCAAUUUUUAUUAUUCAGAAUGCUUUUAUAAUGAGUAUUUUAUUCGAGUGUUAAUACUCAUUAAAUGGACGAUAGAUAUUUAUUUAAGGUCGAUGAUGAAUCUCAAUAAACACGUUUAUAUUUUCCCUCGAUUAUUAUUUAAAAUCGAGGUAAAAUGAAUUUCUUAUUAAACAAAAAAUACAAUAAAAUAUUUUCUAUUCCAAGCGUCACAUACCUCUCGGUUUCUUGAAAAAACCGAGGGGACAAUCUUUUUUUUAAAUGACAUUGUUUACGUAGAAUAUUAAAAUAAAUUAUUUAAACAAAUUCAGAUUUUGACAAUGGAUUCUUGGAGACCAACAAAUAUUUUCAAAUUUCUGAUAAGUUAUCUAUUCCAACAAAGAUAAUCUUUUUGUACUUGCAUUCCAUCCCAGAGGGAUUUCAGUAUCUUGAAAAAAUAUUUUCAUGGAAAAUACUUUCACAUAAAAGAUUACAAGAUGAUUGUGUUUACGAAUAACUUUCUCAAUAUUGUCAACCAAGAAAAUCAAUAAUUUUCUCAAUGUUUUAUUUGGUUGACAACAUAAGAAGAUUAUUCCAAAAAUAUAGCAACAACAUCAAUACCAUUAUGUUGGGAUGAAUUGCAAUAGUAGAAAAAAAUAUUUUGUUAGAGAUAGAAGAACAUUGUAGAUUUUUUCUGUCUUGCAAUCCAUCCUAAAGAAUGAUGUGUAAAAGUUUGGAGUGGUUAUUACUUAUAAGUUGCUGAGAUUUGAAGCAUGUGAUCUUUAUUAAAAAGUUAAAUCAUGGCACACCUUGAUAUUUUAUCUCGAUUUUUAGUUAGGUGAGGUGAAAGUUUUAUCAUAAAAUAUAUUAUUUGUAAUUGUGGUAUCACAAAUUUUAUUGGAUUCCUUCUUUAUUUUUAUGUGCUAGCAACACUAUUUUAAACUUCUCAUAUUUUUCACAAAAUAUUAAUAAAUUAAUUUGUUUACAAACUACAUUAUUUACACAUAAUAUUAUAUUAUUUACACAUAACAUUAAAGUAAAAAUGUUAAAUCUGAUUCAUCGUCAACGUUAUCGGUAAAGAAUAAAUGUUGGAUAUCUUGGGGAAGAGAAAAUAUCGGGGAUCCUCGUUUCAUUGAUCUUGAGGAAGAUCAAAUGUCUGAUAUAAAAAAAAAGUUAGAUAAAUAAAAUAAAUAUUCAGUUAUAUGAUUAUUUAAUAAUACAAACAUUAAAACCAAAUAAUUUUUUGCUCUUGCAAUCCAUCAUAAAAUUUUUUUCUCAAACAAAAUAAACGCUUUUUUAAGUUUCAAAGUUUUCAUGUCAAUUGUUUCAUUAUCAAUUUUUAAUAUCCAGAAUGCUUUUGUAGUGAGUGUCUUAGGUUUCACACGGAUCACUAAUGACAAUGUCUCGAGCGUUAAUACUCAUUUAAUGGACGAUAAAGAUUUAUUUAAGGACAUUGAUGAAACUUAAUAAACACACUUAUAUUUUUUCUCGAUUAUUAUUCAAAAUCGAGGUAAAAUAUAUUUCUUGUUAAAUAAAAAAUACAAUAAAAUAUGUUCUAUUCCAAGCACUACAUACCUCUCGGUUUCUGUAAAAAAUCGAGGAAAAACUUUUUUAAUUGACAUUGUUUAAAUAGAAUAUUUAAAUAAAUUGUUUAAACAAAUUCAAAUUUUGAUAGUGGAUUCUUGGAGACCAACAAAUAUUUUCAAAUUUCUGAUAAGUUAUCUAUUCCAACCAAGAGAUUAUUUUUGUACUUGCAAUCCAUCUAAGAGGGAUUUUUUUUGUACUUGCAAUCCAUCUAAGAGAGAUUUUAUUAUCUUGAGCAAAUGUUUUCAUGGCAAAUACUUUGACAUAAAAGAGAACGGGAUAAUUGUGUUUAUGAAUAAACUUCUCAAUAUUGUCAACCAAGGAAAGCAAUAAAUUUUUCAAUGUUUUAUUUGAUUGACAACAUAGUAAGAUUAUUCCAAAAAUACAGCAACAACGUCAACACCAUUAUGUUGUGAUGAAUUGCAAGAGUAGAAAAAGUAUUUUGUUCAAGAUAGAAGAACAUUGAAGUGUAAAAGUCUGGAGCGCCUACAUUUAAAUUAGGUUUUUGAUAAAAUCUAAUUAACAAAUACUUUUAUAAUAAAAUCUAAUAAUCAAAUAUCUCAAUUGUUAAAUAUAACCGAAGGAAUAGAUCAUUAAUUUAAAAAUAUAAAAUAAAAUAAAAGAAAUUAAGACACCAUUUUUAAAGAAAUAAAAAUAUAAACAGUUGUUACUGAUAUUCGAAGCAUGUGAUAUUUAUUAAAAAUAUAUAUUAUUGUGCGUCUUGACCUUUUAACUCGAUUUUUAGUUAAGUGAGAUGAACAUUUUGUUAUAAAAUAUAUUAUUUGUAAUAGUGGUACAAUAAAUUCUCAUGACUCUAUUCUUAAAGGAUCUAAAUUUUGAAAUGUAAUGAUCAAACUUUUGACAAUUAUAGCAUUAAUUUUAAAAUUUGUAAUUCCAUGCGUGUAUGUCUUGCUUCCACAUCCAAGAUGUCGUGAAACACAUCAUCAUCAUCAUUGACCUCUACCUUAACUUUAUUGACAUUUAUCAUUUCAAUAAAUUUCUUCAUUCUUUAAUUUUUCUUUGCAUCUUAAAUAUUUUGUCGGUGAUCUCUUCACCUUGUGGUUCUUCUUGUAAGCUAAUAAUGGUCCCUUAAAUUUUUCUAUUGUCACAUUCUCUAAAUCUUUUAUUUCUUAGAUUAUCAUUACAAUGUACUCAAAUUUUGGUGAUUGACAUGUAACAUUUUGAUUUUCAUGUAGUUUGAUGAAGUGUUUAUGUUCAUAGUCUUUUUUUUCAUGGAUUCAUCAAUUUCGAAUUUUAGAUCUGGAUUUUUUAAAAAGCUUUUUGAUUAUAUAUUAAACUAAUUCUUAAAUAUAGAUACAAUUAAUAAUAAUAUUAAUAUUUUUUAUUAGUUUAUUAACAAGAAGAGAUUAGGAGAGUAUACUUAUUAUUUUUAAUCUUUAUGUUUAUUUACGUAAAAGAAUAAAACAUGUUUGUAUAAUAUUAAUUUUAUACGUAGUAUAUUUUCAGACAUUUAAAAUCAGAAACUCAAAUUAAAGUAAGUCACUACGUAGAUUGAUACAACAAUACAUCAAAAGACAGUGAAUACAGUAUGUAGAUCUAGUACAAGAGGAUAAGACCACAUGUAAGAUGAUCCUAUAUCACUCCCAUUUAGAUUUUAUUCGUAAUAUUAAACUCUCAUAUACUAGUGAGAAGUUUCUAUAUGAUAAUCUUGAAACCGCACCAUCAUCUUCAAAACUUAAUGCUGUCAAUAUAACAAUGGAAAAAACUUGUCAGUACUUAAUUUCAUAUGUUCACAUGCUUCAAAAUAAGAGUGAGAGAGUGUUAUAAUUAAUAGAUGAAGAAAACAAAAACAGUUAAAGCAGUUUUACAGUUAGUUACAUUUUCCAUUUAGUUGGUUAUGCUUUCUGUUAUGCGGUUAGUUACAAUCUCUUUCAACUAUAUAAUUGUUGUAAUCCCCAUUCAAUGCAUAACAGAAUACAGUUCUGCUCUUUAUCUUCUUCCUCUUCACUUUAAGCUUUUCUUACUGUUCUGUCAAUGGCUUUCAUGACAGAAGCAUUUCUUACUGUUCUGUCAAUGGCUUCCAUGACAGAAGCAUAAUAUGGUAUCAUCGUCUUCGAUCCUCUUUCCACACUUCCGCACCGAUCACUUUAAGCUUCUACUUGUGCGAUCCUUCUUUUGAUUUCAGCAUGCCUCCGCGUAUUGAUCCUACCGCAAAUCGAAUCACAAAUUGUGAUGUUGAUUCGGUUUACUAUGUUCAUCCCAGCGAAGGUCCUAAUUCUGUUAGUAUUCAACCUCAAUUGAAUGGUUCGAAUUACAUCUCGUGGUCAAGAUCCAUGGAAAGAGCUCUUGGAGCUAAGAACAAGCUUGCGUUCAUCAACGGAUCCAUUCAAUGGUUCGAAUUACAUCUCGUGGUCAAGAUCCAUGGAAAGAGCUCUUGGAGCUAAGAACAAGCUUGCGUUCAUCAACGGAUCCAUUCGCGUUCCAAGUAUCACCGAUCUUAAUCGAUCUGCGUGGGAACGAUGCAAUUGCCUUGUUAAUUCAUGGAUUCUCAAUUCUGUAAGUCCUGCUAUCGCACAAACCAUUAUUUUCUUGGAAAAUGCUCUUGACGUUUGGAUUGAUCUCAAAGAAAGAUUUGCUAAAACUGAUAGAAUUCGCGUGUCUAAUUUGCGUGUUGAGAUUAACAAUCUCAAACAAGGAAACAAAUUUGUUCUUGAUUAUUUCACUGAACUUCGUGGUUUAUGGGAAGAAUUGAAUUCUCAUAGACCAAUCCCUAGUUGUACUUGUGCUCAACAAUGCAGAUGUGACGCUAUGCAUAGUGCUCGAGAAUUUCGUCUUGAAGAUCAGAUUAUACAAUUUUUAACAGGAUUGAAUGAAAAAAUUUCUGUUAUCAAAACUCAGGUUCUGUUACUAGAUCCUCUACCAUCAAUCAACAAAGUAUAUUCUAUGGUUGUUCAAGAAGAGAACCAUAUUUUUUGUGGUGAGUCAACCUGAUUCUAAUUCAGACUAUUGAUGAAGCAAAUGACUUGUUAAUGCAUAUGAUCAAGGUUAAGUUUGUGGUAAUUCUUCAACUCUUAUGGUGGAGCAUCUAACAAUAAGAAAGAUGGCAGAUAUGCACUUUUUGUCACAGGACGGCCAUCAAUUGAUGUGUGUUAUCAGCAAACAUGGAUUUCUCCCAAUUUUACCAAAAGCAACAACAUCAGCAAUCUAUCAAUGUCUGUGAUACACACAAUAUGAUGAACACUGGAACAGAAGGUUCUCUCAAUAAUCCAACGUGCCAGCAUCACUCAAGAACAGUAUUCUCAAUUGAUUGGUUUGUUACAACAACACAAUUUCCUCCUUCCACCCUACCCCAAUCCAAGUGCCAACCAUAUUUCACUCAUUUUAGAUCAUACACCAAUUGAGAAUUCAGGUAAACUUUUUUGUUUCUACAGUUUCAUGCUCCACUUACAUCAAACCUGCUUUUUGGAUUUUAGAUCUGGUGCCAUGAUCAUGUUUGCUCAUCACUUAAUGUUUAGUUGUUACCAUAAAUCCGCACCUAUCAUGUUUUGUCUACCUAAUGGAUUUGUUGUUAUAGCUAAACAUGCAGGAACAAUCCAUUUUCCCUCACUUGAGCAGUUAAUAAUGUGUAUACACACCUGAUUUUUCCUUAAAUUGUGUCUGUUUUCAAACUCUGUCCAGUCCACUAAUUGCAAAUUCAUUUUUUUCUGCUAAUUGCUUGUUUAUUCAGGAUGUGAAAACGAAGAAAGAUGAUUGGUUCGGCAAAUCAAGUGAGAGGUUGUACAGACUCAGAACAGAUCUGGAUUCCAAUUCCUGCAGAACAGCAUUUCAAGGUAUUUCCUCAUCCAACCUCAUGUAGAAACCUUCAUUCCAAUAAUUGUAAAAUGAUCCCUAAACAAGCUUUGUGGCAUUUUAGAUGUGGCAUUUAUCCAUGAUAGACUAUCCAAAAUGGCCCAAUGUAUCCUGAUAUUUUCAAUGACAGUAAAGUUGUCUGUGAUGUUGUGCACUUGCUAGCAUAAGAAACUACCUACACUUUGAGUCAUUCUAAAGCUUCUCAAAAUUUGAAUUGUUGCAUUUUGAUAUCUGGGUUCUCUCUCCACAAAUUCUAUCCUUCACAAAUAUUUUUGACAGCAGUUGAUAUCACAAGUAAUUUACUUGAUCAUACUUUUUUAAAAAAUCUAAAGUUUCUCACUGUUCAACAAUUUGUUGCUCUCAUAGAAAAUCAUUCCAUACAUGUCCUAAGUUCAUCAGGUCUGACAUGGACCUGGAUUUCUUAAUCAAUUCUAUGCUCAAAGGCAUUCCAUCAGAUCAUGUGUUGAGUCUCCCAACAAAAUGCAAGAGUUGAAGGAAGCAUCAACAUUUGCUAUAUGUAGGUAGACCUUACUGCACAUUCAAAUUUACCUAAAUCCUAUUGGUCUACUAUAGCUAUAGCUGCGCCUUCAUUAUAAUAGAGUUACACCUCUACUCAAAACCAAUCCCCUUAUCACAUACUGCAUAAUAACACCAGACAUUAACCAACUUAAAGUUUUUGGACUUGUGCUAUGCAUCUACCUUGUCCAAUCAAAACUAAUUAAGAUAAGAGCUAGAAAUCAUUGUUCCUUGGAUAUGUUGUUGGUAUAUAGGCUCUAUCUACUUGAUCUAAAUUCAUUCAACAUUUUUAUUUCAAGAAAUGUCACUUACCAUGAACAGAUUUACCUUACCAAAACAGUCUUCAUCUCCACACCUCCUUGGGAAUAUUAUAGCACUUCAGUUCAAUCCAACCUCUGUCAUGAAACAUACUUCUGCUCAAAAUGAUUCUCCAUUCACACCAACUCAACUUCCAGUUACCACAAACUUUUCCUAACCACCACAACUGACUCAAUCCACCUUCCAGCUCCUGGUCAAUUCUAAUCCACCCCACCUCUAUACACAACACUCCACUCGGUGCCUCUACAAGAGUUAGAGCAUUCCCAUCAUUUUUGAAAGAUUAUGUCUGUUACCAACUUCACUGUCACAAUUGCCAUCCAUCUUGUAAUCCUACUCUCUUUCCCAAUUUUCAUUUACAUUUCAUAACUUUGUCUCCUAUCCUAAUCUGCGUUUCACCCAUAGUUCCCUAUACUACCUAAUCAUGAACUAAACAUACUCCGAGCUAGCAAAUUUUGAAAAUGCUUGAAUCAAGCACAUGAAGUUGAAACUUGCUGCAUUGGCCAGAACUGGAACGCUGGAAUUGUGGAUCUCCCCCUGCUUAAACCUCCUUGGUUUGUCGUUGGGUUUAACGAUCAAAGCCUAAAUCUGAUGGGCCAUUAGAAAGGUUUCUAAAAGCUCGGAUCUCGUUGUAAAGCGGAUCGCCUGUCGCCAGACCUGACAAAAUUACAUGUGUGCGAAAAAACACUGGCCGACAAGACAUGACAGGAAGAGUCGACCAACCGCUGCGUGUAUUGUAUCCCAAGGAGGCAGGGAAGGAAACGCUCGAAGUAACUGAAAAGAGGAAAGGGAACAGACAAGGUUCGUAACCAACUCUUGACCCGGGUUCGGGAGCGUGUAUUGAAGGGAAGGUAUUAGCACCCUACGCAUCCGUAGUUACCUUCUACCGGGAUCCACAUUUGUCGUUCUGAUCUAAGGCGUCGUAGUUUAUUUGUGCUGUUUACUAAAAAGGUAAUGAAAAUGACUCGCGCGGAUGUCGCAUCCACUGCAUACGUAUCUCAUCUGAUAUGAGAAUCAGAGUCUUCGUAGCUCGCCUGACCUAUGGGUUGGGUGAUGUGGCUCGCUAGACAUCGCGUCUUAUGCCUACGUAUCUCAUUCGGAAUGAGAAUCAGAGAAGCCGUAGUUCGGCUAACCUACAGGCGGUUAUGGAUUGGGUUUUGGACGAACGACGUUACUACGCAAUCUACCGGAUUGCUCGACCUUGGAGACUUACUCACCUGUAGAUAGAAGGAGUAAACGUUGUGUUUAGGAGAAGAAAAUCAAUGAAGGGUUAGGGUUGGUGAACUCACUUGCAAAAAAGGCAGUCCUUGACGAAGACACCUGUUAAAAAAAACACACAAAACAUUGCCUCCUAUCGAGGUCUUCAGCUAGGAAAGUAGUAAAAAUGCGGGAAAAUGUGAAAGUACCACGCGGAUAAAGAUCCGAUAGUACAACAGUUAGAGGAAUGGGAAAACCAUGGAUCCUUCAGCUCAACACCCAUCAAGAAAUAGUGAGUCAGUACAGGUAUCGGAAUGAACCUCCAGGGGUAUCCACAACAUAAAGUGGAAACCACGCAAGUUAUCCCUGCAAAUCAUGUGAGCCUCACAAAACUCAACAACACGGUUAGAGACAAAAAAUAGGGUUAAUCAAGGGUGCCCCCAAAUCAAAAUGUAACACCAUGAAUCAUGCCAUUAAAUUCCACAAAAGACAUGCAUCAACAGGGUAUCAAAUUCACCCAUAUCCUCAUACAUUUAGAGCAUUCAAUUAAAGGCAUAAAGAUGAUGGAUAUAGGCAACCUAAUUGGAGAGCUUGAUUGAAAUUGAGUUGCACCCGUGAGGUUUACAAACAAUCUUUUAGGUUUAUGUCGAGCAAGUGAUCUGUGCAGUGAGUUCCCUUCAGGGUUGGAGGUUGCUCUGAACUCUGUUAGCUCUUCUCCACUUCUUUUUCCUCAGGUAAUAGGAAUAGAAUCAAUAUUUGUUUCCCUGAAACUCUAGUAUUAUAGCCUAAUGUUGGUAGCUUGUGGCUUUUGAGAGAGAGUCAAGUCUGAGAUUUUCUUUUAUUUUCUUUUUUAUUUUAUUUUAUUUUAAAUAAAGUUCUUGGAUCUAAUUCUGUUGACAUGAUGAAAUGCAAUGUAUCUAAUGUUAAAUGACUAAAAAUGAAUGCAUGCAUGAGGUGUAAUGCGUAUGCUUCCAGAAAAUGAAGGUAAAUUUUGGGAUAUUACAGCAGAUACAACCAGAUUGAAGGACUGAUUACUUAGAUACUUUUCCACCUGUUGCAAGCUCACCACAGUUCGAUUGUUCUAGCUUUAGCUUAAUCCAUAACUUGCAUCUUCACCAACUCGAUGUCAAUAACGCAUUUUUUCACGGUGAUCUGACAUGAGAUGCUUUACAUGUUGAUCCCACCAGGUGUCCAAAGUUCUAAACCUAACCAGGUCUGCAAACUCAUUAAGUCCCUUUAUGGACUAAAGCAGGCAAGCAGACAAUGGUUUGAAAAAUUGACUUCAGUCCUCAAUGCUCAUGGCUACUCUCAAGCACCUUCUGAUCACUCACUGUUUGUUAAACAAACAUCAUCCACCUUUACAAUUUUACUUGUUUGUGUUGAUGAUGUUAUUUUAGCAGGUAACUCUCUACAAGAGUUUCAAACUAUGAAAGAUAUUCUUCAUCAGCUCUUCAAGAUCAAGGACUUGGGCAUCCUCAAAUACUUGUUGGGUUUAGAAGUAGCUCACUCGAAACGUGGUAUCUCCAUUUGCCAAAGAAAAUACUGUCUUGAUCUUCUCAAGGACUCAGGUUUUAUUGGCUCCAAACCAGCAAACACACCAUCUGAUCCAUCACUUAAACUUUGCCAAGAUGAUAGCCCUGCUUAUCACGAUAUUCCAUCUUAUAGACGACUCAUUGGCAGAUUAAUCUACCUCAAUACUACUCGCCCAGAUAUCACGUUUAUCACACAACAACUCAGUCAAUAUCUUUCCAAACCUUCUACUCAACAUUAUACUGCUGCUUGCAGAGUCUUGCAAUAUCUCAAACAAUGUCUAGGCCAAAUAUUAUUUUUUCCACGAAGUUCACCACUACAAGUAACAGGUUUUUCAGAUGCUGACUGGGCUGGCUGUGUAGACACACGUAAAUCUGUUUUCGGAUCAUGUUUCUAUUUGGGCAGCUCUCUUAUUUCAUGGAGAACAAAGAAACAAACCACUGUCUCUCGUUCCUCUUCAGAGGCAGAGUACCGUGCUUUAGCUGCAGCCGCGUGUGAACUCCAAUGGAUCUCGUUCCUCUUCAGAGGCAGAGUACCGUGCUUUAGCUGCAGCCGCGUGUGAACUCCAAUGGCUUUUGUACUUGCUUCGUGACAUGAACAUUGCAUGCUCUCAAGUCCCAGUUCUAUUUUGUGACAGUCAAAGCGCACUCCACAUAGCUGCUAACCCUGUUUUCCAUGAACGUACAAAACAUCUUGAUAUUGAUUGCCACAUUGUACGCAAAAAAGUUUCAGCAGGCAUAUUGAAACUUAUUCUCGUGUCAUCCAACAACCAACUUGCUGAUUUCUUCACUAAACCUCUCCUACCCAAACCAUUUCAUUUCCUCAAAGCCAAGUUGAACUUGAUCAACAUCUACUAAGGUUCAACUUGUGGGGGGCUAAUAGAUGAAGAAAACAAAAACAGUUAAAGCAGUUUUACAGUUAGUUACAUUUUCCAUUUAGUUGGUUAUGCUUUCUGUUAUGAAGUUAGUUACAAUCUCUUCCAACUAUAUAAUUGUUGUAAUCCCCAUUCAAUGCAUAACAGAAUACAAUUCUGCUCUUUAUCUUCUUCCUCUUCACUUUAAGCUUUUCUUACUGUUCUGUCAAUGGCUUCCAUGACAGAAGCAUUCCUUACUGUUCUGUCAAUGGCUUCCAUGACAGAAGCAUAAUAAUAAUAAGACAUAUGUGUUACAGUUGGUAGAGGUACUGAUCUUAUAAGGAAUGCUAACACCGCAAUUUCCAGGGAGAGCAGCAACAUUGUUAGUAUUCAAUUUUGAAAUAGAACCGGCAGCUGAUUUCAAGCAGUUACAGGCAGCCUGACGAUCAGGCGUCGUGGUGGCGGCACCAAGAAGCUUCUUCACUCCUGCACAACAUGGCGGUGGAGGACUGGCAUUAUUAGGAGCUUGAAGAUAAGUAACGCAUGGAGCCAAAUCACCGGUUACAGCUCCACAUGACAAAGCAGCUUCUGCCAUAGGCGCAAUAACUACCAUGCAGAUCACCAAAACAACACAUGCUAACUUCAUGCUUCUUGCCAUUUUUGUUUUCUUUCUUUUCUAUUCUUUUUCUUGGUUUGUUUGAAUGGUGUGUAAUGUCUUUCAGGGAGGGCUUUAUAUAGAAAAUAAGAUAAGGUUUGAGGAUGAGUAGAUUGAUGAAUUUUUUGCGAAUGUGCAUCAAUAUUAGGUGGUAGUUGUGGGUUGAAUUAAUGAUGUAUGGUACAUUAUCUAUAAUUAUUGGGCACUUGUCUCAGUAUCAUAGGUUUUUAUUUAAUGAUUUGGUACAUGGUUAGAUUUGAUGAUCAUGACUGUCGGGACCCAUGUAUGAACUCUCCAUCCUACUCUUUAUUACCCUUGUCUAGGGGUGGCAAACGGGCAUGCCCGCCCCGUUUAGGCCCGCCCCACAAAAACCCGUAAAAAAACGGGGCGGGGCGGGGCGAUCAUAGGUGAGGAUGCGGGCCUAAAACUUAGACCCGCCCCGCAAAAAAGUGAGGGUGGGGCGGGGUAAGCCCGCGGGCACUGCACUCUUUAAACCUAAAAAUGCAAAAAUUUAUGUAAACACACGUGCCCGCAAAAGCCCGCGAAAAAAACGGGGCGGGGCGGGACGGACACAUUUGAGGGUGAGGGCCUAAAUCCUUGGCCCGUCACGCACAAAAGUGAGGGCAAAACAGGCAUGCCCAGCGGGCCGAGCCCGUUUUGCCACCCCUACCCUUGUCGUUGUUUUUUUUUAAAAGUCAAUAAAAGUUAUAGUAUUAAAGAAAAAGGAACAAAUAUUAUAUAUAUAUAUAUAUAUUAUAUAUAUAUAUUAUAUAUAUAUAUUAUAUAUAUAUAUAUAAUAUACAUUAUAUAUAUAUAUAUAUAUAUAUUAUUAAUAGUGAGGGUAUAUAUAUAUAUUAUAUAUGUCAUUAGAGAGGGUAGUUUAAUCUAUUUAAUAGAGCGUAAAAAUUAUCCAUAAUGAACCGGAUAAAAAUCUAUAAGAUUGGUACGGAUAUGAGUACAAAUAAUUAUCCACUAAAAUACGCAGAUAUAGACACGAGUUCAAGUAUUUUAGUAUCCAACUCGCCUCAUACCCAUACUAUAUAUUUAUAUAUUUUUAUUUUUAUCAUUCUAAAAACAUAUAUAAUACAUUUACAUUAAACUUGUUCGCAUUUCAACGUAAGUGUUUGUUUAUUUUUUAAUUUGAUAAUAAUAUCCUUAAUUUUUUUUUAAUAUUGUCAAAAUCUUAAAAUGACAUGAUAGAUUAUAAUUGGUUGAUAAUGUUUUAUUAGAAAUGCGUGUAAACGGGUAUGGGUAUGGGUGCUCAACUAUCCAUAGGAUACGAGCACGGGUAAAAAUGUUGGUGUCCACACGUGUAUGAGCUCGGGUACGAGAUUUUUUUAAAAUUACUGGUAUGGGACGAGUACUAUAAUACUCUGUCCAAACUCUACCCAUUGCCAUCCCUAUCUGCAAUAACAUAAGAGAAAGUUUGAAAGACGAUAGAGGAUUGCGAAAGUUCAAAAAGUUCAGGUUUAAAUGGAGUUAAUUCAUAAAAGAGUUUUGGAUGGACAUCAGAUUUGAUUUUACGAGGGUUAUGAAAGAACUCCAUUCAAACAACAGGAUUGUAAAAGGACCAAACUGUUUAUUUUUGGUUCUAAUACCAAAGAAAAACAGUCUGGCAAGAAUAUCAUACUACAAAUUUAUUUCUAUAAUAGGAUGCAUAUACAAAGUCAUAUCCAAGGUAAUGGAAAAUAGCUUGAAAAAGAGAUGGACACAAUCAUUUUAGAAAAUCAAUCAACUUUCAUUUCUGGAAGAUAAAAUAUGGACGAUAUCUUAGUGGCAAACAAGAUACUGGAUGAGGUUAAGAGAAAGAAGAAAAAAGUGAUAUUAUUUAAAGCAGAUUUUGAAAAGGCAUUUGACUCGGUUGAAUGGAAUUUAAUAUCAUUUGUCAUGGGUUAAACUAGGAUUUCAUGAUAAAUGGAUAAAAUGAAUUAAGGAAUGUCUAAGUUCGUCCUCGGUUUCGGUGUUCAUAAAUGGGAGCCCAACAAAGGAGUUUAAGAUGGGUAGAGGUCUAAGACAGAGAGAUCCAUUAUCCCCAUUUCUUUUCUUAAUCGUAGCAGAGGAUUUAGUAUUCCGAUGAAGAAAAAUGAGGAUAUGAGGAUGUAUUCAGGUUUCACAUUUGAGUUGGGAGAAGAUCAGUUAUUUCACCUACAAUAAGAAAAUGAUACGAUGGUUAUCAAAGAGAAAUUCUGGAAGAAUAUCAGGAUCAUAAAAUCAAAUAUGUUGUUACUUGAGUUGAUGUCGGUUUUAAAAGGAAAUUUCCAAAAAAAAAGCUCACUGGUUGGAAUCAAUGUUCCUCAUGGUUGGGUAGUGGAGGAUGCAAGGAUAUUAAACUUUAAAAUAGGUUUAUCCCCACUCAAUUAUCUCGACAUUCCGAUAUGGGAAAACCCAAAGAGGAAAAUACUUGGAAUAAGGUGAUAUAGAUAAUGUAUGCUAGAUUAUCAAGAUGGAAGAACAAAUGUCUCUCUUUUGGUGGUCGGAUAGUUCUCAUAAAAUAAGUUUUGUACACGCUACUGAUAUAACUUUUCUCUUUCUUCAAGACUCCAAUAGGUAUAAUCUCUAAUAUAGAGUCCAUGUUUAGACACUUUUUGAGGGGGGAAGUGCCAAAGAGACAAAAGUAAAUAGGGUUAGCUGGGACAAGGUGUGUAGACCAAUCGAAGAUGGGGAAUUGAGAAUUAUAAAUUUUAAAGUGUUCAACAAAGCUCUGUAUGGAAAAUGGGCUUGGAAAAUGAAAAAUGAAAAGUCGUGUUUUUGGUAUAGAGCAUAGGUUAAUAAGUAUGGCCUGUCAAGUGAUGAGGUUGGGUCGAGCGAAAGGGCUACUUUGGUUAGGUGGAAAGAGAUUAAGCAAAUAAAUAUAUAUAUUUUGAAUCAAUCAGAGGUAGAUUCAGUAAAAGAGGCUUACAAAGAAUUAAUGUUGGAAUCGUUAAGUAACUCAAAUAGACAUUGAUCUAGAGUGUGGAAUUAAGCGAUUCCAUAAAAAGUGCCAGGGCUAGAGGGGAGACUGCUCCAAAUAGAAUUCCAACAAUAGACAACUUAGUUAGAAGGGGAUGAUUGACCAAAUAUUAAGUAGUUAUGCCAGUGAAUGUGGGGGUGAGGAAUCAUUAUCUCAUAUAUUUUUCGAGUGUGUUGUUUUUGCAGGGAUUCAGAACUACAUUUUUAUGUGGCUCGACGUGUUCUUUUGAUUGGAUGUUUUAGGUUAAACAAUAUGUGAAACAAGAUGUAAAUUUUGAAAAGGCGUCGCGUGGAACAAGAUGUUCUAGCAUGAGGUGCAACAUCUGGCUUCAGUCUGUAAGCUAGGUUAUGUGUGUAAAUAUGUGUGUGUUUAUAAUUAAUUCCAAGGAGACUUUUCAUUUAUGAGUUGUAUCUUUUUAGCAAUAUGGUCAUUAAAGGAGAUUGGCUAAAAAUAUUGCCCAAGACCAAAUCAAAUUGAAUGAGAUUAAAUCUCUUGGUGGACAUUGUCAUACCAUAAUUUUGCCCCAUGUAUUUUAUCUACUUUAAGUCAAGUAUCACCUAAUUUAAAAAUUUCAAAAAAAAAAAUCCAAGUAGAUAACAUACAUCAUAUGUCAUGCAUCAUUCAAAACUCAUUCAGUGCAAAUUAAUUCUAUCAAAGUCAACUGAAAGUAAACCUUUGAUCAUUUGUAUAAUUCUACGCUUGCAUCAUUCCAAAUAAAUUUCUAUCAUUCAUCAUAUACAUUUUACAUUAUUCAAAGUCAAAAAGUCAACAAAAAUAAUCUUAAGUUGACUUAAAUAUUCAAGUCAUUUUGCAUCAUUUUUAUUUUUUGCAUCACAUGCAUAAAAAAAUAGUAAAUUUCAUGGGAAUAAAAUUCAAGCCAAAUUCUCAUUACAUCAUCAUUUUACUUCAUUUAUCAUUUGAUCAUCCAUCAUUCAUUUCAAAAUUCAAAGAAAAAGUUAAAAUUUUGCGCAUAAAAGACACAGAAUGAUCACACUUGUUUUGGCUAAUCACACUUUUCAUUCACACCUUAUUUGAUCACGGCUAAUCACACUUUUCAUUCACACCUUAUUUGAUCACAUCCAAUUACAAUAUAUAUAUAUAUAUAUAUAUAUAUAAUAUAUAUAUAUAUAUAUUAGAAUAUGAGAUAUUUUCAUGCCAAAUUAAAAUCAAAUUAUACCAAAUGAAGUUCAAAUUCACUCACACUUUUUGCAUCGUCACAUAAUUCACAUCUUAACCUUUAACCUAAUUCAUUGGCACAUAAAUCAAUUCAUUCACUAGCAGCAAAACACAAUCAAUCACUACUAAACAACCCCAAAAUGUCUGGUUGGAGUGUGUGUAAUGGGUAAGAGGUUCAUGGCCACCAUUGUUGAUGGUUCAAGUUUUCUAAUAAACUUCCUCAUUUCUAUGUUAUUCAUCAUGCAGAUGCCCCCCUUUUUGGUCUCCAGGACCUCCUUAUUUAUAUUGUUAAUAUCCUCUCCCCUAGGAUCCCAAGAGACCUACUUUAUUAUUACUUUUUGACAUAAGUAUGGUAUGAUGGUCAUUAGUAGGAUAACAAUUUCAUUCGUUUAUUCGGUGGAUGUCAUAACACUCUAUAAUUUAUGGCAGAAUGAUGUAAUAGACAAUUCUUAACUUCAUAACUGAUGAAUGACUUUUGUCCAUCCUUCUAGAAUCUGAUAUGGAUACCUCAUGUCCAAGAAAGUCAUAUUGAUCAUAUCUGAAUCUAGGAUGUAUAUACCCUAUAGUUAUUAUACUGAUUUGUACAUAUCAUCCAGGAGUGUGCCUUUGUGAUCUAUAUGACCCGGCCUCUUAUUUUUUAUAAGUAGGAACUCGUUUAUCUUUCAAGUAACUGGUAUAUCCGACCUUUACCCCCAGACCUAAUGGCUCAUAACUUGACUCUGAUAUUCCCGGGCUAUACACCGGUAAUAUCAAAGUUCGGGAAGUAAAAUCUGUUCUAAAAUUCCUGGGAUGUACAGUUUGAACCUAUAUAUUCUACACCAGUCUAGGCCUCAAGGCUUGUAUUUCCAUUUCUUUUGAACAAAAUUCCUCUUCCUGGAGUUCCCAUGAGAUACGGCGGGAUUCUAUGAACUACUUGUAAAUGGAUAUCUUUAGGUCAAUGCAUGAACUGACUAACCAUUAUGAUAGCAUAUGCAAUAUCAGGUCUAGUAUGAGACAAUUAAAUUAAUCCCCCAACUAGACUUUGAUAUAUUUCUUUAUCUAUUGCAACAUCUUCUUAUGUAUUACCCAAUUUAAUGUUUGGUUCCAUUGGAACACUUGCAGGUUUACACAUUUCUUUGUCCCUUUGAGUAAAUUUGUAAUGUAUUUUUGUUGAGAUAUAAAAAAAAUUGGGAAUGUGCCACCUCGAUUCCCAAAAAGUACUUCAGCUUUCCAAGAGAUUUUAUUUCAAACUCCUUAGCCUAACAGUGUCUCAAGACCUGUUACUCCUUCCAAUCAUCACUAAUUAUUAUAAUGUCAUCGAUAUAUACUAAUAGAACUAUUACUCUCACUUGUGGCGAGUGUUGGAUAACAAUGUGUGAUCCCCCUAACUUUGAUUGAUCUUGAACAUGUCAUAACUUUGGCGAAUCUUCCAACCCACACACGAAGUGAUUGUUUUAGUCCAUAUAACGCUUUUUUCAAUCUGCAAAUUGUGUUGUCAUGCACAUUUUUUCACACCCCGGCGGUACCUGUAUAUAAAUCUCCUCCUCAAGUUCCCCAUGUAAGAAGGGAUUUUUCACAUUAAAUUGUUGUAAAUCCCAACCAUAAUUGGCAGCAAGUGACAAAAUUAAUCUGAUUGUGUUCAUCUUUGCAACCGGGGAAAAUUAACCAUAUGUUUGUGUAAACCUUUUGGUAACCAAUAUAUCUUUGUAUCGUUCAAUUGAUCGGUCAACCAUAUAUUUUACCGUACACCCAUUUGCAUUCAACUAGACUCUUUCGUUUUGGUAAAUUCAAUAAGUCCCAAGUUCCAUUCUUCUUCAACGCGUCCAUCUCGAUUUUCAUGGCUUGCUUCCAUUUUUCAUCAAACAAUGCCUCAGAAAUAUUAGUAGGUAUGGAAGUUACGUUUAGGUUUGUAAGGAAGGCUCCAUAGGUAGGUGAUAAUUUUUUAAAAGAAAGAUAGUCUGAAAGGGGAUAUAAAGGUUGUUUGGAGCAUUUUCUAGUUCCUUUUAUAAUAGUUAUUGAAAGGUAUAGGUCAUCAUCAGUUUUUUGGGUCAUCAUUUUAUCUUGUAAUUUAGAAUAAUUAAUUACCUCAUUUGAAGGAGUCGAGUCAGCCUCUUGAACUUAUGUCGAUUCAAGAAUGAACUUUGAAUUUCUCAUGUAAACUAGAUUCUUUCUAUAUCUUACAUCCAUUUCACGUCCAGGUUUAGUUACUAGUGUAUUUGAUUGAUUUGACUCAGCUCCUACUUCUUCAUCCUCAUAUGGGUCUAGUACAAGUGUGUUUAACUUGAGACCCGAAAGAUUGGGUGUAUUUGAAUAAUGACUAGAUGUAUGUGACUUAAUAUUAGACAUAUGGAGUGUAUUUGAUUCAAGACUAGAAAGAUCUAAACUUUCAAGCUUAUCAUCCCCAAAUUUCUCCCCCUUAAGAUAAGGUUGAGUGAAGUACGGUUCCUCCUCAUGAAAGGUAACAUCUUGCGACACAAAAAACUUUUAGAUGUAAGAUGGAUACACUUAUAUCCCUUUUGAGUAGAGUAAUACCCUACAAAAACUCAUCUAGGGUCAAGUUUUUUUCUAUCUUGACUAUGCACAUGGAAAAUGAGACACACCCAAAGAUUUGAUGUUUAAAAUUACUACUUGUUGACAAAUUUUAGAUAGAAGGAAGGAAAACAUGCAUAGGACUUUUGAACCCUAAUACUCUAGAGGGUAAUCGAUUAAUAACAUAUGUGUUAGUGGGAACGACCUCCCCCCAUAAAUAAUUUCGAACAUUUUGAUGAAAUAACAAUGCUCAGGUUUUGUCACAUAGAUGCUCAUUUUUUCUUUCUGCGAUUCCAUUUUGUUGUGGUGUUUUAACAUAAGAAGAAUCAUGAACAAUUCCCUUUUUUUUCACAAAAAUAAAUAAGAACAUAAUUGAAUUACUAUUUUCCAUUAUCAGACCUAAGCCUUUUGAUGUUUACUCCAAAUUGAUUUUUAAUCUUGUAGAAAAUUUUGGAAAAACGGUAUUGAUGCCAGACUUGUUUUGGAGUAAACACACCCAAGUAACCCGAAUACAAUCAUCUAUAAAAGUCACAAACCACCUAACACUUGUUACAUUUGGAUUGGUAGAGGGACCCCAAACAUCUGAGUGAAUAAGGUAGAAGGGAGAAAGACUUCUUUUGUUGUAUAACGGAGAAGAUAGAAACUUAUAUUUAGCAAACUCACACACAUCACAUGAAGACUUUCAAUAUCCACCUUAUUGAAUAAAGAUGGAAAGAAAAAUUUAAUGACUCCAAAAGAAGGAUGACCUAAUUGACAAUAAAAAAGAAAGAUUUUUUCCUUUUUAAAGAGUACUGACUCGACUCUGACAUAAAUGAGUAGGAUAAUUAGACAUUUUUACAUUGACUUGGUUCAUCAAGAUAGUAAAGACCAUUCCUUUAUCUACAACGUCUAAUCGUCUUUCCCGACUCCUUAUCCUAAAUAAUACAAUAAUCAUUAAAAAGUCACAUUACAAGAUAAAUCAUUUGUAAGUUUUUAUACGAAUACAAGGUUCAUGGAUAAUUUUGGAACCUGGAUGACCCUUUUUAAGGUUAUAGAAUAAUUUAUUUGGAUAUCUCUAACGUCGACUACAAUUACAAGAAUACAACUGCAAUAGAUUUUUUUUAUUGUUAUUGGGACAAUGGGAAUAUGUGGAGAACUGUUUCGAAGAGGAUGUCAUGUGGUAUGUGGCUCCUGAAUCUAAUAUCCAAAAUAAGAAAGAAGGCGUUUCUGAGACAUGAAAUCCAAGGGAGAAUGGAAGCUUACCAGAAUACGCCAUAAUAGAAUUAGCUGAUGAUUUUUCCAUUUUAUUGUUCAUACAGAAAACAGAAGCAAGCGUCAAAUAUUUAUGUAUAAGAUAGCAAAGAAAAUAAGAUUCGACGAAGAAAUCAACACAGUAAAUGUAGGGACAACGACUGGUAUUGUGCAGACGAUUGCUUAAAAAAGUGUAGAGUUGUACGAAUGGUGAUAGAAAACUAUACGAGCAGCUUCUAGAAAGUGUACAGAACUGACGUCUACCGAAAAGUAUAAAUAGUAGUUAACUUGAAGAACUUUACAGCAUGUAAUGUGUAGUUAAGAUUUGAGGAUACUGACAACAGAAAAUGCCUAGUAAGAUUUUCUUAAGAAAUAUUUGCGGAAGUUGAGUCCCUUAGAUCUGGGGCUCAGAUGUCAUGUUACGAAAGUGUGGUUGGAUCUAACUUAACCUUACAAAAUUGUCUUGUAGGGUGAGGAUUGCCCCCACUUAUAAAGACAUGUUCAUGUCAUAUAUUAUCUGAUGUAUGACUCUUAACACACUCCUUCACACCCAGUACUGAACAUCGAGAGCGUGUAAAGAAAUGGUGGGUGGUCCAAUAGGGGAAACAUAAUAGUAGGUGGCCCACUGAAUCUUAAACGAAGCUUUGAUACCAUGAGGAAAAUAAAAAUAAAAAAAAUUCUUGAAUGUUCUUGAGUGAGUAAAACACUCAACAACAAUGAUAUUUAUACACACUAUAUAAUUAAUUACAUAUAUGUUUACAAGAAGGAGAAAUGAUUACUACCUCUGUUUUUUAUUAUAAGUAGUUUUGGAAAAAUAUUUGGUACCACAUUAUAAUUCGUUUUAUAAUAUCAAUGAAUCAUUAAUGAUAUUUUUCCUAUUAUACUCUUAAAUAUUUAUUAUUCUCCCUCUUCUCAAGUAUGUUAAUUUGUCUUUUCAAUACCAUUAAUGAAGGACAAUUUUGUAAAAUCCUUUAUAAUUUCUCUUUUUUAUAUCACAAUUAUUACAUAAAAUACUUAAAUGUAUGAAUUUAAAUAUACAUGAAUCUAAAUACUUAAAUGCUCAUUUUCAACCGUUCAUUUGUUAAACAAUAAUUGAUCUAUUGACAUAAUAAAUUUGUCAUAAAAUAAAUGAUAUUUUUAGUUUUAUGUUUUUAUUGAUGAUUUUUUUUCAUGCAAUACUCUUAUGAUGAAUUUCUUUUUUGUUUUCAAAAAUAAAAUUAAAAUUAAAAUUUAUCAACUAACAAGAAAAUAAAACCCAAUUGAAAUAUUUCAAUAUUAGGUAAAUUGAUACAAGCAAUGUAUUAAAAAAAGUCACGGUAGCGUUGCGAUUUGAGUCGUCGUGGCCGUCGCAAUCGCAUAUGGUUUUCUAAAACCCUAGAUACAAGGACACAUGAAGUAGAGACAAUCCAAUACAUAGUCUAGUACAACAAGAGGAUAGGACCACAUAUAAGAUGAGUCUUUAUCACUCUCAUUACAUAUUAUUCUUAAUAAUAGCAUCACAUGGCACUCUCAUAUACUAGUGAGAAGUUUCCAUAAGACAUUCUUUAAACCGCGCCAUCAUCUUCAAAACCUAAUGCUGUUAAUAUAACAAAUAAAAAAACUAAUCAGUAAUUAAUUUCAUAUUUUCAAAGGCUUCAAAAUAAACCAACAGAGAUAUAAGAGUGAAAGUUAUAAUAAGACAUACGUGUUACAGUUGGUGGAGGCACUGAUCUUGUAAGGGAUGUUCACACCGCAUUUACCAGGGAGAGCAGCAGCAUUGUUGGCAUUCAAAUUAGAAAUAGCACCAGCAGUUGAUUUCAAGCAGUUACAGGCAGCCUGACGAUCAGCAACGGUGGGGGCGGCGGCCUGAAGAUUCUUCACUCCUGCACAGCAUGGGGGUGAAGGACUGGCAUUAUUAGCAGCUUCAAGAUAUGUAAGGCAUGGACGAAGAUCAGUCAUUACAGUUGCACAUGAGAAUGCAGCUUCUGCCAUAGGUGCAACUAACAUGCACAUCGCCAAAACAACACAUGCUAGCUUCAUGCUUCUUGCCAUUUCUUUUCUCUCUUUUGAAUUUUUUUUCUUGGUUUGUUUGAUUGGUGUGUGUAAUGUCUUUCUGGGCGUGGUUUAUAUAGAAAAUAAGAUAGAGUGUAAAGAUGAGUAGAGUGAUGAGUUAUUGGUGAAUGUGCAUCAAGAUGGGGUGGUAGUUGGGUUGAAUUAAUGAUGUUUGGUGCAUGAUCAAUAAAUAUCGCCCACUUGUCUCACUAUCAUACGUUUUUUAUUUAAUCAUUUGGUACAAAGUUAGAUUUGAUGUUAAUGAGCGUGGGACCGUGUAUGAACUCUUCACCUUACUCCUUAUUUUUCAUUUUUGACAUACCAGAAUGUUACAAAUCUCAUGCAAGAGUUACCACAUCCAACGUGUAUCAGAAGAACAUACAGUCAAAAUCUGCUAAAUCAGUACAACAUAAAAAUUCAUCUAGCAGGCACUAUUCCGAUGCGGUUGCUUACAAACCAGGUAGAAAUUAGGAUCCAGAUAUUAGAACGGAUGUAAAAUCAGACACAAAUAGUAGUAUAAUCAACCAUCAGAAUAUGUUGAAUCACUAUAGUUUUGAACCUCUCUUCUUAAACCCUUAGGCUGUCUGGCAGAUAAUUUUGGACAUUCAUAGAAAAUGUGUGAAAUAUUUUCUUCUUUUCUCCAACCAGAUAGUUUGAGAUUCAUCCAACACCCCCGCUCUGAAAGGUUGUCUUUGGUUAGAAUUUUGUUUGGCCAAAUCCUUCAAACCAAUGUUGAUACUUAAAGCGCAAGCAAUCCAUUCCAAGUCCCUUAUAUUCCUCUUAUCUUCUGAUUCUUCACCUUUUUUCUAUAACUUCUUCUUCAAGCUUUCUUUCCUGUUCAUUUAGUUUUCCUUUCCACCUUAUAUUCCAAAUCCCCUCUUCUCCUCCAUUCACCACUUCAUUAAAUAAAUUUCUUUAUUCUCAACCAAAUCAAACAGUCCAACAUAUUUGUUCUUCAGGAUUUGUCCCUCAAGCCAAGGAUUGAUCCAUAAAUGUUUUUCAGCUCUGUUACCUAAUUUUCUUUUAGAGCUUUAAAGAACGAAAGGAAGUAUAAGUAAGGCAUAUACAACAAAUCUUAGAAGGAUGAUUUGACCACCGAUAAAUAAAUUAUGGUCAUUCCAUUUGGACAAUCUCAUCGACAAUUCAUUAAACACUGAUUUUCAUAACUCCUUUUUUAUAUGGUUACCUCCAAUAGGAAGGCCCGGAAAUUUGAAUGGAGUAGUUUGGACCUUACUAUUGGAACAAGUUUUCUUUUACAAUUAUCCUGAAAUUUUGAUGAUAACAAAAUGUAAGAGAAUAAUUUUGUACUCUAACCAAAUUGUUGAGUGUGCAGAAAAAUUGGAACAAAUUUUAACUUUGAAGAUGUCUAGACUCUGAACUAAAGAAAAAAAGCAUUCAAACAAGUCAACUCUAAUAUAUUAAUGGCAACGUUUCAGAAGAGAAGUUCUCAAGACUGACACCGAUAUAUAUAGCUCUGACUAUCUGCUUGUGAAGUCUCAGAAUCCAGCAUCCAAAGAUUAUGAAAUCUCACUAAAGAUUCUGAAGACAGACCUUGGAAACGUUGCUUCAACAACAAAUAUCAGAACCCUAUGAGUGGAAGUUGUCCAAAAGUCAACAAAAUAUUUGAUGUGGCCGAAGUACAAAAGCAAAUCUACUUUUUCCAACAGUAUUGUACUCUGUGUAAAAGAAAUCUUUUGCGUCCAAUCAUCUUCACCAACUACAGGCUACAAUGACGCUCUAGUGCUUCAUUUGAAGUUAUCUUAUCCAACGGAUACUUAGAGGAUAUUUUCAUCUUCACCUCUAACGGAUCUACUUUGCAUCUAUUUAGAGAGGACAUUAAAGAUUGAAGAAGGGCACAAGCGAAUAGAUAUUUGAUACGCGCACAAAACUACAUCAACGCACACACUCAGAAAAAUGUAUUAUUUACACUUAUACACUUAGAACAAAGAUCAUUCUAUAUUCUUGUUAAAUGUAGAACUUGAUUAUAAACAUUAGUAUCUGCUUUUGAGAAGCAUCUAUAAACAGAAAAGUUAUUAUUACAAUUUUGGUUGUAAUCCUCAAGCGACCAGGUUAGGUUAGGAUCUUGAGAAGCCAGUAACAGAUUGUUAUUGAAAAAUCUUCUUAAGCAACCAAGUAGGUCAAGUCUUAAGGAGUCAGUGACCUUCAGUUUUCUUAGGAGAUCAUUUGGGUCAGAUUCCUGAAGAAAGUCAGAAUGGAUUAUCACUGCAUUUGCAAUCAGGUUUGAUUAUUGGAUUAAGUCCUUGUCUAAGGAAAAUCACUCAGGUGGUUGGACUGGAGGUAACCUAGUUAACGGGGAACCAAGAUAAAAAUCAUUGAGUGCUUUAUUAUUAUGUUCAUUAUUUUUUGUUGUUGUUUUGGGUUAUGAAAAACUAUCAUUCUUGAAACCCAAUUCAAACCCCCCUUUUCAUGGGACAAUCUCUCAUGAAGUGGUCUUGUUUCUGACAAGUAAAGCAUUUUACCUUUGACUUAUCAAACCUUUUUAAUUUGGACACCCUUCUACUCUUAUUUCCUCCUCUUGAGAAACUCAAGCAUUCACUAAUAUCAUCAAUCUUUAAAUAUUUCACCUUUGAAACUUCUUUAGAUCUCACAGUCGUUUGGACUUCAUUCAAAGUAAUAGUAUUUUCCUUAAUAUAACAAAGAUCACUCUUAAAGUACUCAAAGGAUCUGGGUAAUGAGCUCAAUAAGAGUAAAUCUUUGUCCUCAUAUUAAAACUUCACUUAAAUAUUCUCUAUAUAAUCAAUUAUCUUGUGAAAUUCAGUCAAUAGUUCCAUUAUGGAUUUGUUAUCUACCAUUCAUAAUGAGUAGUGUCGUUGUUUCAGACACAACUUGUGAGGAAAAUACUUGGUCAUAUACAAUAAUUCAAGUUUUUCCCAUAUCAAAGUUGCAGUCUUCUUCCUGACAACUUCCCUUCGAACUUCAUUCAUGAGGCCAGGAUAAUGACACUUAUGUCCUUAUCCACCAACCCGGUCUUCUCUGCGUGUGUUAGACGUGCAAGUAUCGAUACUCCGCCAAUCAAUGUUUCUGUACAUUUUUCUUGAAUUAAAAUUGCUUGCAUCUUCACUUUCCACAAUCCAAAAUCCUUCUCUCUAGAAAAUUUCUCAAUCUCUCAUUUAUCCAUUGUGCUCACAUGUAAAUAAUACACUUUUUCACCACGGUGGGUGCCACUUAUUGUGAAAACUUUGUAGAAUAACUCAAAACAAUUAAGAAUAAUUAUUUAAAGUUGAAACACAUCAUGAAAUUUUAUUUGUGGGGACAAAGUACAAUGACAGCCAAAAUAAAUGUCCUAAAGCAACAAAUAACUUGUCAAAAGUGAAAUAAAAACCACAACAAGCCAAAAGUAGAUCAAAGACAAGAACAAUGUAAUUUUAUUUACCUAGUUUGAUCAAGCAAUCUACUAUAGGGGAGAGAGAAGCUCUCUGAUUCAUUAUACUUCCAAAAUUUGUUAUAAAAUAUUACAAGGAAGCUACAAGAAAAAUACUUUUGAGUUGCCUCAUAGAGACAUAUAUUUAUAAAUGUUGAACCCCAACGAAGCCUUAAUAGGUCCAAAACAUGCCCCAUUAAUUGUUAGAAUUAAAGUAUUAUAAAUAUUUUAUAAUAUCUUUUAUAUUAAUUUAGAAUAUUAUAAAUAUCUUAGAAUAUCUUUUCUAUCAAUUUAGAAUAUUAUAAAUAUUUUAUUAUAUCUUUUAUAUUAAUUCAAAAUAUUAUAAAUAUUUUAUAAUAUCUUUUAUAUUAAUUUAGACUAUCUUAGAAUAUCUCUAAAGCAAUAUAAAAUAUUCUAACAUUAAUAAACUAAUCCAGAAACCGAAUAUACCAAAUCCGAUAUCCACGAAUCUCCUGGAGCAAAUUGCUUUUCGAUUUUUUUAUUUCUUGCAAUCUCGAAACAUGUUUUCGUUCUCUUAAUCACUUGAGGUUUUAAAACAUACUUCUACAAAGUGCGAAAGGUAGAACUCACCAAAAGUGAAAUUACAACAAACAAAAUUCAGAGGCAAAAGCAAACGAACACAUGGCAUCAAACGUUGAUGUACCCUACCCAACCUAACUAGUUAAACCACCAAAGAUUUAAGACAUGCAGAAAGUUUUUAUUUUUUUUAUGUUAGCCAACACCAACCCGUAACUUUGAUUUGAUAUAAAAUCUCUAAAAUCGAUAAUUCAGUCUCACCAGUUAACCUUUAAUUUAGUUAUUUCCAUAAUAUUCGAGCACUCCCCAACCAAUUUACAUGAAGGCAUUUGUGAGUCUCCUUUGAAUCUGAGAUAAGAUCGCAAACUAAAUAUGUGUGAAACAUUGUGUUAUUCGGAUAGGAACACCAAAUGUCCACCCACUUCAGAACAUUGUACCAUAUCCCCUAUAGAAAAAGCACUUGAAAUAUAGUGACUUGAACUUUUCUCACUUUUAUCAACCUCCCAAGCAUCUUAAAGAAUCAAUGUUAAUGAUCUCAUGUCGGUUCAAGUUGUGUUUCGUCGGAAGUCGGUUCUAUAAGAGUCUUCAUGCUGUAGCGGUGUAUUCGUUACCAUUGGAGAUAUUGACUAAAUCCAAGGUAAAUCAUACAAAGUCGAUUCGCCACCGCACUUCUAUUUAUCCAAAGGAAAGGUUAGAAAGCGAAUAAAAACCGAGAAGUUUUAUCAAAUCAAAAACUAAUAAAAAUGUUAGAGAUCUGGGUAAGGGGGUUGGUUAUGCAAUGGGAAGGUGUUAGGCACCCAAAGCAUCCUAGGUACUCCUAGGGAGCCCUUUUCAUGCUUGUUGCAAAGGUUAUUUGUUUGUGAAAAUUAUUUGUGCAAACAUGAUUGAAGAGAUGAGAAAAGAAUAUACAAGUUUAUUUACAUUUUAUGUUUGGAUGGAUAAACCCAUUGCCUACGUACCCUCUUAUAAAAAGAUUAGGAUAAAAACCUCGUAGUUCGGGUAAAAAAUUUCAAAAUAAAUGAGUGGAUUGAUUGGUCCAAAAGCCUUAAGGUCUUUUGUUAUCAAAGGGAGAAAACUCAACCUGAAAAACCACAAGUCCACCAUGUGAGAAUAGCUUCAACAUGCUAGUGAGGGGUUAACCCUAAGCCUUAAGGUCUUUUGUUAUCAAAGGGAGAAAACUCAACCUGAAAAACCACAAGUCCACCAUGUGAGAAUAGCUUCAACAUGCUAGUGAGGGGUUAACCCUAUAAUAAGCAUGGAAGGCUUACAAUCCAAUCACUACGGACAAAGGUGAGUAUUAUAUCUACCACAAAGAUAACUCAAACCUAAUAGCUAAAGGUUAUGAAAAAUUUGAUCAAGAACAUGGUCAUUGAAACCACAAAAGCACGUUUGAAUGGGUUACUGUAACACCUCAAAAUUUGCCCUCCUCUCUUGGGACUAGCUUAGCAUAUUGCAUUUCAUUUUGUAGGACAUUAGGCAUUACAUCUUUGCAUAUCAUGGAAACAAUAGGCAAGUCAUCCUCCUAGGUCUUUCUCAGAAGAUGGAGAGGGUAAGAGAUGCAAGCCUGAGGGUCUUGUUGGAUUGAUCACUAGCCAUCUGGGGGUUUGUGCUUCAAUUAGGGUUUCUUGGUUCCUCAAGGAGAUUGAUCAUUAUCUUGGUUGAAGUGGUACAUCAUCAUCAUCAUGGUCUUAUCAUCACCAAGAGGUUCAUUGUGCCUGAUCAUGUUCCUUGGGAUUAGGGUUUUGACCUCUGGUCAACCCUAAUCAGUUGCAUUGUGCCAAUCAGGGUUUUCUUCAAGGAGAUGAGGUCUUUGUUGAGAUGGAGAUCUCAUUAUGGUUUUAUUAGCUUGUAUAAGCCAGGGUUUCAUUUUGGAGCCAUUCAUCAAGAGAUUGAGGCUCAAAUUCAUCUGUGCAUGACCAGUCAUCUAUAACUGCAAAAGUCAACUGCAAAGUCAACUGUUGGAUUUGGAGGUGGGAAUUGAUUAGAAAUACUUCAUGCAUGUUCAAACAAGUCUCAUUUGACAUUUCAAACAUCAACAUUGAAGAAAAUAAAGUCAGGACAAAACUUUCCAAAAAUAGAAAGUGACCUGUAAUUUGAAAUUGCCAAAAAUGGAAAGGUUUUCAAUUCAAGAUUACAUCAUCAAGAAGGCUUCAAAUGAAAUUUUGUUAAACAUGAAAGUUGUAGAUCUUUCUCUCCCAUUUACAAAAAGUCCAAGAUCAUGGAUUUAUCAUGUAUGGUUGGAGAGAUAUGGAUCAAACAUGGCCAAGUGAACAUGGAACUUCAAAUGUGCAUAACUUCUUAACCAUAAGUCCAAAUCAAGUGGCUCUUUUUUGUACAUUCUUCUCUUGACCUAUACUUACCAAAUCAUGCAUUGCAUUUCAUGAAUUAUGAUCACAUGAAUAUUUGGUAUUUCACUUGAUUUUUGGAGGGAAAUCUUGAAAUUUAAAAUUGGUGAAUUAUUUGAGCAUUUUGUCAUUUCCAAUGAUUUUAAAAAUUCAUUUUAAGUGAAAUUAACUUGAACUCGUGUACUGUUCACAUGCCAUUUCCAUGCAUAAGGGUGAAAACCAAAAUUUGUCAAAACACCUCCAAACUUAAUCCAUUUCAUUAGCAUUUGGUUUAGGCAUAAUUAAUCAUGUUUAGCAUUGCAUAUAUAAAGGGUGAAAACCAAAAUUUGUCAAAACACCUCCAAACUUAAUCCAUUUCAUUAGCAUUUGGUUUAGGCAUAAUUAAUCAUGUUUAGCAUUGCAUAUAUAAGCUUAAUCAUAACAGAAUUCAUCACAUUUUCCCAAUUCUAGAUCUAGAAUUCUCAAAAUCUCAAAAUUCUCUCUCACUUUUUUCUUCAAAUAUCUUCAAUCAUUUGCACUUUUCCUUGAUCCAUUCAUGAUCCUGAGUCAUUACUGAGCAUUUUUGCACGUGGAAACAAAGGAAUUUGUUGCUAUUGAGUUCAUGUUUACUUCUUGAAGCUUCCAUGGCAGUUGAGGAUUUGGCUUGAUUCAAGAGUGUUUGAGCUUCCAAUUCAUCAGCAUUCAUCUUAAGGAGCACGUAGGAAGAAGAUUGAAGCAUCAAGAAGCCUAGAAACACGUGGAUCCAAGUGCUGCUCAUCGAGAGGUCAUUUUUUUUCACUUCCUUAAUUCUCAAAAUUGUUGAUAUAUUCUUGUAGUUCAUUGAAUGAUGAGUAAUCUGCACUUUGAAUCAAGAAAAAUGAUGUAAUAUCCAUGAAGUUACAUGCAAUUAAAGUUUCACACAUGAUUUUUGUUGUCUUCGAUUCAUGCAUGCCUUUGCGUUUAUUGUUGAAUUGUUUAUGGAUUCUCAUUAUGUGAUGGAAGAUCUACGUAAUGGUAUGCUUUUGGUUAGCUUCUGGAGCAUUUUAAGAAUUUCUGGAAAUUAGAUGAAGAACAUUCAUAGUGUUCUUCAUUGUGUUCAUGCAUUUCUAGUUUCUUGUGGAAUUUCCUGCGAAAUUUGUUGCAACAUUCAUACUGUUACCUGCGGAACGCAUAGGCGUUUCCUGCGGAUUUUUGAAUGAAUGCAUGGCGCGCGCUAGGGUUUGAUAGUGUGAAACGGUGACGUUUUUGGUUUGGCGCGCUUGCAUUCAAAUUGCACUUCAAUUCGAUUCCCCGUGGUUCCACUUAUUUCAAAUGCUUCAUCCUAUUUCCAUUUUCCCUCCACAUCAUUUAUGUAAUGGUUUCACAUGUUUUUUUAAAUUUUCUCCAACUCCAUAAAUUCAUAACUAAUUGAGUUUUGAUCCAAAAAUUAUGUGGAUUUUUGCAUUAUGUCAUAUUUUUUGUAUAGUUUUUUAUGAAUAUUAUUUUGCAAAUUGUGCAUGGCUGGUUUAUUUUUUGUGCUAGGGUUUGUGUAUACAUGUCCUUUCUUGACCUUGCCUUGCUUCUUCAUUUGUGAAAUGCUCAAUUUUAAUCCAAUGCUCAUGAAAUUUUGCAUGCUAUAACUAGACAUCUUGCUGGACAUUUUGGUGUUGAGUUUGCAUUUUUAUCAAUUGCAUGAAAUGCUCAAUUUUAAUCCAAUGCUCAUGAAAUUUUGCAUGCUAUAACUAGACAUCUUGCUGGACAUUUUGGUGUUGAGUUUGCAUUUUUAUCAAUUGCCAUUGCUGAUUUAUGAUUUUUCUAAGUUAGGUGUGACAAUUUGUGUCACACCUUGUGAGGUUCAACUUGAUUGAUGAAUUUGCCUUGCCAAAUGCACUUCAAUUGACAUGAUUUUUUGUAUGAUGUUUUAUAUGAAUGUUGUGAAUGUUAAUGAUUUUUCUUGGAAUUUUUGGAAUCAUUUCUGAUUUGUUUGAGAUUUUUCAUUCUGGAUGGUCAUGUGUGAGCUUUUGGAUUGCCUUGAUUUUCAUUCAUUCAUGAAAUGCUUGUUCUUUAUCCAAUGAAUGUGAAAUUUUGCACACUAAUUCUAGACAUGUUGAUUGGUGUUUUGGCUUUGGUUUGAGGUUUUUAUCAAUUAUCAUUUCUGUUUUAGGCUUGUGCUAAGUUGGUGUGCCAUUUGGUGUCACAUAUGUGCUUGAUUGUGCUUGCCUUGACUUAUGCAAUUUGAUUACCAUGCCUAAUGUUGUCCAAAUGCUCUAAUUUUUUGUGUGAUGAUCAUGUUGUAUGUUCUGUUUACUCAUGAAUUUUGCCAAAAUUAUUUGAAUCAUUUUUGAUUUAAUGUGCAUUUGUUCAUUCUGAUGUCACAAUGUGCUUACAACUUGCAUACCUUGCCAUGUUUGGUUUUGGUGAAUGAUAUUGACAUGAGACUUUUUGGAUGGUGUUCUUAAUUGAUUGAGGUUGAUUCAUGUUGAAUUUCGUGUUCUUUUUGGGAUUAUUUCUCCAUCUUUGACCCUAGGCCUUGACCUAGUGGUUUGUAACUCACAGUUGAGUUUUGAUUUCAGGUUAAGAAGCACAUUUCCAUAGUUGAUGAUGCUCACUCAUUUGGAUUGAUUAAUUGGUUGAUAUAGACUAACCUUGAGUUGUUUUUUAGGCUUUGAGACCAAGUGGCUCAUUGGCUUGUGCCUUGCUCAUUGUUGCAUUGCUUGCUUGUCUGUCUGAUUGUAUGAUUAACUAUCUGCUAGAUUGAUUGAAUUGUGUACUGAUGUGUUUGAUGUUUCCACAGGUACAUAAGUUGCUUAAGUUCUUUUUGAACUUGCCUUUGCUUUGCUUGGUUGCUUAACCAUUUGAGGUAUAACUCACUGACUUCAUGUAGUCUGGAAGACCUGUCUGUUACUUGGGCAGGCACCUGUCUGAAGCCCUCCUUAAGAGGCAAUACUUGUGUUUGUUUAUCAUUGUGCCAAGCAGGAAAAGACCUCUAUGAGGCAAUUGGCAGAUAAAAGAGAUGUGUAAUCCAUCUCCUGCUAUUCAGUGUGUCAUCUACCUUGCUCACACACCUUGUGUUGACGCAUUGUGGAUAUUAACCCAAGAUCUUUGUUGAGUCAGUCACAUGUGGAGAAGAGUUCCAACUUUCUGAACUCCCACACUUUCAUUUGUCUGAAGCUCUCCCAGGCCAGGGAUAAGAGUUGUGGGGUCUUACCCUCACUUCCCAUUUCAUUUGCUUCACCCUAACUCUCAAUGUUAGGAUUAAGAGCUAACUACACCCGAUUCUAGUUGGCUUGUGUUUCACAGCCUAACCUUGUAUGAGCCCAAUUGAUUGCAUAUAGUGUGUGCGAUUGUUUAUUGUGCUUGUGUUGUUUGACUGUGCUGAUUAGGAUAACUUGCUGCCUGUGCAAGUUAGAUAAAAACCUCAACCUAAGACCAUUGUGGAUUACAUGAUAACUAUUAGGCUCGAGUCAGUCUCCCUUCUAGUUUGUCAUUUCCCAGUCUCUGGUUAGGAGAAAGUUUCUCCCCUGUUAAGGGGAACUACGUUGCCCUGAUCCUCAUACGCAGAUGAGGUACGUAGGCAGGAGAUCGUACGAGAUCUCUCCGGGCACCCUUUUCCUUUUGUGUGUGUUUGCUUGACAGUUUUAGGCUCGAGUUCACGACUCCCUUUUAACUUGUUUGUUUGUACCUUCUCGUGUGUGUUAGGAGAUGGAUAUAAGACCAGCGAUUGGCAUUCCGUAUCCUAUGGUGUUUGUUGUGUGGAGUCCGGCGUAAGUCCAGCGUAUUGGCAGUCGGUUUCUGUGUGUGUUUGUUGUUCAGAGUUAUCUAGUCAGCGAUUGCAUUCUGGUUUCCAUGUUUGCCUGUUUGUGUGUGUUUUGUUUCGGCGUGCGUGAGCCGAACUACGGUAGCUCUGAUUCUCAUUCCAGAUGAGAUACGUAGGCAUAGGAUGCGAUAUCCUAGCGAGCCCGUUCCUCUAUUCCCCCACCUGUGUUGUUUCCAGUGUGUGUGUGCAUUCUUUUGAGCAGUGUUUUAGCAACCUUUCUUCUAUCCUUUUGAGCGUGGAUCCCGUCGAGUACGACGGAUGCGUAGGGGUGCUAAUACCUUCCCUUCGCAUAACCGACUCCCAAUCCCAUCUCUCUUUGGUCGCGAGACCAUGUCUUUUCCAGGUUUACUUUGAUCGUUUCCUUUCCCUCUUUUGGGAUAAAUAACGCACGGUGGCGGCUCUGUUUGUUUUGUUUUAGCCCGCCGGUUGUUUUUCGCGGAUGCGACAGUUACAUUAACCAAUUAGAAGUAUAUACAAAAAUGGUCAAAGUUGACAUUAAGAUUCAAUUCAAAAUGAGUAUUAUGAAAAGAAAGUUUUAAAAUCAAAAGCCUAAGGCUUAGGUUUCUAAUGUUGAAAACAAAAGUCAAAUGUUUGCACAAAAGGAUUUUGGUUUGGGUUAGAUGAAAAGGAAGGUAAGCAUGCAAGAGGUGAGGGAUAAACGACACUAGGAGUUCCUCUCUUGAGAUCAUAGAGAUGAUCCAAGUAAGUACCAUCCUUUGGAAUAAGCAAGCUCAAAGCAAAAGCAAUUAACAAGCCUCAUAAGAGAACCUCAAAUAAAAGGAAACAAGAUGCCAAUAAAUGGACUUACACCCGACUCCAAGGAAAUAGAAUGCCAAUAAAUGGACUUACAUCCAACUCCCAACAACAAAAAGGAAACAAAAUGCCAAUAUAUGGACUUACACCCGACUCCUAACAUAAAAAGCAUCAAAAGCAAACACAUCAAAGGUAAACAAGCAAGCACACACUAUAUGCGAACAAGAGGCUUCAAACAAGGGUGGGCUUUAGUCAAGAGGGGUCAUAUCAACCUCGACAAACAAGCCAAAACUGUACAAGGGUAAACAAUAGCUCUUAACCACUAACAUUGAGAGUUAGGGUGAAGCUGAUCAAAGAUGGAAAUGAGGAUGAGACCUCAUGCUCUUAACCCUGGCCUGGGUGAGCUUAUGACAAUGAAAGCGUGGGGAUCCAGAAAGAGGGACCCUAUUCCACUUUACAGAAUCUAAACAAAGAUCUUGGGUACAUGUUCUAGAGCAUCAGCACGUAGUGCGAACAUAAAGAACGACUCACUGAAUAACAGGGGAUUGGCUACUAAUCCCUUUUAUCUGUCAAUUGCCUCUUCACUUAGGAGGACUUAUCAAGUAACAUGCCUCAUCAUGGAGGUCUUUGGCACAAUCUGUAAACAAACACAAACAGAGCCUCUUAAGGAGGACUUGCCAGCAAAAUGCCUGCCAAAAAGGUGACAGGACUUCCAGACUACAUGAAGUAAGAGAAUAGCUACCUAAGUGGUGUAUCAACCACAAUCCAAAGCUCAAGAAAGAGCUAAAAGAAAGCAACUAAUGUACCUGUACAAAAGCUAAACAGUUAAUAUCUUAGACAACCAAUCAGAAAACAAACAGUGAAACCAUCCAACUGUUACACAAUUCAAUGUACAAUGGUCAAGCAAUCAAAUGAAGCAAUGAGCUCAACACAUCAACUCAAAUCCCUACAAAACACAAAGAAGUCAGAACACGAUCCAAUUUGCAUCUCAAAAGGUGAGCAACUCAACCAUUAAUGCUAAGUGUCCAAACCUGAAACACAAGUCAAGGUUAGCUCAUGUACAAAACACUAGUACAAAGACCAAGUUCAAAACCAAAUCAAAUGAUCAAAACAGAAACCAAUCUUUCACAUAUUGCACAUUCAAACAUUCAAUGAGAUGUCCUCAAAAGGACCAACAUCAAUUCACAAGGCAAGUGGCUCAAAUGAUCAAUGUAAAGCAAAGGCAAGCAAAUGAGCACAAGAUGAACAUCCAAAUUAGAAAAAUCCAAAUCAAAACAGAAAUGUAUGCAAUGGCUAUGAAAUUUUUUAUGUAAGUUUCUCAUGUUAUGAAUAAGCAUCAUGCAAAAAAUCAAAUCCAGAAGAGUUCAAAUGAUAGAUGAAUAAAAAUGCACAAAUUGAAUGCCAAAAAUAUGACACAAAUUGUCACAUACAUCUUCAUGUGUCAAAAAAUGAUGCUAGCAUAUGAGAAAAAAUUACAAAUCAGUGCUCAAAAAUCACAUCAUGAGAGAAGACCAAGCAUACAAAAAUUUAGAUCAAUUGGAUCAACACAUAGCAUUUCACAAAGCAUUGAACAUAGCAUAUCAAUUUGGCAUAAGGUUCAAUCAAAAAUUCACAAUUAAAAAUCCAGCAAACAACAAUUCAUGAAAAUAAUUCUAUAAAAAACUAGACAUUAAAACAAGACUAUGAAAAAAAAUUGGGAUCAAUUUGGAGCAUUUUUCAAUUUUUUAUGAUUUUUCAAAGAUGAGCAAAUAUUUGAACUAUGCAUGGAAAUAAUAGAGGGAAAUAAUAUUUCAAAUAAUACUCAGAAUAUUCCUAGCCAUUGGAUCAGGCGCGAAAAACAGAUCUACGGCUCAGAUUUGAAGCUCAAAAUGCGCAACUUCAUUAAUUGAGCUGGCGUGCACACUCAACAGUCAGCAAACACAUGGCACAUUCAAAGGAACAUACACCAAUCAAUCACACACGCAAUCAGCAUACAUGGCAGACACACAAGCUAAAUGAAACGCAUUGUUUCAUUAAUUACAUGGCAAUACACAUCAUCAGUCAACUGCUUGCAUGGUUCAGUUAAACGAAUUAGGACCAAUGGAAUGGACAUGCAAGGCAUCACGUGGAUCCAACAUGGACUAAAACCCUAACCGAACCAGACGGCGGAGCCGAUCAUCUUCUCCGGCCGUCUCCGGCGGAGUUCAACAUGAAAUUUUCCAGAAUUUGACAAAUUAUAUAUCAUUCGAACCAGCAUUCAACAUAGAAUCCAAAUAUCAUGCUCAAACAUCCUAAAUCAUCAUGAAUUCUCUGGAUCGAGCAAAAACAUAAUCAUGAGCAAAAAUUCCAGUUCAUCAUACAAGCUCAUUUCUCAGCCAAAUCAAGAUCUAAUCAUAUCAGCAUGCUCAGCUAGACAGGAUCUAUCAUUCUAUAUACAUGAAACAUCAAAAGGAGAGGAUCAAUUUUGGAUCACCUGAAUAGGAACGGUAGUGCUGAUUCGGUAGUGUUCAACUUUCAAAAGCUCCAGAUCAUCCUAUGCCUCUUGCCGUUGAAGCUUUAUGCACACGAAUCACUUGAAACACUUGAAUUCUCCUUAAAUUUCAAUUCGAUCUAGAUUGAAUAUGCUUCAUCUUGAACACUUGAAUUAUGACGGAAUUGCUUCAAUAAGGGAUGGAUCUUGCUCAGUGAAUGGCUCUGAUUCAAGAAUUGCAAGGUCUUAGAGUUGUGCAUGAGAAAAAUGAAAUUCAAGAACAGAAUAAUUGAGGAAAUGGAAUUUGAUCUGAAAUAUCUGCUUAUUCCUUGAAUUUAUGGUUAGCGUGGCAUUAAUAUAUCCCCUGUUAAUGACUUUGCUAAUCACACUUUCCAUGUAUUAAUCAAGAUUAGGGAAAUAUGGAUCAAUUUGCAAAAAUGCAAAAGUGAGGUAGCAUGGCCAUGUAGCACGUGAACAAUACUCAUGCAAGCCUUGAAUUCACUUAAAAUCAACCAAUAAUCAUGAUGGAAUUGGUAUUUUGCUUGUUCCAUGAGCCAAUUUUGAAUUAUGGAAUUUCCCUCCAUUUCGCACACUUGAGGAAUGAUGAGCAUACAAGCUUCUUCCAUGCAUGGCAAAGGCACAUUUGAGAAGUCUUCGUCAUGAGGAGUAUUUUGCAAAAAGAAUGGAUCAAAUUGGAGCUUUGCAUCAAAAGUUAUGUCACUUUGAACUUCCAUGUACACCUUGUGAUCAUAUGGCCAUAACUUCUCAACCAAUCAUCAUAUGAACAUGAUCUAGGACUUUUUGAAAAUGGGAGAGAAAGAUCUACAACUUUCAUGUUCACUAAAAAUCCAUUUGAAGCUUCUUUGAUGUUGGAAAGUCAAGUUGAAUGUGGACCAGAAACUUGCCAUUUUUGAAAACUUGAAAUUACAGGUCAUUUUCCAUUUUUGGAAACUUUUGCCAUGACUUCAAAAUAUUCAAGAUAGAUGUUUAGAAUGACAAAUGAACUUGGUUUGAACAUGAUUGAGGUGUUUAAAUUCAUCUCCCCAAUCCCAAAGUCCUCAGAUCUUGCAGUUGACUUUUGUGGUCCUUAGAUGACCUUGACAUGCUUUGAUGAACUUGAGCCUCUACCACUUGGGGAAAUAGCUCCAAAAUGCAACCCUAGAUCAUGUAAGCUCAUGUGAUAACCGUGUGAUUCUUCAUAUCAAGAAAACACCUCCUCUUUUACACCAAGGAUGCUCUUGAAGUGCUUUGACCUGAUGAUUGCUUCAGCUGCAAACAAAAAUGUUAAUGACAUAUUUUUGUACUUUUUGGUUAGUGAACAAAAAUGAGAAAAGCAAUGAUAUACAAUACAAGCAUUCCUGGUGAUCUCAAACCACUCACAAGGAGGUCCCACCCAAAGGGAAAGGAAGCCAAGAUACUCAAUGAUCCUCGAGGCAAUGCAAUGCAAUGCUAUGAUGCCAUGAGGGAUCUUAGGGACAAAAUUAGGGUCUUACAGAUGCCCCUAUUUAAGGUCAUUCUAGCCGGAGAAGUGAAGGUUAAAAUCUUCAUAUCGACGAGGUGGAAUGGGCUUAAAUAAUAACAAAGAGACAAAUUUUGGUCCCUAAGAGACCUCAUGAUGCAAAUGUAUAUAUGCAAAAACAAACAAACUCUGUGGGGGAUAUAUGUCGACAAAGAAGAAAAGACAAUCCAGAGAGAAGAUAAUCCACUAGAGUAAUACACUCACCAGGAAUAGAGACUCUAACGGGGACUCUAUGGGGAUAGAAAAGAAAUGCGUGAGCAGGUCACGACUUGAAACUGGGGAGUAAAGGACUGAAACUGCGUGAGCAGGUCACGACUCAAAACUGGGGAAUAGAGUUUCCAAAAGGGAAAUAAAUCCGAUGGAAAGACACAAACUGACUCAAAGUUGCGUGUAUUGGGGAAUAUGCCAACACAGCAAAAUUAUCCGUAACGGAUACUUCGGAUAAAAAUCCGGACUCAGGCUGGGGAAAGAUAAACAAAAACAUCUAUGUCAGGAAGAAUGAAUAUCUAAGACCGAUAUAAGGAUGAGAGAUAUCAAUCAACCAAAUCAUCUGAGGAAGACCUAAAAAUGUAUAUUUCAACUCAGGAAAAUCUGACUCCACAGGGGACCAAAGUCAUAAUAGGGAGCAGAAGGAAGGAACACCAGGGAUACCGGUUACUGGGUAUAUAAUAGGUGACCAACCAAAGUGUGAAUUGGGGUUUACUUCAAAAACACUCAUCAUCCAAAAAGGAGGGCUAAAAAAAGAAAACUCAACUUACAGGAUGGACAUCCGGUUCCGCAAAGGGAAAACGAAUCUUACUCGAAUGGGGAAGGACAAAAGGCUUCAACCAAAGAGCGCAUGAGAUAUAUUAUCUAUUACCGUCAGAACGUAGAUAAUAUACUCGCAUGGAAGAUUAUCCACAACCAGUUAGUGAGUUGAUAAAGGAUAAAUCGACCGAAACGUGAAUUGGUGUGUGUGCCAAAACACUCAUCAUCCUGAAGAGAGCAAAACGCAAACUUGUUUAUAGGAUGGACAUUCGACUCCACAAGGAAUACGAAUCUUACUCGACUGAGGAAGGACAAAACUUUGACCGAAGAGUGCAUGAGAUAUAUUAUCUAUUGCCGUCAAAACAUAGAUAAUAUACUCGCAUGGAAGAUUAUCCACAACUGGUUAGUGAGUUGAUAAAGGAUAAAUCGACCGAAACGUGAAUUGGUGUGUGUGCCAAAACACUCAUCAUCCUGAAGAGAGCAAAACGCAAACUUGUUUAUAAGAUGGACAUUCGAUUCCACAAGGAAUACGAAUCUUACUCGACUGAGGAAGGACAAAACUUCGACCGAAGAGUGCAUGAGAUAUAUUAUCUAUUGCCGUCAAAACGUAGAUAAUAUACUCGCAUGGAAGAUUAUCCACAACUAGUUAGUGAGUUGAUAAAGGAUAAAUCGACCGAAACGAAAGGACAUCGGGAUACCAGUUACUGGGUAUAUAAUGAUGACCGAUCAAAGGGGAGCAACAAACAUCACCGGCAAACGGUAAAUGAACGAGGACCCGCUGGGGAUAAAACUGCUUACUCAGAGAAAUUAUCCACAAGAAGGGGGAAGACCCGCUGGGGAUAAAAAUUGCUUACUCAGAGCAAUUAUCCAUAAGAAGGAGGGAAUAUCAAUACCGAAUACUGGAUAAUGAUAACCGUCAAAUAGGGGAUUACUUCUACCGAAUACUGGGUAGAAAACCACAGAAGAGUAACCGUCAUCAACUAGGAUGAGCAACAAUGGUUAACUCUGCAAAGGGGAGAGAGUAGGAUUUACAACUAUCGGAUACUGGGUAAAAAACCGCAGACUCUGAUGGGGAGAAAAUAGGGUUUACAACUACCGGUAUGAGGGUAGAAAACCACAAACUCGGCAUGGGGAAAAAAAGGUAGGGUUUACAACUACCGGUAUAAAGGUAGAAAACCACCAACUUAGCUGAGGAGAGAAAGAUCACUACUCCGCUGGGGAUAAGAUGAAUGAUUGUCGGUUAUUGAGCAAUUAUUCAUUUGUACCACAUGGAAGCACAAAAGACAGUCACAAAAGGCCAAUUUAGGAUCAAACCAAAAAGGAAAACUGAAUCAAAACUCAUCCUAAUGAGGAUAUAACUCAAUAGGGGAACCCAUCCCAAUAUAUGUGUUGGGAGGAAACGAAAACAACCGUCAUCCACGAGGAUAUAACUCAGUGGGGAAAUGGCAGGAAAGAUAAACACUUUCUGCUUAAGGGGCUGACUCUAUAUUGAGAGAUUAGACAUCCGACAUCUGAUUGGGGAAACAUAUACCACCAAAUAGCAGGGACCAACAAACAACGAUAUAUGGCAAAGAAUGCAACAUGAAUAUCUGAAUGUUAUGAUUAUGCAUGUAUAUGCGUGAUUUAUGUAUGAUGAAUGCUGACAAACAGAUAUAUCUGACACACAAAGGUCCAGGAAUCAAACACCCGGUACUACAUCUCAAGAGAGAAAGCCAGGAUCACCGGAGAAUAUCCAAUCUGCCGGGGAUCAGAGACAACAACACCAUCUGCAGGGAUGAAUCAUCAGUCUUAGCUGGGAAAAAGGGGCUCGCUGCACAGGCAGAAACUGCCACAAAAGCAACUCCAAGCAACUCCACUGGGGAAUCCACUUGAUGGAGAAAAGAUCGCACAAGUAGAAUCUGCCACACAAGCAACUCUAUUGGGGAUUAGAGAUAUCAGGAAAUCACCAAAUCUCUGCGGGGGAAUGAACAACAACCCUUCCAACUGUGAACCGGAUCAUGGCACAAACAAGUUCUGUUGGAGAAACCAACUCCUCCAGGGAACUUCAUCAAAAAAAAGGGUGAUGGAUCCUUGUGGGGAUACAACCACCAACCAGAAGCUCCCAAAGGUCAAACGAACCAAGAGCUCUCACCUGCUGAGGAGGAAGAAGGCUAAAAAACCUUUACCAUACACUCUGCUCGGGGGAAAAACACAAAAGGCUCCGAAGGAAACAUCAGUCACAGCCGGAGAAACGAGUUCAUUGUGCAGGUAGAAACUGCUACAAAAGCGACCCAUGCUGGGAGACCUAGAUACUAAAAAAUAACAGUAUCUCAGCGAGGGAUGACUCAUCACAGAUAAAAUCCACCAUACCAACAACUCUGAUGGGGAUUUAUCCGAGGAAACAGCAAUGUCCCAUGCAGGGGAUAACAUCAUCAUAGAUAAGAUCCAACACCAACAACUCCGCUGGGGAUCUAUCUGAGGAAAUGAAUGAAUUCUGGGGAUCAACCACCACAAACCGAACCUUCCAAAGAGGACACACCUGCCAAGGGGAAGAUCACUGCUCUUCUGCUAGGGGAGAGUGAUGGACAUCUCAACAAGCAUACCAUUCAGGGAUGAAGCAUUACGAAUAAAGUUCAUCACACCAAUAACCCUGCUGGGGAGUUUGUCUGAUGGAUAGAGGGAUUAUGGGGACCAACCCCCCAAAACAAAUCUUCCAGAGAGGACACAACUGUCGAGGAGUGAAGCUCACUGCUCUGCUGAAGGGAGAAGAGAUGAAUAAUCUCAACAAGCACUCUGCUUGGGGAUGAACCCAUAACAAAAUUUUGGGAGAAGAAGAUACAGUCAUGCCAAGGAUAUGAACAAAUGUCUUACCCUGUUGGGAAUCAUACAACCCUUGGGAGAGCACUGAGGAUCUCCUAAGUAUCUAUUCAUCAUUGGGAAUGUUCACUUUGUUAAAAAACAAUUUGUGAAAAAAUUUGUUUGUUUAAAACAAUGAUAUUUUCUCAAUUAAAAUAUGCAAAACAUUUGUUGAAUAGAAACAAAUAAGAGUGCAAAUAAUUGGAAAAAGGCUCAAAUUUAUUUGAUGGAAUGGUAGCCUGCGAAUGGCAAGACUCCAUAGAUUUUACAAAUUUGAAAUUGGUGAUAUAUAUUGGAAAAGGGCUACAUUGAACAUAAUGACCAUUUCUCCACCAAUUCCGAAUUCGAUGUAUUUGAAACUUCAGUUGACGAUGACUGAGCGAGAAUCCCUGAAGGAUGAUAGAUGUAGAACACAGUCUUGUCAGGAUGCAGUUACUUGUCAAAUCCCUAAUUUUUGCCUAGAUUGCCCCAGGAUGAGGUACUCAAUCUAGCGGGAUGCAAAUAUUCAUUUUUUUUCAUGUCUCUAACUUUUGCCUGGAUCGCCCUUUCGGGUUUUCAAUCCACCGAGANUGGCCUCCAUCAAGACUCUCAUUGAUGGGAUCUCCACCUCUACUGGGAGUACGGCCUCCAUGCCAUAAACAAGAGAGAAAGGGGUUGCCCCUGUUGAAGUGCGGACAGAUGUACGAUAUCCAUGCAACGCAAAUAGCAGCAUCUCAUGCCAAUCUUUGUACGUAACAACCAUUUUCUGGAUAAUCUUCUUGAUAUUCUUGUUAGCAGCUUCAACAGCCCCAUUCAUCUUGGGUCUGUAGGGAGAAGAAUUAUGGUGUGCAAUCUUGAACUCAUUACACAACUCCUUCAUCAUCUUGUUAUUCAGAUUAGAUCCAUUGUCAAUAAUGAUCUUAUCUGGCUCACCAUAGCGGCAUAUGAGUUGAUUUUUGAUAAACUUCACGACCACUUGCCUGGUCACGUUUGCAUAUCACACAGCUUCAACCCACUUGGUGAAGUAAUCAAUUGCUACGAGAAUAAACCUGUGUCCAUUGGACGCUUUCGGCUCAAUCAUGCCAAUCAUGUCAAUUCCCCACAUGGAGAAAGGCCAUGGUGAUGAAAUCACAUUUCAAAAGUGUUGGAGGAAUAUGAAUCUAUCCGCGUAAAUUUCUGACACUUAUGCCAUUUCCUCAGCAUAUUUGCAGCAAGUCAGACUCCAUUGUCAGCCAAUAAAAGUUAUAGGCCUGCUCUCAACAUCUUUCUAGCCAUGGGCAUGUCCAUUGGAAUGAGUACCAAAUGAACCCUCAUGGACCUCAGUCAUCAACAGGUCUGCUUCGUGUCUAUCCACGCAUCUGAGCAGAACCAUGUCAAAAUUUCUCUUAUAAAGCACUUCUCUAUUGAGGUAGAAACUGCCUGACAAUCUUCUCAAAGUUUUCCUAUCUUUCACAGAUGCCCCAGGCGGGUAAACCUGGUUCUGGAGGAAACACUUGAUGUCAUAAUACCAAGGCUUGUCAUCAUUCGCUUCUUCUACUGCAAAUAUAUAAGUUGGUCUAUCCAAGCGCAUCACGGUGAUAUUGGGAACUUCAUUCCAAUAUUUCACCACAAUCAUGGAAGCAAGCAUAGCAAGAGCAUCUGCCAUCCGAUUAUCAUCUCGAGGAAUAUGAUGAAAGUAAACCUCAGUAAAGAACGUUGAAAUCCUCCUCGCAUAAUCUCUAUAUGGAAUGAGACCAGGCUGAUUCGUUUCCCAUUCACCCUUAAUCUGAUUAACAACGAGGGCCGAAUCACCGUAUACAUCAAGAUGUUUGAUCCUUAGAUCAAUGCAUUCUUCCAAUCCCAUAAUACAGGCUUCAUACUCAGCCAUAUUAUUCGUGCAUUUGAAAGUUAGCCUUGCUGUAAAAGGAAUAUGUGUGCCCUGAGGAGUAAUGAUUACCUCCCCAAUACCAUUUCCGUAUUGAUUUACAGCGUCAUCAAAUACCAUACUCCAUCUGGAACCAGGCUCUGGCCCUUCAUCGAGUGUAGGCUCAUCACAAUCUUUCAUCUUCAAAUACAGAAUCUCCUCAUCUGGGAAGUCGUACUGAACAAACUGGUGAUCUUCAAUCGGCUGAUGUGCCAAGUGGUCAGCCAAGAUACUACCUUUAAUAGCCUUCUGAGCUCGAUACUCAAUAUCAUACUCAGAUAACAACAUCUGCCAACGGGAAAUCCUCCCGGUUAAAGCAGGCUUCUCGAAGAUGUUACUUUGAUUGGUCCCAUUUUGGAUAUCAACCCAAGUCGUGAUGAUUUAUCAUAUACUGGCGUAAACGCUUAGCAGCCCAAGCUCAAGCACAACAUGUCUUAUCAAGCAUUUGAGUAUCUGAGACUCAACAUCAUGAAACUUCUUACUCAGGUAGUAGAUAACAGAUCUUUCUUCCCUGAUUCAUUCUUGUGACCAAGGGAUGCAACCAUCUUAGUCUUGCAAGACUGUCAGAUACAAUGAUCAAAGGUCUUUCCUUCUACAGGCGGAGACAGGAUUGGAGGUUCAGACAGAUACUCUUUGAUACUAUCGAAAGCUUUCUGGCAAUCCUCGGUCCAAUCAUGGGACUGAUCUUUCCGGAGGAGCUUGAAUAUCGGCGCACAUGUAGCAGUCAUGUGGGAUAUAAAUCUGGAAAUGUAAUUCAAGCGACCAAGAAAACCUCAGACUAGCUUCUCAGUUUUGGGCGCAGGCAUCUCUCGUAUUGCUUUGACCUUUGCAGGAUCAACCUCAAUACCUCUUUCGCUGACAACAAAGCCCAAUAACUUUCCAGAACGGACUCCAAAUGUACACUUGUUGGGAUUCAGACGAAGCUUGAACUUCCUCAAACGCUGAAAAAGCUUCAACAAAUGUCCUAUAUGUUCAACUUCCGUUCUUGACUUAGCAAUCAUAUCAUCAACAUAUACCUCGAUCUCCUUGUGCAUCAUAUCAUGGAACAAGGUAGUCAUAGCUCGUUGAUACGUGGCUCCGGCGUUCUUCAAACCGAUUCAAACCGAAGGGCAUCACUCGAUAACAGAAUGUUCCCCAAGGUGUGAUGAAUGUUGUCUUCUCCAUAUCCUCGGGUGCCAUCUUAAUUUGAUUAUAUCUGGAAAAUCCGUCCAUAAAUGAGAAGAUAUUGAAUUUAGUUGUAUUGUCUACCAACAUAUCAAUGUGUGGUAGAGGGAAAUCAUCUUUCGGACUAGCUUUAUUCAAAUCUCUGUAAUCUACACACAUACGGACUUUUCCGUCUUUCUUAGGCACGGGCACAAUAUUGGCCACCCAUUGAGGAUAUGUAGAAGUCACCAGAAACCCCGCAUCAAUUUGCUUCUGCACUUCUUCUUUGAUCUUCACUGCCAUAUCAGGAUGAGUUCUUCUGAGCUUCUGCUUCAGAGGCACGCACUCAGGCUUCAAAGGCAGGAAAUGUUGUACAAUAUCUAUAUCUAGACCCGGCAUGUCUUCAUACGACCAAGCAAAGAUAUCAGCAUAUUCUCGUAGCAAUUCAAUCAACCCCUUCUUAACAGAUUCUUCCAUGAGUGCCCCAAUCUUCACUUCUCGAACACAAUCCUCAGACCCCAAGUUGACUGUUUCCAGAUUCUCAAGAUGCGGCUGAAUGAUCUUCUUUUCAUGCUCAAGUAGACGGGUAAUCUCGUCAUGAAUCUCUUCAACAUCAUCUUCCUCUGCCUCAAAUACAGGGAAUUCAAAAUUGGGAGAUAGCGUUGGAUCAUUAUGUUCAAUGGGUUUAGUAAUCAACCUGCAUAAUGAUUUUGGAUAUGAAAAGCUUUUUAGAAAUCAAACAAUGCAAUCAUUAUGCAGAUGAAAAGAUUGAUUUUAUUCUUGUUUUUAGGGUUUUUUGUGAUCACCAAUUUCAUGCAAAAAGCAAAAAGGGAAAAUAAUUGGAAAAACAAACAUUUAACAUGAAUUUAUUGAAUGAAAAUAUCAUUGUAUUUAUGAUGCCAACAAUGUCAUCACUUCUCCUUUUGGCAUGGGAGAAGGGUUUUUUAAACAAAGUGAGCAUUACUCUGACUUGAGGAUAACUGUAGGAACAUCCACAGCGAUCCAAUUGUUGCAGACCCCACCAAGGAUAACAAAAUUGUCAGAAUCCUCUGCAUCCUCUUCCAAGAUAGCAGCAGCUUCUUCAUCCUGGCCGGUGUGGAUAAAACCUCCACUCUUGAAUAGCCCUUUCUCAUUGAAGACCCUAGAAGAAAAGCCAAUGCCAGCCCGGGACUUAUUGUCUUCCAUCUCAAUCAUUUUUCCUAGACCAGCAAUUGCACCACAUUCAAUGGCCAAUUUCACAUCUCGAUAGGAAGCAAAUGAAGGAGUUCUCUUCUCAACAGCUUCAGCUAUAGAUAAAGCUUGGAAAGGAGUUCCAACUUCAUCCUCAGCAUCUAUGUAUGAGAAGGAAGACAAGUGGCUAACCAGGAGAGCCUUUUCUCCCCCUACUGUAGCACCUCAAAUUUGCACCUCCCAUUUUGUAUAUACAUUUUCAUUUUAGGUCAUUAACAUUGCAUUGUCCAUUGCAUAGUCCAUCAAGUCAUCAGUCAAGACUGGUCAGGAGAUUCAGUUGUGCAAGCAAGCAAGUGCAUUUUCUAUGGCAUCAAAGACCUAGGGUUGGUUCAAUGUGUUCAUGUGACCUAGGGAUCAUUUUGAAGUGGUUUGGUCAAGCAUUGAAGGUUCAAAGCUCAUCAGUCAAUGAUCAAUUCAUCUGAAACCCUAGAAAGUCAACCAAAGUCAACUGUCAGUUCAACCAUGGAUUUGAAGGUGGGAGAUGGUUAGAGAUGCCUCAUUCAUGUCCAUACAAGUCUCAUUUGACAUUUCAAACAUCAACAAUGAAGAAUUUGAGGUCAGAUGAAAAGUUUCCAAAAAUAGUAAGUGACCUGUAAUUUGAAACUGCCAAAAAUGGAAAGGUUUUCUCCUCAAGAUUACAUCAUCAAGAAAGCUUCAAAUGAAAUUUUGUCCAACAUGAAAGUUGAAGAUAUUGCUCUCCCAUUUCCAAAAAGUCCAAGAUCAUGAAUUUCUCAUGUAUGGUUGAAAAGAUAUGGAUCAAUCAUGGCCAAGUGAAUUUGAAUUUCAAACAUGCAUAACUUUCAAACCAAAUGUCCAAAUGAAGUGGUUCUUUUUACAACAUUUUUCUCUUAAUCUCUACUAUCCAAAACAUGCAUCACAUGCCAUGCAUUCUCAUCACAUAAUUUUUUGGUUUUUCAUUUGAAUUUUGGAGGGAAUUUUCAAAUUCAAAAAUAAUGCAUUGUUCUCACAUUUUAACACUUGCAUUGGCUCCAAAAUAACAUUUUCAAGUGAAUCCAAUCCAAAAACGUGCACUGUUCCAUUGGUUUGCAUGCAUAAGGGUGAAAUUGCAAAUUUGCCAAAACACUCUAUUCUCACUAAUCCACUUACCAUUGGCUUAAUUGUGAUUAACAACUUGAUUAGGAGGGAGUAUAAAGGGCUAAGCAUAACAGAUUUUCUGAUAACAAUAAUCACUUUUUCAGAUCUAGAAAAAACACUCCAAAUUUUCCUCUCAAACUUUCUUGCAUUUUCUUCGCAUAACAUCCAUUCAUCUUGCUUAAUUCUUGUUGCUGAGGUGUUUUUGAGCAGGAUUACAUGUGGAAUCGAAGCCAAUAGUGCAGGAUCAAAGCAUUCUUCAAGCUUNGAGUUUGUAUUUUUACCAUUUGUGGUUGCUGUUUUAUGCUCAUGUGAAUGUAGGUGUGACAAUGUGUGUCACACCUUUGCUUGUCCAACUUGAUUAAUUGAUUUGCCAUGCCAAAUGAAUUCCAAUUGAUGUGAUUUUUUGUAUGAUGCUUCUUAUGGAUGUUGUGAAUGCUCAUGAUUUUUUGUGGAAUUUUUGGAUUAAUUUAUGAUUUGAUUAAUAUUUUCCUUUCUGGAUAGUCAUGUUUGGGCUUUUGAAUUGUCUUGAUUUUCAUUUGUUUGUGAAAUGCUUGUGCUUUAUCCUAUGAAUGUGAAAUUUUGCACAUUGUUUAUAGACAUGUUGAAGUUUGUUUUGGCUUUGGAUUGAGGUCUUUAUCAUGUUUCAUUUCUGUUUUAGGCUUGUGCUAAUUUGAUGUGCCAAGUUGUGUCCUAUUUGAGCUUGUUUUGAUUGCCUUGCCUUAUGCCAUUUGAUUACCAUGCUUAAUCAUGUCCAAUUGCCCUAAUUUUCUGUGUGAUGAUCAUGUUGUAUGUUCUGUUCACCCAUGAAUUUUCUCAAGAUUAUUUGAAUCAUUUUUGAAUUAAUGUGCAUUUGUUCAUGCUGUUGUCUCAAUGUACUUUCAAUUGGCAUACCUUGCCAUGAUUGGUUUAUGAAAUGAAUUUGGUUGAUGCUAUUGACAUGAGACCUUUUAGAUUGUGUUCUUAAUUGAUUAAGGUUGAUUCAUGUCAAUUUGCAUGUUCUGUUUUGGAUUUUUCCUCCAUCUUUGACCCUAGGCCUUGACCUAGUGCUUUGUUGCUUAUGUUUGAGCUGUGAUUUCAGGUUAAAGAAGCACAUUGCCUUAAGUGAAGUGGUUCACUCAUUUGGAUGGAUUAUUUGGUUGAUGUUGACUAAUCUUGACUUGUUUUGUAGGUUGAUGUUAGCUCAUUUGAGUUUGAGCUUGUGCCUUGCACAUUGUUGCAUUGCUUGUUUGACUAUGUCUGUGGACUGUUGAUAAUUGGUUGUCUAUUUGGUUUAUUUGAGUUGUAUACUGAUUGAGUUGGAUUUUUCAGGUACAUUAGUUGCUUAAGUUCUUUUGAACUUGCUUUUGCUUUGUUUGGUUGCUUAACCAUUUGAGGUAUAACUCACUGACUUCAUGUAGUCUGGAAGACCUGUCCUGUUACUUGGGCAGGCACCUGUCUGAAGCCCUCCUUAAGAGGCAAUGCUUGUGUUUGUUUAUCUUUGUGCCAAGCAGGAAAAGAGCUCUAUGAGGCAAUUGGCGGAUAAAAGAGAUGUGCAAUCNNNNNNNNNNNNNNNNNNNNNNNNNNNNNNNNNNNNNNNNNNNNNNNNNNNNNNNNNNNNNNNNNNNNNNNNNNNNNNNNNNNNNNNNNNNNNNNNNNNNNNNNNNNNNNNNNNNNNNNNNNNNNNNNNNNNNNNNNNNNNNNNNNNNNNNNNNNNNNNNNNNNNNNNNNNNNNNNNNNNNNNNNNNNNNNNNNNNNNNNNNNNNNNNNNNNNNNNNNNNNNNNNNNNNNNNNNNNNNNNNNNNNNNNNNNNNNNNNNNNNNNNNNNNNNNNNNNNNNNNNNNNNNNNNNNNNNNNNNNNNNNNNNNNNNNNNNNNNNNNNNNNNNNNNNNNNNNNNNNNNNNNNNNNNNNNNNNNNNNNNNNNNNNNNNNNNNNNNNNNNNNNNNNNNNNNNNNNNNNNNNNNNNNNNNNNNNNNNNNNNNNNNNNNNNNNNNNNNNNNNNNNNNNNNNNNNNNNNNNNNNNNNNNNNNNNNNNNNNNNNNNNNNNNNNNNNNNNNNNNNNNNNNNNNNNNNNNNNNNNNNNNNNNNNNNNNNNNNNNNNNNNNNNNNNNNNNNNNNNNNNNNNNNNNNNNNNNNNNNNNNNNNNNNNNNNNNNNNNNNNNNNNNNNNNNNNNNNNNNNNNNNNNNNNNNNNNNNNNNNNNNNNNNNNNNNNNNNNNNNNNNNNNNNNNNNNNNNNNNNNNNNNNNNNNNNNNNNNNNNNNNNNNNNNNNNNNNNNNNNNNNNNUCAGUGUGUCAUUCACUUUGCUCACACACCUUGUGUUGAUGCAUUGUGGAUAUUAACCCAAGAUCUUUGUUGUGUCAGUCAUAUGUGGAGAAGAGUUCCAACUUUCUGAACUCCCACACUUUCAUUUGUCUGAAGCUCUCCCAGGCCAGGGAUAAGAGCUGUGAGGUCUUACCCUCACUUCCCAUUUCAUCUGCUUCACCCUAACUCUCAAUGUUAGGGUUAAGAGCUAAUUACACCCGAUUCCAGUUGGCUUGUGUUUCACAGCCUAACCUUGUGUGAGCCCGCUUUGUUUGUAUAUAGUGUAUGCUAUUGGUGUGAAUGAUUGCUUUGCCUGUGCUGUUUAGGAUAGCUUGCUCCCUGUGCAAGUUAGAUAGCAACCUUAACAUAGGGAUCGUAUGCAUGAUAACUUCUAGGCUCGAUUCGUAGUCUCCCUAGUAGUUUGUGUCUCCCUUUGUAUCUGGUUAGGCUAGUCCUUUUUCCCCGCGUAGGGGAACUACGUCGCCCUGAUCCUCAUACCAGAUGAGGUACGUAGGCAGGAGAUGAGCUGAUCUCUCCGAGCGCCCUUUUCUUUUUCAACCCCUUUGUGUGUGUUGGAGUCUGACAUAAGUCCAGCGAUUGGCAGUUGGUUUCCCGUGUCUUGUUUGCUUGUUGGAGUCUGACGUAAGUCCAGCGAUUGGCAGUUGGUUUCCUGUGUGUGGGUUUGUCAGUUUGGAGUCUGAUGUAAGUCCAGUGAUUGGCAUUCGGUUUCCAGGUUUGCCUGUUUGUGUGGAGUUUGACGUAAGUCCAGCGAUUGGCAGUCGGUUUCCUUUGUUGUUUUGUUUGGCGUGCGUUAGCCGAGCUACGAGUGCUCUGAUUCUUCUCUGGUUAGAGAAGAUACGUAUGCAUAGGAUGCGACAUCCUAGCGAGCACGUUUCCCCUUGUCCCGAACUACGUCGACUCUGAUGUCUGUGCCUGACAGACUAUGUAGGCCCAGGAUGCGAUAUCCUGCCGAGUUAGUUUCUUUUGUCGUUUCUGUGUCUCUUUACAGCCUUGUGUGAUGUUUGAGCAGUUUCUAGCAACCUUUAUCCUUCCUUUUGUGCUUGGAUCCCGUCGAGUACGACGGAUGCGUCGGGGUGCUAAUACCUUCCCUUCGCAUAACCGACUCCCGAUCCCAUCUCUCUUUGGUCGCGAGACCAUGUCCUUUCCAGGUUUACUUCGAGCGUUUCCUUUCCCUCUUUUGGGAUAAAUAACACACGGUGGCGACUCUGUUGUUUCUUUUUCCUGCCGGUUUUUCACGUAAUGCGACAGCUGGCGACUCUGCUGGGGAAUAGAGAGAAGUUGACCUCUUGCUGGUCCAUCUUCCCUAGGAGAGUCUCUCCUAGCGCUCUCUAGGAUAGGGUUUGGUUGCUUUUGCUGUUUCAUUUAUUGCAUUCAUCUAUUUAUUGUUUGCAUUAAUGUUUGCAUUUAUGUUUGCAUUCAUUCAUAUUCAUUUGUUCAUCUGGCUUUGCUGUGUUGUCUCUCUGUUGGGGUGGGAGUUACAUGAGGUAAAAGGCCCAAUACCCAGGCUAUGAGUGAAAUCUAGGAUACCUAGGAAUAGAGUGAUUCAUGGGAAGCGGGUGGUAUUGCGCCACUUAGCGGAACAUUGAUAUCACGAGCAGUUCAGACUCUGAUGGUAUUAUCGUUACAUAAUUCGGUGUGUUUAUGAUGGUUUCUAUGAAGGGUUAUUUAUGUUGCGUUUCUCUCGACCUUACCCUGGCCUAGAUGACACCCGUGAGUGGGGAGGGAAUGAUCAUUAUUACAGGUACAGUUGGUGACUUGUCGGUGACUUGUUGGUGACUUGUGAUCCUGUUGGUGACUCUUGACUCUACAAAAUUGAUGGGGUUUCAGAUGAAUUUGUGGUUCCGAGUUCAAGCCGAACCUUUGAUCCUGUGUUCUGAGAUGCACAGCCUGCCAGUCUUGUCUGCAUCAUUUGCAUCAUAGCAUGUUUAUUUCAAAAAAAUAUGCAACAAAAAAUUGAAAAAAAAGAAAAAAGAAAAGAAACUAACCUCUGCAUGCAUAUCAUUUCUCAGGUUCAUUCAGGAGUUCGAUUCACUGAUAGAGAUGGCAACAGUUCCAGAGUUGAAGCGGAAGACUUGUUCCUACAGCUUUCACCGUGAGCCUUUGACAUCGUUGAUAGAGUUGAGCAACCUUGUGACCAGUGGUAAUCAGAAGGGGUUUGUUGAUCAGUAUGGUGAUAUUCUGACACUGCUGAAGAUGGUAGUUGAUCCAGUGCCGUUGCAGACUCUUCUACAGUUCUACGACCCAGAGCUGCGUUGCUUCACCUUUCAGGAUUAUCAGUUGGCGCCUACUCUUGAGGAGUACUCCAUUCUGUUAAGCGUCCCGAUUCAGCAUCAGGUUCCUUUCUUGGAUGUGCCUAAGGAGGUUGAUUUCAGAGUUGUUGCUAGAGCUCUCCAUUUGGGUAUCAAAGAAGUCAGUGAUAAUUGGAAGUCCAGUGGGGAUGUUGUAGGGUUGCCUUUGAAGUCCCUGUUGAGGAUUGCCAGAGAAGAAGCAGAGAAGGGAAAUUGGGAGGCUUUUCAUGACCAGUUGGCCAUCAUGAUCUAUGGGAUUAUCCUGUUCCCGAGUAUGCCCAACUUUGUGGACUAUGCUGCAGUCAUUAUCUUUCUCGGAGGAAACCCGGUUCCUACUUUGUUAGCUGACACUUACUAUGCUAUUCACAGUAGGCAUGGUAAGGGUGGAGCUAUCAGAUGUUGCCUUCUGUUGUUGCUCAGAUGGUUCUUGUCUCUCCUGCCAGUCAGUGGACCCUUUGUGGAUGCUCAGAGCACUCAUAAGUGGACUCAGAGGGUUAUGUCUCUUACUUCAUAUGAUAUCAGAUGGCAGUCUUAUCGGAUGGAUGUGCGGGAUGUUAUCAUGAGUUGUGGAGAGUUCCGGAAUGUGCCACUUGUGGGGAUUAAGGGUUGCAUCAAUUACAACCCGGUUCUUUCUCUGCGCCAGUUGGGGUUUGUGAUGAGUAGAAAACCACUUGACGCUGAGAUAGUUGAGAGUGUGUACUUUGAGAAGCGAAGUGACCCUGUUAGCUUGGAGCGAGUGGGAAGAGCUUGGAAGUCCAUUGGUGUUAAGGAUGGAUUUGUUCUAGGGAAGAAGUUUGCCAUUGCUAUGCCUGACUACACUGAGUGGGUCAGGAAGAGAGUGGAGACUUUGUUGCUGCCCUAUGAUAGGAUGAAUCCUUUGCAAGUGCAACCACAUUUGAUCCUUGCUGAGAGUGUACCUGCUGAGCAGUACAAGCAAACCCUGAUGGAGAAUCGCAGGUUGAAAGAGAAAGAGCAAGACACUCAGAUGGAGUUGUACAAAGCCAAAGCUGAUAGGUUGAAUCUGACUCAUCAACUCAGAGAUAUUCAGAAUGUGGAUGUUGGUGGAGUAAAGAGCAAGAAGAGAUCCUAUGAAGAGAUGGAGAAUUUGCUGAAUGCAGAACACCGGGAAUGCCUAAGGUUGCAGAGAGUUGAAGCCAGUUACCAGAAGAAGAUCAGGGACUUGGAGAAGCAACUCAGAGACAAAGACAUCCAGUUGAAGAAGGAAGUUGACUUGAGACGUACAUCAGAGAACCAACUUGGAGGAGAAGUUGUGGAGCUUAGAAGACAGUUGAAGGAGAAGCUCACUCCCUUGCCAGAAUGUUCAGAGUGUGACCUGUUGAUAGACUAGUGUCACUACUUAAAGACUCUCGUUCCUGGAAACCAUUUGUCUUAGCUUGUAUUUCUGAUGUUUAUGUUGAGAAUCACCUCCAGGUUUGUUGGAUGGGAUUCGUUGUUGUACUUUGAUUCUGUUGGAUCUUUGAAUCUUUGUUGUAUGAUCCUGUUGCUCAUAUCUAUGUAUGAGGUUGUUGGGGUUUCACCUUGUACUCAUUACUCUUGUGUAUGUUGAUCCUGUGCUUCUGUGUGGCUCUUGUUGCAGGUUGCCAUCUUUCGAAGAUGAAUUAGGCUCUUUGAAUGCCUGAGAAAUGAACAUAUCAUGUGCAUCAUAUGCAUUAGCAUCAUACCCAUAUCAUUUUGCAUAACAGGUGUUCUUGUCCGCGACUUCUCACUCUGGUUCCUGUGUCAGGCAGGAUAGCUGAUCAAAGACCACAUCGCUACUCAACCAGACUUAAUCAUCAGAGGAAUAUGGACCAAGUUCAGACAGAAUUGGCUGAGAUGAGGGCAAACAUGGCCCAGUUUAUGACUAUGAUGCAAGGGGUUGCGCAAGGUCAAGAAGAACUUCGAGCCGUGGUUCAGAGACAGGAAGCCGUGAUUCCGCCGUCUAACCGUGCUUCACCGGUGGGUGUACCCGUUCAUGAGAAUGUUGCUGCUGCUCCCGUCAACGACUACGCUGUGGGUGAUGAGUUAAGGGGUAUCAGAAUUAACGGACAACCUCUUGCUGCAGAGACUGUUAAUGCCAGAGCUACCCGGGCUCCGAUUCGUCAUCCUGCUCCGAUUGUUGAUAGACAAGAGGAUAUGUUCACUCUGCUUAGUGAGGACGAUGAGGUUGUUGGAAGAGUCGAGGAGAGGGACCGUAAGGUGGAUGCCCUUGCUGAGAAAAUCCGAGCUAUGGAAUGUCAGAACUCCCUUGGGUUUGAUGUGACCAAUAUGGGUUUGGUUGAAGGGUUGAGAAUUCCCUACAAAUUCAAGGCACCCUCGUUUGAUAAAUACAAUGGCACUUCUUGCCCUCGCACCCAUGUGCAGGCAUAUUAUCGGAAAAUCUCUGCUUACACAGAUGACGAGAAAAUGUGGAUAUAUUUCUUCCAGGAUAGCUUGUCUGGAGCUUCCUUGGAUUGGUACAUGGAGCUGAAGAGAGAUUCAAUCCGAUGCUGGAGGGAUUUGGGUGAAGCCUUCUUGAGGCAGUACAAACAUAAUAUGGACAUGGCGCCGAGCCGGACUCAGUUGCAGAGUCUAUGUCAGAAAUCUGGUGAAAGCUUCAAGGAGUACGCCCAGAGGUGGCGUGAAUUGGCUGCUAGAGUACAACCCCCUAUGCUAGAGAGGGAGUUGACUGGCAUGUUUAUUGGUACACUGCAGGGUGUUUUCAUGGACCGGAUGGGAAGUUGCCCCUUCGGUAGUUUCUCGGACGUUGUGAUAUGCGGAGAGAGGACAGAGAGCCUGAUCAGAGCUGGUAAAAUUCAGGAUGUGGGUUCCUCAUCUUCCAAGAAACCUUUUGCUGGGGCACCUCGCAGGAGAGAGGGUGAGACCAGUGCUGUAUAACACGGUAGAAGGGUUGUGAAUAGAAAUCAGUAUCGCCAGGUUGCUGCUGUGACCAUCCCAGCACCUCAACCUUGUCAACAUCAACAACAGAGGGUUCAACAACCGCCACAACAACAACAACAACAGCAACGUCCGUAUCAGCCUAGGCAGAGGAUGCCUGAUAGACGUUUUGAUCCUUUACCGAUGACCUACACUGAGUUGCUACCUGAGUUGCUCAGAUUGGGAUUCGUGGAGUUGAGGACUAUGGCACCGUUGACAAAAAUAACACCUGGGUAUGAUGCCAACGUGCAUUGUGAUUUCCAUUCUGGUGCGCCGGGGCAUCACAUUGAGAACUGCAGGGCUUUUCAUCAUAAAGUCCAGGACCUAAUUGACGCUAAAACUAUCAAUUUUGCUCCUGUGCGAAUGUUGUAAACAACCCUAUGCCGCCGCAUGGUGCACACAGAGUGAACAAUGUGGAAGAUGGUAGAGCUGAAGACUUGGUUGUUAGCGUUGAGGAGAUCCAGACUCCGCUGUCAGUUGUGAAGGACCGUCUAUUGAAUGGAGGUGUAUACCCGGGCUGUGAUCAGGGAUGUGUUGAUUGUGCUGAAUCAGAGAAUGGUUGUGAUCAGUUGAGGGCUGGUGUCCAGAGAUUGGUUGAUGAGGGCUGUUUGCGGAUCAGUCGGGCUGUUAGAGAUCCUGUGGUGGUGUCUACCGUCACCAUCUACUUCAAACCGUCUGAGGGACGUGGACAGAGGGCUGUUAGUGCUUCUACAACUGCGGAUAUUCCUGUUACCAUUUCUGCGCUUGUAACCGUCAGUAAUCCGACUACUAUUGUUGCUCCUGGCAGAAGGGCUGGUGAUAGUAGGGCUGUGCCAUGGAGAUAUGACAAUGCUUAUCGCAGCAAUCGGAGGGCUGAGAAUCAGGUUAGGCCAGUGAAUCAAGCGCCUGUGACAAUUGGUGUGCCUGGUAGAACUCCUGUGGUUGUGAGUCCAGUUGUGGACAAUGUUGGUGGACCAUGAGGUUUUACCCGAAGUGGACGUCUGUUUUCUCCGCAACCGUUAAGAGACAACAAUGUCGAGGCUCUUGCCAAGACUAAAGGCAAACAGGCUGUGGUUGAUGAAGAACCGGCUCAGAAGGAGGCGCCUGAGGGUUCGUUCGAGAAGGACGUGGAGGAGUUCAUGAAGAUAAUCAAGAAGAGUGACUACAAGAUUGUAGAUCAGCUGAAUCAGACUCCGUCCAAGAUUUCUAUCCUCUCAUUGCUCCUGUGCUCUGAGGCACAUUGUAAUGCCCUGUUGAAGAUGCUGAAUCUGGCUUACGUGCCGCAAGAGAUUUCUGUCAACCAGCUGGAGGGAGUGAUUGCCAAUGUGAGCACCAGGCACGGUUUGGGGUUCACUGACUUGGACUUGACGCCUGAAGGGCGUAACCAUAAUAAGGCCUUGCAUAUCACGAUGGAGUGCAAGGGGGCUGUGUUGUCGCAUGUGUUGGUAGACACUGGCUCGUCUCUGAACGUGCUGCCCAAGAAGAUUCUGGGUAAGAUGGAUGUUGAAGGGGUUGUGCUCACUCCGAAGCAUGUGUUGGUAGACACUGGCUCGUCUCUGAACGUGCUGCCCAAGAAGAUUCUGGGUAAGAUGGAUGUUGAAGGGGUUGUGCUCACUCCGAGUGACCUGAUUGUGCGUGCAUUUGACGGACCCAAACGGUCUGUUUUUGGUGAAGUCACCUUGCCAAUGAAGAUAGGUCCGGAGGUUUUCGACAUUGUCUUCUAUGUGAUGGACAUCCAACCCGCAUACAGUUGUUUGUUGGGGCGUCCUUGGAUUCACGCAGCUGGGGCAGUUUCGUCAACUCUCCACCAAAAGUUGAAAUAUGUCUGGAACGGUCAGAUUGUGACCGUGUGCGGUGAAGAAGACAUUCUGGUGAGUCACCUAUCCUCUUUCAAGUAUGUAGAGGUGGAUGGCGAGAUCCAUGAAACCUUAUGCCAGGCAUUUGAGACUGUUGCUCUUGAGAGGGUGGCUUUUGCUGAGCAGAAGAAGCCGAGUGCCUCAAUUGCAUCGUAUAAGCAGGCCAAGGAGGUUGUUGACUCUGGUAACGCUAAGGCUGGGGCAAGAUGGUGGAUUUUCCUAUCAAGGAAGAUAAGUUCGGAAUUGGCUAUCAACCUUUGCAAGCGGAGCAGGGUGUGCAGACAGGUCCGAGUACCUUUACCAGCGUUGGGCUGAUGAAUCACGGUGACGUCUUUGCAACCGGUGUUGAAGACUGUGAUAGUGAUUGUGAUCUCGACAACUGGGUUUGCCCGUGUGCACCAGGGGAGAUGAUCAACAAUUGGACAACAGAAGAUGUGGUCCAAGUUACUCUUCAAACAGAGUAAUUUUCUUUUGUUUUUUCAUUCUGCACAAAACCCUACGUUCUGCCCAAGGCGUAGUGGUUCAUUGUAGGGCCUCAUCAUCGAUGGUUCUUCAAUAAUUCAUUAAUAAAGGACGUUUUGCAAACAAUUUGUGAUCCUGUCUUCAUACCCCAAAAUUUGCCCGUUGCAUUACCAAACAUUUUCCAAGACCCUCUGACUUUGUCUGCAAGCACUAAUAUCACACAUGGACAAAAGCCACUCUCACCAACAGGCCCAAUCCACAGGCGCCCAAAAUAGCAAUUCGUUUCGCUCCCAGCACCGUACGACGCCAGCUCCCUAUCGCCACAGCAUACGCGAUAACCAACUUUCAUCAUGCUCACUCUCGCCCGCAGGGCAGCGGAGUUACAGAUCCAGAAAAAAGCCCAGAAACCUACGCUUGCUCGCUCAGCCCCCCCCCCCCCGGGACCGCAAUUCCCUCAUCGCACCUCACCGCCGAGCAGCAUUCUGCGCACCAAAUCCUGACUUCUCUGCGACCUUCACACUCUUAUUCACAGCCCCGAUCCCUAGCCGUCCACCACCCACCUCACUCCACUAUCCACCACGCUACCAGCACCCCUCCUUCCNNNNNNNNNNNNNNNNNNNNNNNNNNNNNNNNNNNNNNNNNNNNNNNNNNNNNNNNNNNNNNNNNNNNNNNNNNNNNNNNNNNNNNNNNNNNNNNNNNNNUAUCACCUUACCUUGUUUUGUUUAUUUGUUUAGUUGCCCCAUUCCUAAGGACACUCUUGAAUCAUCCUCUAUAUGAUUUCAAGAGGUGAACUUCUAGGCGGUUUUACACUUCAUCUUCACCCUUUUGCUUAUGGUUUAAUCAAUAAAUCAUAUAGCGACGAAUACACCGCUACAAUAUUCAAUUGGUUGGUGAGCCAAAUGGUCAGCCAAGACACUACCUUUGAUCGCUUUCUGAGAUCGGUAUUCAAUAUCAUACUCUGAUAACAACAUUUGCCAACGGGAAAUCCUCCCAGUUAAAUCAGACUUCUCAAAAAUGUACUUGAUUGGAUCCAUUUUGGAUAUCAACCAAGUGGUAUGAUUCAACAUGUAUUGACGCAGAUGCUUAGUAGCCCAAGCCAAUGCGCAACAAGUCUUCUCAAGCAUAGAAUAUCGAGUCUCACAGUCGGUAAAUUUCUUACUGAGGUAGUAAAUUGCAAAUUCUUUCUUUCUAGUCUCAUCUUGCUGACCUAGAACACAACCCAUACUGUCUUCAAGCACAGUCAAAUACAUGAUCAACGGUCUUCCUUCAAUAGGAGGAGACAUAAUCAGAGGCUCAAGCAAAUAUUCCUUGAUACUAUCAAAAGCUUUCUGGAAGUCUUCGGUCCAAUCACAAGACUGAUCUUUCCGAAGAAGCUUGAAUAUAGGCGCACAUGUGGCAGUCAUGUGUGAAAUGAAUCUUGAGAUAUAAUUCAAGCGGCCGAGAAACCCUCUGACUUGCUUCUUAGUUUUGGGCGCAGGCAUCUCUUGUAUUGCUUUGACCUUGGCAGGACCAACUUCAAUACCUUUCUCGCUGACAAUAAAGCCCAAUAACUUACCAAAACGAACACCAAAAGUACACUUAUUGGGAUUCAAGCGGAGUUUAUACUUCCUCAAACGCUGGAAUAGCUUCAACAAAUGCUCAACAUGUUCCUCUUCAUCAAUUGAUUUAGCAAUCAUGUCAUCGACAUAAACUUCAAUCUCUUUAUGCAUCAUAUCAUGAAAAAGAGUAGUCAUUNNNNNNNNNNNNNNNNNNNNNNNNNNNNNNNNNNNNNNNNNNNNNNNNNNNNNNNNNNNNNNNNNNNNNNNNNNNNNNNNNNNNNNNNNNNNNNNNNNNNNNNNNNNNNNNNNNNNNNNNNNNNNNNNNNNNNNNNNNNNNNNNNNNNNNNNNNNNNNNNNNNNNNNNNNNNNNNNNNNNNNNNNNNNNNNNNNNNNNNNNNNNNNNNNNNNNNNNNNNNNNNNNNNNNNNNNNNNNNNNNNNNNNNNNNNNNNNNNNNNNNNNNNNNNNNNNNNNNNNNNNNNNNNNNNNNNNNNNNNNNNNNNNNNNNNNNNNNNNNNNNNNNNNNNNNNNNNNNNNNNNNNNNNNNNNNNNNNGAAGAAGCUUGAAUAUAGGCGCACAUGUGGCAGUCAUGUGUGAAAUGAAUCUUGAGAUAUAAUUCAAGCGGCCGAGAAACCCUCUGACUUGCUUCUUAGUUUUGGGCGCAGGCAUCUCUUGUAUUGCUUUGACCUUGGCAGGACCAACUUCAAUACCUUUCUCGCUGACAAUAAAGCCCAAUAACUUACCAAAACGAACACCAAAAGUACACUUAUUGGGAUUCAAGCGGAGUUUAUACUUCCUCAAACGCUGGAAUAGCUUCAACAAAUGCUCAACAUGUUCCUCUUCAUCAAUUGAUUUAGCAAUCAUGUCAUCGACAUAAACUUCAAUCUCUUUAUGCAUCAUAUCAUGAAAAAGAGUAGUCAUUGCUCUUUGGUAAGUUGCACCAGCAUUCUUUAAACCAAAAGGCAUCACUCUAUAAUAGAAUGUUCCCCAAGGUGUAAUGAAUAUGGUCUUCUCCAUAUCUUCGGGUGCCAUCUUGAUCUGAUUAUAUCCGGAAAAUCCAUCCAUAAACAAAAAGACUUUGAAAUUAGCAGUAUUGUCCACCAACAUAUCAAUGUGUGGCAAAGGUAAAUCAUCUUUCGGACUGGCUUUAUUCAAAUCUCUAUAGUCAACACACACACACGUACCUUUCCAUCUUUCUUCGGCACAGGCACAAUAUUGGCCGCCCAUUGCGGAUACUCAGCGGUCACAAGGAAACCGGCAUCAAUCUGCUUCUGCACUUCCUCUUUGAUCUUCACUGCCAUAUUAGGAUGCGUUCUUCUCAAUUUUUGCUUGACUGACGGGCAUUCUGGCUUCAACGACAAUCUAUGCUCCACAAUCUCAGAAUCCAAACCAGGCAUGUCUUGAUAGGACCAAGCAAACACAUCUGAAUACUCUCGAAGAAGAUCAAUCAACCCCUUCUUCGCAUCUGGACACAGUCGAUAUCCAAUCUUGACUUCCUUCACAUCAUCCUUGGAACCCAAGUUGACUAACUCAAUCUUCUCUUCGAACGGCUAAAUGGCUUUUUCAUCAUGCUUAAGAAGAAGAGAUAAUUCAUCAGUCACUUCUUCAUCACUUUCCUCCUCGGCCUCAAACACAGGGAAUUCAAAAUUUGGAGAAGGAGAAAGAUUAUUGUAUUCAAUGGGGUUAGGAACCAACCUGCAUAAUGAUUUGAUAUUUUGAUUUUAGAGAACUGAAUUUGUGACCAAAUAUUAUGCAGAUGGACAAUUAUAUUGUUUAUUUAUGUUUUUUGUGAUUACCAUUUUUAGAAUAAAGCAAAAAGUAAAAACAAAACAUCAUAGAUAUGGACGAAUAUAAUUAAUUUUAUUAAUGAUCAAUUUGAAAAUUCCCAAACAAUGUUCGCUUCUCCCUUAGGCAUAGGAGAAAGAUUUUGAAAACAUAUAAAAUCAAUUACUUAGAUCGAUGCAAAAUAAUAGGAACAUCAACAACAGUCCAAUUGUUGCAAGCCUUUCCAUGUGUCACAAAAUUGGUGCAGUCUUCCUCUUCGUCAUCCUCUAGCACAACAGCUAAGUGUUGCUCAUUGCCAUGAAUGAACCCUCCGCUACGGAAGCUAAGUUGUAUAUCUUCAGACCUUGCAGUUGAUGAACCUUGCUGAAAACCCAUAUCGAUUCUACCUUUAUUGUCGGAGACCUCUACCAUGCGUCCCCACUGAUCAACAUUGCCUUCUUCUACAAUCUUCUUUGCAUCCUUCAAUGAGGACAUAGGUGCCCCAACUCUUUUCAGCAGCAAUAGAUAAGGCUUGGAACGGAGUUCCAACCUCGUCCUCAGCUUCAACAUAAGAGAAAGAUGACAAAUGGCUAACCAACAAUGCCUUUUCCCCGUCAAUGAUUACAAGCUUUCCAUUUUUCAUAAAUUUGAGCUUCUGAUGCAAUAUGGAGGUAACAUCUCCCACCUCAUGGAUCCAUGGCCUUCCCAACAAGCAACUGUAGGCCGGGUGGAUAUCCAUUACUUAAAAAGUAAUCUGGAAGUCACUCAGAGCUAUCUUAACUGGAAGGUCCACUUCACCUAUCAAUGUUUUGUGUGAACUGUCAAAAGCUUUGACGAUUACACCACUAUACCUCAUAGGCGCUCCUUAAUAUGAUAACUUUGACAAUGUUGACUUUGGCGGUAUGUUCAACGAAGACCCGGUGUCAACAAGCACAUUCGACAAAGCAUCAUAUUUGCAGUUCAUAGAGAUAUGCAAAUCCAAGUUAUGAUUUUUGCCCUCCUUAGGUAGUUCCUCAUCACAAAAGUUGAGAUUUUUGUAGGAAGUGAUAUUAGCCACAAUAUGAUUGAACUGAUCCACUUUAACAUCAUGUUUCACAAAAGCUUGCUUGAGAAAUUUCUGCAUUGCUUCUCUGUGCGCUUCUGAGUUCAUGAGCAGAGACAAUAAUGAGAUUUUUGAGGGGGUUUGGAGCAAUUUCUCUACCACAUUAAACUCACUUCUAUUGAUCAAUCAAAGUACCUCAUCAUCAUCAUUAGCCUUCAAAUCGCUGGAUUCACCAGACUGACCCUUUGAAGCACUAAUCGGAUCCACAACAGGCACUUCUACCUUCUUACUAACAACUGAUUCUUCUUUAUCCUUUGGGAAUACCGUCCCAAACACACGACCACUUCGGGUCACCUUGGUAACAUCAGCAAUGCUCACCAUAGAACUGGUCGUUGGCAACGGGACCUCUUGAGUAUCCUUCAUCAUUGUAGCAUUAUACUGAUACGGAACAACUUUAUCAGAUGAAUACGGGACUAGACCCGCUAACCGUAUAACUAAUGACGAUACUGAUAUAUUGCUGACAUUGUUACUGUUGUUGAUGUCGUAUUGAGUUACCAAUCUCUCUGGCUGCUUGAAAAUGGGCACUAUGACAUUUACAUCAUCAUCUACAUGAUGAGAUUGAACAAUCUGAAUCAUGCCUUCAUCCAUCAGUCGUUGGAUGUCCCUUUUCACAACUUCACAACCCCUUGAAUUAACACUGCAAAUAACACAACCCUCAUGGUCAUGCUCACAAUCACUCACCAAGCAAAUGUCCUUAUGCAUCUGCCCUAAAGACCUUCGGAUAAAACGAACAUCAAAAACCUUAAACUCGCUAGGACAACCAUCCACCAUAUUAACAGAAGAAUUUCCAUGGACGGGUAAUGGAUUUGCUUUCACGUUCGGCGCACGGUCCUCAAAGGACACCAUUCCACUAUUCAUCAGCUUCUAAACCUCAUAUUUGAGUGGCUAGCAAUUUUCUAUAUCAUGUCCGGGUGCCCCUUGAUGAAAAGCACAACGGAGUUCAAGUUUAUACCACCACGAAAGUGGUUCUGGAAUUUGCGGCGGGUUUUUUGGUUGGAUUAGGUUCUUGAGAACCAAAUAUGGAUAGAGUUCUGCAUAUGACAUAGGAAUUGGGUCAAAAGAGACCUUCUUCCUCUCGAAGUUUUAUUGAUGAUGAUUGUUGGUAUUGUUGUUGUUGUAGGUGUUUGCUUGUUAUUGCGGUUGUUGUUGAAUUGGUAUUGAUUGAUUAUUAGAGAAUACAUGGAUAACUGAAGAUACUUGAUGAUGAUGUUGAUGGGGUGGUUGACUCUUCCUGAUAUGAGGCCUCAUCUGCCUCCCACUGAUUACUGCAUUAGCUUCACUAUGUUUCUUCUUCCCAAAGCUAUUGCCGUACCUCUUACUUGACGAUGCUUCAUCUUUUGACAAACGUCCUUCUCAGACACCUUCCUCAAGCCUCAUCCCCAUGUUUACCAUUUCGGUAAAGUCACUGGGGGCACUAGCAAUCAUACGUUCAUAAUAAAAUGAACUUAGGGUUUUCAGAAAGAUCUUUGUCAUCUCUUUUUCCUCCAAAGGAGGAGUGAUCUGAGCAUCCAAUUCCCUCCAUCUUUGCACAUACUCUUUGAAUGUCUUUUUAUCCUUUUGACACAUAGACCUCAGCUGGUCUCUAUCAGGCGCCAUAUCCACAUUAUACUUAUAUUGCUUGACAAAAGCCUCUCCCAAGUUAUUGAAAGUGCGAAUGCUUGUACUGUCCAAUCCCAUGUACCAACAGAGCGCAUCACCGGCCAGACUGUCUUGGAAGUAGUGAAUUAACAGUUGAUCAUUGUCAAUUUGGGUAGACAUCUUGCAGGCAUGCAUCACUAGAUGACUGAGUGGACAUGUGUUCCCUUUAUAUUUUUCAAAGUCAGGCACUUUGAACUUCACCGGGAUCUUGACAUUUGGCACUAAACAUAACUCAACGACACUUUUCCCAAACAAAUCCUUACCCCUUAGUGUCUUCAAUUCCUUGCGUAGCUCAAGAAACUGAUCCUUCAUUUUGUCCAUUUUCUCAUAAACAUCCGAACCCUCAGACAACUCGGAGUGAUAAAUUGUGUCCUCUACACGAGGUAAGGUGUGCACAAUGGGAGGUGGCACAGACAUGACCGGGCUAGAUGCCGGCGUGGAAGCAAAAGUAGGCGCGAAGCCUUCAGGCAUAAAGUUGGAUGACAUUCCCCAUGGGAAUUCGGAGGGCAUGGUAGGCGCAAAAUAAGUGGUAGCAGUAGGCAUGGUAGAGGUAACCACCUCUGAAAUAACCGUCCUCUAAGGAGGAGUUGCAAGCAUUGGAGGAGAUUGGCUCUAAGUAGCCAACACUGACUCCAUCAUGGAAGUCAGUCGGGCAAUCUCGUCCUUCAGUUCUCUGUUCUCUUGCUCGAGAUGUUCCAUGAUUCUCAGAUGGUUGGCGCGAGUGUUGUACCGAUGAGUCAGCUUGGCUGAAGCACAGAAGAAACACUAAUGAGACAUCUGGCGAAAGAGAAACCUGCUUAUGCAAAUGAUGCAUGAAAUGCAAUGCUUGUUUGUUUAUUUCUAUUUUCAAGGAACUUAUUAUAUCAUUCGCAAAUACAUAUAUGAUUGGAACAAUUUUAUAUGACCAAAAAUCUCUUUUUAUUUAUAUAAUUGGAAGGAUUACACAGAGUACAAUUUCAGAAACCAAAUAAAAAAAUACAAGAGAAAAGGAGACUAGUCAUCCUAAGGAUCCCUAACAACCAUGUCAGAAGAUCUGGCUGAAGACGCGUACUUCCUUCGAAUGCGUCGAAUCUCAGUCUCAAAAGAAGUCUUCAUCUGAGUCUUCUCGAGGAGAAGCUGAUAAACAAUCUUCUUCCAAGCAACGGAAGGAUGAGGCAUGCUAGAGGAAGAUAAAACCUCCGGAUCUCUCUGUCUCUUUGUCACUCGGUCUUUAAGUAGCUCAAUAAGUGCAUCUUUGUCCUUAGACUCCAACUGUAACUCUUCAUGCUUCUUUCUCAAAGCACGGAACCGCUCUUCCCACAUAUCACUCUCUCGCUUCAUCUUGGCGAGUGUGUCUUCCAACUCCUCUAUAUCUUGGUUAGGGAGAGUUAAUGGCUCAACCAUAACCAUAGACAUAGGUCUUUCACAAGGAUAAGGCAUCUUUAACUCCAAAGCUCUCUUCUUCACCCAAAGAGUGUAAGCUUCCAAAGCUACACAAAAGGCAUCUUUAACUCCAAAGCUCUCUUCUUCACCCAAAGAGUGUAAGCUUCCAAAGCUACACAAUUGCACGGACCAAGCUCGGAUCUUCCUUUCCUAUGCACAUUAUGCCAAGCAUGCACAAUCUUCAGCUUCAAAUGUUGGGGAUCUUUACCCUCUUGAUAGAAAAGACCUUCUAACAAAGUGUUAUUAGGUUUGUCUCUCAAGGGGAACCCAAGUUGACGACGAGCCAAAGUAGGGUUGUAGUUAAGUACUCCUUGUGUACCAAUGAGAGGUACAUUAGAGAAUUCACCACAACUAUCAAUAAUGUCCAAAAUGCCCAAAGAAGGAUCAUACCAAACUAUAUCAUCAUUAGUGAGAGACAUAAGUCUCUGAGACCACCGUAGACAUUGUUUGUUCUCCACAAGAGCAGGUGUCUGAGGUAAGUGCGAAAUAAACCACUUGUACAAAAGAGGAAUGCAACAGACAAUCGUUCCACCACCUUUAGAAUUCCUUAGAUGCAAAGAGAAAUACAUAUCACCCAACAAAGUAGGCACAAGAUUCCCAAUCAAGAAAAGUCUAAUGGCGUUAACAUCAAUACAUAUCACCCAACAAAGUAGGCACAAGAUUCCCAAUCAAGAAAAGUCUAAUGGCGUUAACAUCAACAAAACCGUCAAUGUUAGGGAACAAAGCUAAUCCAUAAAUGAGCAAUACAAAGAUAGCUUUAAACGCGUCCACACUACCAGCUUGAGCAAAAGCAGUAGCUUCCUUGAUGAGGAAAUCAGAUGGCAACCCAACCAAUCCUCCUUUCUUCACCCAAUGAGUCUCUAUCUCCGACUUCUUCAAGUGAAGAGCUUUAGCAAUAAGAUUAGAUUGGGGAAUCUCUUCCAAUCCACUAAAAGGUACCUUACUAGAAAUAGGUAUUCCCAAGAUAUGGGUAUACUCCUCCAAUGUAGGCACAAGAUGAUAAUCUGGGAAAGUGAAGCAACGGUAGAGAGGAUCAUAGAACUGCACUAGUACACUCAAAAGUCCUUCAACCAUAUCAGCAGACAAGAUAGACAAUAGCUUCUCAUGACGUUGUUUGAAGUCCAAGGGGUCUAAUACAAAAGAUAGCUUCCUUAACUCUUUCCAGUCGGGACAUCUGAAACUGUACUUCUUAGUGUUCCUUCGUCCACAAUCCAUGGUCUGAAAAUAUUAGCAAACAAUACCUCAGUUCCUUGAAAUUUUCGUGUGAUGAAUGUUAUAAUGCACAUGAAUGCAUGAAUGAAACAAUCAUAAAUAAGGGAUCACACACAAGGCAAGCAAACAAAGGUCAAGGGAUGAAUCAAGUCAUUGUCAAGAUCAAUCAUCCAUUUUGGUGGAUUAUGGUUUACACCUUAUCAACACCCAAGUUCAAAAGGUCAAGGGAUGAAUCAAGUCAUUGUCAAGAUCAAUCAUCCAUUUUGGUGGAUUAUGGUUUACACCUUAUCAACACCCAAGUUCCAUUGAUAUUGACAAGACUUGAUUGAAUCAACCAAGAAUCUAGGGUUUGUUGCAAGUCACGAGCAUGGAGUCUGGGUAAGAACCAUCCCACAGGAGUGAACUAAGGAUAAAAACCUGUAGAUCAUGUUCUAAAAAGUUCCCAGAGUCUUAAUUCCAUCUAUCGGAUAUUACAAGUUAAGAUGACUGACUCAUCGACCCAUAAUAUUCUCAUGAGAAACUCGUCUGAGUGUAGUAUCGCGUAACAAUUGUUAUCAAGUCUACACUUGAAAAGUCUCCGCACUACAUCCUAAAUAGGCCAAGAGGAGAUAGUAAUGCCUAACCAUAAAUACUUGUGUGACAUUUCCAAAUCCAAAAGGGUCUCCACUGAGCAGAUGGAUCUCAAGCCAAAUUGUUAAGGACUACUCCACACAAGUCGAACAUGACUAUACCAUCCUCCUAUCUUAAUCGCACUCAAGUUCGGGGUUAGAACUUAUCUCACCACUCAGAGAUCACCAAGCACAACAAGCAGAUUAUAUCACAAAAUAUACAUACAUCACAUAUAUACAAUUAUAUACACACAAAAAGGUAGGCUAAACCCACUGAAGACUACUCCCCAGCAGAGUCGCCACUUAAUUUCUGUAGCGGUAAAUUCAUGAUCAUCAAGCUAUGGAUAAGCUAGACAUCAAAUAACAAGAUUCGCCACCGCGCUUUUAUUGUUUCCAAGGGAAAAGGGAAAAGUACGAACAAAAUACAAAAGUAAGAAGUUUUCAAAUCAAAACUAAUAAAAUGUCAGAGAUUACAGGUAAGGGGGUUGGUUACACAGAGGGAAGGUGUUAGCACCCAAAGUGUCCUAGGUACUCCUAGGGAGCCCUUUUUUGAGAAGUUUUCAAAUCAAAACUAAUAAAAUGUCAGAGAUUACAGGUAAGGGGGUUGGUUACACAGAGGGAAGGUGUUAGCACCCAAAGUGUCCUAGGUACUCCUAGGGAGCCCUUUUUUGUGUGCAUAUAUAUUUUGUACAAAAAAUGAUGCUUACAAAAAAAAAUAGAGUGAGAGGAUGAGAAAAUAAUUCAUUAAUUAUAUUUUUGUGUUUGACAAGACCUUCAGACUUGUGCCUACGUACCAACAUAAGAAAUGAGGUAUAAAAACCUCGUAGUUCGUGAUACAAAUUUCAAAGUGGAUGCAUUAUUUUUAACAAAAUUAAGUUUGAAAGGCACAAAGGCCUAAAAAUGGUUUGAAUGGAUUAGUUCUUUUUUGGCUUUUGAAAGUUUAGGUCAAGUAUAGUUAAGUCAAUUUACAAGUUUGAUUAAGAAAAGAAGUUUGAAAAUGCAAUGGCAUAAGGCCAAAGUUUCUAGUUUGCAAAGUGGUCAAAGUUUAGAAAAUAACAAGUUCAAACAAAGAAGUUUUUAAAAGGAGGAAGAGAGUUUUGAAAUUAAAGAAAUUGGGAGGAGAUGAAGAGACUAAUCAUAUGCACAAAAUCAAAAGUUAAGAGUUGAAAAGAUCUGGCCGGUGGGUAGCAAUCCAAUAGGCAAGAAUGCCAUAUAGAAACCCCAAAUUCCCUUGGAUAUUAGAAUCAAGCAACAAACAAUGCAUACAAUAUUAACUUGAAGAGCAAGGCAUAAAAUAAAGAUAGCCACAUCCAAGCUUAGCCAUUCCAUGAUCUUCUUCAGAUUAAGCCCAUAUAACAAAUGAAUUCCAUAAGUCACAGGUUCAAAAUAACAGAUUCACAAUGAUCAUGUUGCAGAUGAACUCAAAGGGAUCUUGAAUGAUGUAUCAGAUGAAGUUUCAAAUUGCAAUCACUUGGUUUCGCACAAGUUGGCAUUGGCCAAGUCCUUUAGCAUAGGGAGGUUGCUUAAAUUCUAAGUCUGAUUUGUCCAAGAUCAAGUCAACAGUCCACACAAAAGUUUUUUAGGGUUUUUGUUCUUAUUAUGUACAUUAAUGGUCCAAGACCACACAAACAAACAAAAUAUACACAAGCAAUAUAUAUCACACAAUAUGGUCCAAAUGGACAAAGGGAAAAUGACAUUAACAUAAACAAUUAGAAUGGUAUGAAUAAUGGCAAAUGAAUAAAAUUUAAAAAUUAAAGCGCAUUAAAAUAAAGGACUUGAAAUUAAAUGCUAGUUGUUAAUGAGUUAGAAGUUAGUAUUAUUUUGCUUUUGCUUUUCAUUUUAAGUCAUUCUUUGGAGAAAACGCAACCCACUUAUCACAAGCAUGGAUCCUUGAGCCAAUAUAUCUUCCAAACAAAGGAAAAAAGGCCAAGUUUCCACAUAAUAUCAUGAAUUAGAGGAGAAUUAAAAUCUCACUAACUAGAAUGCUAUGCCUUUUAUGUCAAAAAUUUAGCGCUAUGUUAAGUAAUCGUAAUUGGACUUAUUUAUAAGUCACAACUAUUUGAGGUCGGGCAAUUUAAUUUUGGUGUUAAUGCAUGUUAGAGACAUAGUAUAAUGGACUAUGCUCAUGAAACAUACCAUACAUAAAAAGAAUAUGCAAAAGAGGUGGCCUAAUCUCAUCCAUACUUAUGUUGAUUUUGCAAUCAACUAGCCUUAGGACUUAGAGAUAUCAUGGGCCAAAUGAGAUGAAUACAUAAAGAAGGGGAAUGAGAUGAAGAGGGAAAUGAAUGAAUCAAAACUCAAAUUGGUCAAAGGAGGACUUUUACCAAAUUAAUAUCAUUCAUUCAUUUUGGGAGAUGGAAUGUACAUUCCAUUAAUCCCCUAAAUCCAAUGAUAUUAACUUAAUAAAGUCAAAUCAACCUUGACCAAGGCCCAACAACAUGAGUCAAACUUACACAAAUCAUCACAAUAGGUCAACACAAUUAUUGGACAUUUAUUCAAAUUAAAAAUACCUAAAUAAGGCAUUUAAAUUAAAUAUGGUUUGUCAAAUUCCUAAAACCUCAUCAAAACACCAAAGGAAUGGCCAUGAGAUUUAUCAUAGGUCAAACAAGGUCAAAGGACCUUGGAGAAAUUUUUUCAGAAUUUUUAAAGACUUUAAAGUAUUUUUAAACAAUUAAAAAUAUUCACAAAAUCAAUUAAAUCAUGAAAAUAUUAAUAAUGAUCCAAAAAAUAAUUUUAAUUCAAAAUAUGAAAGAGGAAAUUAUUUGUAAAUUUUUGGUGAAACUCUCAUAUUUUUUUGGAUUAGUAUUAAAAUUAAUAUGAAUUAAUGAAAAUCAAAGGAAUAAAAAUAAAAAAUAAAAAAUCAAAAAAACGUGGACCACUUGAUCUCCCUCAUUAAUUGAGGUGGCAAAUCAAGUGGUCUGAAAUGCGCGUUCCACCAAACACACGAGUCAGCGCGUUGUACCAAGGGUAAUCACAAUGGGCACUCAGGAUUAAAACAUUUUGAAAGGAUCCUGUGGCUAGGAGACGUGCCAACGCAUCACCGGAGCCAGAGCUCUGGUCUUCUUCUCCGGUGGACCUCACCGGACUGGUCCACCCUCAACCAUCACCAAAAUAAAAAGGAGGACAUGAUCUGAAAGAAAAAAUGGCAUAGAGCAUGAAUCUGACCUCAAUUUUAACUAAAUCCACAUAUAUAGAAAGAUAUGAGGAGUUGAAUUUUGAGGUAUGUCAACUGAGUUGCUUCGAUUUGACCUCGAAGCAACUCAAUCUUCUUGCCUACAUUGGUAGGACUUCAGACAACCAAAGAUCCAAGAGAAUUGAUGAGAAUUGAGUGAGAAUCGAUGAGAUGAAGUUUUGUGAAAAUUACCUUCAAUGUUGUGCAGAACUUGAGGUUGCUUGCUUCAAACACGAUUUGAUCACACUUGAUAAGCUUGCAGGGUGUGGUUAGAAAUGGUGCAAGGCUUUGGAUCCUGGAGUUCUUGAAUCUCCAAACAGUUGAGAUUCAAACUCAAUUUUCAGAUUGAAAAUUAUCAGGUUUUCCUUUAGAAUGAAAGGGUUUCAAUUGGGGGGCAAAGCUGGCUUGCAAGGUGUCUUUUAAUUGAGCUCAGAGACCAUGUAUUUAUAGCAUUUGGGAUUGAUAAUUGCACACUUCAAAAUUUGCUAAAUUUGGCAAUGUGACGCACAAGCUUGAAUGGGCGUGUACAGGCCCAUGAAGCAAUCCAUUUUGAUCCAAUUGCAACUGUACUAAAUUUCAAAUGAUGCUUGAUUGGCAAGGCAAUGUGAAAUGGAGUUUUGGACAUUUGAUUUCCUCCAAUGGUGCAUCUCUGUUAAAUCCAUGAGCAUACCUAGCAAACUUCAUCCAAAAUGCAUGAACUUAGGUUCUUUAGAAAGAUUGGAUCAAGGGGAACAAGUUUGAUGUCGAACACUUUUCCAUUUGGAGCUUGGAUCAUGGUGAAUUUGAAGCUGGAAUUUUGGAAAUUUCAACAUGUUGAAAUUUUUUCUAAGUGUCAAGCCAUAUAUCUCAAUAUUCCAUCUUGCUUAACUUUUUAUGUGAGCUUCAAAUGAGAAAAGUGUCUUUAUCAAAGUUGUAGCUAUUUCAAAGUCCUUAAAAAUGGUCACUAAUUUCAUGUCAUUUGGAUUUGGAAUGAUAGAGUUAUGCAUUUUUGAAGUUGAGGAAAAUCACUUGUUCAAUGGUAUAGGUCAAAAAUGACCUAUAAUGUAUCCUUAUAUCACAUGCUCAUAAAAGUUGAAUUAGCUCUCACUCCAAACAUCAAUGUUGAAGUAGACAUAUUGAAUUUGAUUGUGAAACUUUUAAGUCUUUCAUGUCAUAAAAAUUGAGCAAGUUAUGGCCUUGGGAAGUUGACUUUCAAAUUAGGGUUUAGACAAAAUGACCUAUAAUGUUUCAACAUAGAAAAUGAUUUUACAAGCAAAACUAGAUCUAGGUCUCAACAUAUGGCCUUGGGAAGUUGACUUUCAAAUUAGGGUUUAGACAAAAUGACCUAUAAUGUUUCAACAUAGAAAAUGAUUUUACAAGCAAAACUAGAUCUAGGUCUCAACAUGAAAGUUGUUUGUAAUGUAAUUUAAAGUAACAUUUAUCUUGGAACCAUUUUCAUAUGGUGAAAAUUGUAAGAGAUAUGGUCUAGGGAGACCUAGUUUUGAUUAGAUGAAUUCAUCUGGCCAACCACCAUCAACCAACUUGCUAACCUUCAAUUAUAUUGACUUUCUAGGCUCAUGGUAGAUCAUAUAUGCAUAAUAUGAUGAAUUUUAAAGUGUCCCUUGAGAAAUUUGAUCAAUUGGUGAGAUGGCUUAUUGGAGAAGUUACUCAAGAUACAAAGUCAAACUAGGGCUUCCAAGGCAAAUCACCUCCAAACUCUUGAAGAAUACUUAAUCAAUAUAACAUGUAGAGUGUUGGUGUAAGCCUUAGAGGCCAAUACUUUUGGUACUUGUAUCGAAUUAUUUAUUAAUAAUAAAAGGCAUUUUCUUUAUUAUGGUUGAUUAAUAAAGUCCCUGGAAUAGAUAGUCCGUUUAAUGUAUCAAGUAUGACUUAAUCAUGAGGAUCACAUUAACAUCAGGACACGUAUUUCUUAAAGUAUCCGUUAGUCGCAGCUUUUAGGUGUUGUUGAAGUAAAGGGAUAAAUUAAAGCUUAGACUUUAUGUUUGUUAGACUGAUGAUCACAUCCAGGAUCAAUGGAUCAGGAGCUAUCAAUCUUAAACAUAGUUGAAUUUAAGAGUAGAUUAUUUAUACCGAUGACCCGUAUGUAGAAUACUAAUAUAGAAAGUUAUGCAAAGUGCAUAAGUUAUUCUAUGGUGAUAAUAUGGAUAUACCACUCUUCGACCUGAAACCACUAUUGGACCUCUAGAUGUAGAGUCGAGUGCUUUAUUGGUGAUCAAACUGUUGUCCGUAAAUGGAUAUACCAUAAAGACCGUUGAGGUACUCCACGAAGCAUGCUGAGGGACAUGAGUGACCUAGAUGGAAUUUGCCCAUCCUGCAUACAGGAUAAAUGUCUACGGGCCCCAAUAUUGAACUGGAUAAGAUUGACACGGUCUAUGCCUUGUGUUCAAUAUAGACAUAGGGCAAAAGGGUAAUUAUACCACAUAAGUUAUUAUCACAGAAGGUUUUGUCAGCACAUGACAUUUUCGUUGUCGUUGGGUAGCAGUGAUGUGUUGCUAGGAUACCGCUCACUGUUUAUUAUGUUAAAUGCGUAUUUAUUAUAUUGCCAACGUCACGAAAACCUACGUGUCACACACAAAGACGGAUUGAUGAGAGAUAGAGUAACUAAGGAAUACCGUAACGGUACGGUGCCCUAAGUGAAUUAUAGAACAUCGUAAGGUACGGUGUACUUAGUAGAAUACGAAAUAUGGUAAGUACCAUGGGCUUAAGUGAUUUUGGAUUAUUAUAAGAUAAUGGGCCAAAAUACACUUAAGUGGGCUUUUUAGCUUGAAGCCCACACAAGUGGUUCUAUAAAUAGAACCCUUGUGCAGAAGCAUUCAUUGCGGUUGCAUUACUUUCGUUUUCUCUCUCUCUCUCUCUCUCUCUCUCUCUCUCUCUCUCACUCACUCAAAAGCUUCAUUCAUACUAGCUAGCACUGAGAUUGAAGGAAUCCGUUCGUGUGGACUGAGUAGAGACGUUGUCAAUCAUGCUUCAACGUUCGUGAUCGCUCCGUGGAUCUGCAUCAAAGGUUUUUGAUUGUCACAGAGAUCUGCACCAAAGGUUUCAAUCGUCACAAGAGGUAAAUAUUCUAUCACUGAUCAUGACCAUUCGUAAGGAUCUCUAAAGGAGAAAAUUUUAAUUUCCGCUGCGUUUUGGACCGCAAUUCUCCUUCAUAGAGACCAAUGGGACUCAUAUGUGAUGCUUAGAGACAUUAUGGAUCAAUCUUAUAUUAUGCUCUUUGUCAUGAGGGCCUCAAAUCCUAGAUAUGAACUUGAUAAAUCAAUGUGAUCAUUCCCUACCUACAAAAAGUUAGGCAAAUACAAAGACAUGUUUUUGGUAUUUUGGUUAGUAAAAUGAUAAUAUACAAGUAUGAUACAAUCACAUAGUGCUUGGUGAUAUCUCCUAAAACAAACCCAAUGAGAGAGGGGUAAGGAGGAUGCCAAGGUAUGAUCCCAAUGCUAGUGCUUAUGAUGGAAUUGCAUGAGGGAUCUUAGGGUUAAAAUUGGGGUCUUACAUAACCUAUUUGAAAAUAUGUACAUUUUGGUUUGAAAAAGGGGUUAUUUAUUAAAAAAUUGGAGGGAUGGAAAAAGAAGCAUUUUUAUUAUGAUUUGGUGUUUGCCAAGACUUUUUAAGUCUCAGGCCUACGUAUCAACAAAGUGCAAUGGAGGAUCAAAACCUCGUAGUUUAUGGUAAAAAUAACAAAAGGAGUUUGUUUUGAUUCAUUUUUAUGAAAAAUACAUUUUUUUUUCAUUUUAAGGAGAAUACUUAGCUAGUCACCCAUAAGUAUGAGAACUUUGCAUCAUCAUGGGAAGGGCUCCAACGUGGAUAAGGAUCAACAAGUAUGCCACUAGCUCCCACAGAUGGAAAAGAAUUAUCAUUAAUACUAUGGAGAUAAGAGAAUUAUAACUCAACUAUGUAAAUGACUCGUGUCUAAUACCUUGAGACAAUUUUAAAAGGAAAAGGUCACAAAGGGCACAAAAUGGUUUUAAUGAAUUAGGCAUUUUUUAUUCUUUUAAAAUUGGUCUGAAUAUGCUUAAGAUAGAUUGGUAUUUAUUAAGAAAAAGAUUUUGAAAAUCACUUGACAAAAGUCAAGGUUUAUUGAGAAAGUGGUUCAAGUUAAAACAAGAAAGUUUUGAAAAGGAUAAAAGAUUUUUAAAAUUAAAGAAGGGGGAGAAGAAGAAGAGAUUAUCCUAAAGCAGUAAAGUAACAACUAAAGAAGAAAGUUCUAACCCAGAGAUAGCAAGCUUUAUGACAUAAGUAAAGCAAUAAUUCCUUCCUUUUGAUUAAGCCUCAAGAAAGCAAAAUAAGCAAAUAGUAAUCCAUGUGUCAGAUGAAACCAGAAUAGCCAAUCCAAGUCUUCCAAAGGAAAUCCCAAGUCAAAGGCAUCAGAUGAAUUUCAAGGUCUCAGGUCACAAGUCCUAGAGCAAAGGUCAAGAUCCCAAUCUAAGUCCAUAACUUCACAAAGAUGCCAAGGAUGGUAACCACAAGUCUAUGAAUUAAGAGAGACAAGUUUAUUUUUUUAGGUUUUCUUAGUAAUGGCAUAAAGAAUGGUCCAAAUGGAUCAAGAACAAAAUUGACAUAAUCACAAUGUAAUAUAAUAUGAAAUGCUAAACAUAAAGCAUAAAGUAAAUUACAUAAAAAAAGGAACAUAAGGUGAAUGACUUGGAAAUAAAAGUUAAUACAAGUCAAGUAUUAGUAAAUGAUGUUAGUAAUCAAAGAUGAAAAGAUGUUUUGGUCACUUUUUGAAGAACACUCAAAUAUCCACUCACAAGCAUGAAAAUAUGAUCCUAUACAUCAUUUAUGAGAAGGGAUCCAACUUGGAUAAAAUCAACAAGUAUGCCACUAGCUCUCACAAAUGGAAAAGGAGCAAAACUUUCACACAAUUCUAUGAGGAAUAUGAGACUUACAAUCUCACUUAUAAAAAUGUCAUUGCCUUUGGGACAAAUUAAGCGCUAUGUUAAACAAUCAUAAUUGUACUUAUGUAGAAGUCACAACCAUCUAAGGCCGAUCAAUAAUAAUGUUUGUGUUAAUACAUGCUAGAGAAAUGAUAUGUAAAUCAUCCUCUUAAAUCUAUGCCACACAAGAAAAGAAAAUGAAAGGGGAUGGUCAAGCACAAAGGCUAGGGGGAUGGUCCAUUACUUCAAUCCACAUUUCAUGACACUUAGGACAAACUUAUGCAUCAAUUCAAAGUACCUUAAAUGAUUCAUGAUCACUUAGAAGGUAGAUUUGAAAUGAUGAAAGUUCAUCAAGCACAAAUCCACACAUCAUGAACAACAUGGACACAAAUCCAUCCAAUUGAUCAAAAGAAAAGAAAGGGAUGAAGAUGAAAGGGGACAAAAGAGGUCACACCCAAAUUGAAUCACAAAUUUGGCAAAGUCAUCAUAAAAAUCAAUCAUCCAUUUUGGUGGAUUAGGGUUUUCACCACAUCAAUACCUAAGAUCCAUUGAGUUUGACGAGACUUGGAGUCAAAAUCAUCAUGAUCCAAGCCCAAUAGAAAUCCGCAAGGUCAAACAAAUUAAAAAUGCAAUUAAAUGAAAUAAAAAUACAUAAAAUGUAUUUUUAAAUGAUUUUUAAAAUGGAAAUAAAAUGGAAAAUCCACAAAGUCCUUGAAAACAUCAAAUAAAUAGCCAAGAAAGUUAUGGAAGAUUGGAAAUAAAAUGAGAAACAUGUAAUAAAACAUUUAGAAUUAAAAAAUGCAGAAAAGUAUUUUUAAACCAAUUAAAACAAAGGAGAAAAGAGAAAAUUCAUGACAAAAAUAGAAAAUCAAUGAAAUAAAAUGUGAAAAAUAAGAAUCAGAUGAAGAAAAAUAAAAGAGAGUUUUCAAAAUUAUUUUGGGAUUUUUUGGAUAAAAAUGAAAUUACUACGAAUUUUUAAUGAAAAAGAAAUUUAAAAUAAUAAAAGAAAAAUAAUUAAAAUCAGAAAAAACCAGGAGCGUUGGAUCACGCCUCAUUAAUUGACAUGACAGAUGCAACAGUCCAAAUGAUGAGAAACACGAUGGAACGCACUACAAGCCAAACACAAGAUCCAAUUUGAAUUCAACCAAUCAAAAUAUUUCAAAAUAUCAACGUGUCUGGUCCAAACUCAGACCACCUGAGAAAUACUCCGAUCAUCUUCUCCAUUGAGCUCCCACCGGAGUUUCAUUGUUUGGUAACUUCAGGACACGAGACCACCACCAUUGUGAUCCUCUUCUCAUCCCGAAUUCAACCAUAUGCCUCAAAUUCAUUUAUGUGAACUGAGCAAAGGGAAUUUCAAAGAAGUUUCAAAAAUAAGCAAAAUAUGAAAAGUAAAAUUAAAUGAUGAACAUGAUCAAUCAACACCAGAUAAGUUAGGGAAAAGCAUCAGAGAGUGAAAGGCUACAUUGUGGUAACUUGUUUGAGUUCAAAUGAUGCUCAUAACUACGUUGUCCAAAUGGUGAUCAGAAGUUGAUGAAGCUCGAUCUGGUUGGAGCAAUUCAGAAGGUCUUAGAGUUUAGGAAUUGUUGCAAAAGUUUAAGAGGAUACCGAUGGAACUAAUAGAAUCAAGAAAAUGGAUUGAAACGGGCUGAAACUCAAAACACGAUAGUUAAAGUUUCUGGAAAAACUUCAAGUUGCAGCAGGGGUUUCUUGGCUCUUCAUAGCUUGUAAAAUAAGUAAAAAGCUUCCUAUAUGUAUAGGCAAUAUAAUUGGAUCCAAAUACGCGUGGAAUGAUGUUGAAUUCGUGCAAAACGAAUUUGAUCCAAGUGUGUGAAAAGUGUGACUUGAAACUCCUCAAAACUCAGCCAAAUAAUGCGUUGUAAGUGUCAAUUAACUUCUGGAGGUUUGUUAAAACAUGUUUAGGACCAAAAAACUUGCUAAUUUGGAUUGGAAUUAAGUUUAGUCAUGAUCAAUUUUCGGGCAAUGGUAAUUUCUUCAGUUUCAAGUCACCAUGUUCAACUCAAUGGGGCAUCCUACUCAAGAGGCUUUUUGCUCUCAUUCUUUUUGCAAUGUGUUAACGUCAUGUCCAAGAUUGCAAUGAGCCAAGAAAGGUUGCAUUUGUAUGUUUGAGCAUAAAGUUAUGGUUUUUUGAAGUUGGCAUAAAAUACUGGUCCCAUAACUUAGAAAAAUUUGAAUGCUUCAUGGCUGAAAAUGACCUAUAAUGUUCUAAUGAAUUCCAUGGCCUUCCAUACAUAUUUUGACCUUGGUCCUUGAAUAAAACUUGUAUAGUGUAUUACCAAUGACAUUGUGAAAAAAGAAUCAACUCCAUAUGUUGAAAAUUGAAGAAGUUAUGAUAUUUGAAAGUUGACAAAAAGUCACUUGAAAAUAGGUCAAAUUUCACUAAGUCCACAAAUGACCUAUAAUGUCUCAAAACUUUGGACGAUCCUCCAAGCAUAAUUGGAUCUUUUCAUGUAAAGAGAAGUUGUAGAGGAUGUUGAGAAGAGUCAUAUGCAAAAAGGGGCAUUCAAAAAUGUUGAGAAUUAAAGGAGUUGUGAUCCUUGGAACUUUGACUUCAAAAUAUUGACUUUUAGGUCAAACCACUUGGAACAAGCUUGUGCACUUGGACUUUCCUUGAACUUCAAAGCACACUAGUGAUAAUAUGAACUCAAGAUAAGGUGUCCUUAAUUUCCUCUUGAUUAAAUGGCUCAAAUCUUGAAGUUACUUUUUGAAGAAGACAUGGAAAUAAACACAUGAACCUUUGACUUUUCUCGAGAAGUAAGCCAACAAACUUUGAGAUGCUUUUGACUCGAGAAGCCCUACAUUGCAUAAUAAAAUUAAAAGAAACAAGAAAUAUUUUUGAUAUUUUUAUUAGUGGUUAGAUAAGUAAUUAAUCAUAUAAACACAAAGGUAAACAAAGAGGUGUUUGGUGAUCCCUGCAAGAAGAAAACCCAAAGAUGGAUAAGGGAAAGGCCAAGAUGUGACAUUGCUUGUAUGCAAAAGAUGUAAAUGAGAUGUGGGAUCUUAGGGUUAAAAGUUAAGGUAUGACACCAGGCCUCUUCCAUGUUCUCUCUGCUUACUGUCGCCCGAGGAGACAUUUUAGUUGAUGGAAAUCCCUACAAGGAAAGGGAGAUUUGAAAGGGGAGGUGUGAAACUAUGGAACAAAGGUGUUUAGACUUUCAAAAGGGGUUAGUUGAGCUGCAGCAUAAAGUCAAACUUUUCGACUCUUUGUAAAAGGAUGAAAAGACCCACGAAUCUCUAUAUCUUUGUUGCCCAAGUAACUGAGUUGGAGUCCUCUCUUGCAGUGGAGGAGAAGAAACGUAAAAAGGCCUUUAAUUCUGUUAGUGAUAUGAACAACCAAGUAGAGGAGGAUCAGAAAAUUCUUUGACAGGAGGCCGAGGAUAAUGUCAAGGCCCUGAAAACUCUUAAAGACGAGGUCUCCCAACUAAAGGUGACGCUUCAUGAUUCCCUCCAAUGGACUAUACAAGUCGUGCACGGGUUCAUGAUUAGGUUAUGGAAUAUGAGAUGAGGUUCUUCCCUACUACUCUAAUUAUUGUUGAAGGGUUAAACCUCUUCUAGGAUGCUCCCAAGGGAACUCAGAGGGUGAUCUUGUUACCCCGACUUUGGGCGUUUAUGCUUGAGUGCUCCAGUUUUUCUUACUUUAUUACUUUCUUAUUUUCCAGGUCGUUGUGCCUCGGAUGUAACAACUAAUAAUUAUAAAAGUAUUUUAACCUUAGUGGGUUACACAUUAUUUGACUUUGAGUAUUAAUUUAUGGUUGUCUAUGAGUUGUUGUAGCGCUAGGGUUUACCUGUUGUCUCUGAAAUGUAAAGUUUGUUCACUACAGGGGCAUUUUUGGUGUUCCCCGACAAGCUACGAGACUGCUUCAUGGCAGCUACAAAGUGUUGUUUACUUAGGGUGUGAAAACCUUAAUCCUUUCCUUUUAACAGGAAAAGAGGUGUCUCAUUGCGUCAAAGUAUUUGGUAUGCUCUUUGAACUUUCUUGUCAAUGGUCUUUGUGAUUUACAUCUUAACACAUUAAAUUAUACUAGCUAUCAUGUUUGGUUUUUGUGUUAGUCUUAUGUAUUUAGAGUCCAUUGAUUUAGUGGAUAUUUGUUUUCCCCAUGGCGGGGUCUAGUUAUGGCAAGAUGUGUAUACAUCUUUGUGUUAUGCUCCACGUCACAGAGGACCGUUUCCUAGACAAUGGUAGGAUCCUCGUCCCUGCUCGAGGCUUAGCUUGGAUCGAGGUAGACGUCUUUGGGAUCCACUUCCUAACAUCCUUGGACUGGGUAGAUAUGAAGGGGGUGGGGGUGGGGGUGCCAGCUACGGAAAAAUAUGUUUAAUAUAUAUCGGCUAUAUAGAAAUACGUGUAGUGUUUAUCGAAUAUGUAGAAAUUCAUGUAGUUUUUAUCAGAUACGUAUAAAUGCGUAUAUUCUUUAUCAUACUCGCCAUUAGAAUUCUAAAACAAAGAUAGAUAAGAAAGCAUACGACAAUGGAACAAAAUAAUAGAUAAAUAAAUAUUUGUAUUCAUAAUGAAAUGAAAUUGUUAGAGUGAAAUAAUGGAAUGAUUAGAUAAAUAGACCUUCAAUCGUAACACCACUUUAGCGUGGAGAAGUUCCCAGUACUUGGUGUCUGUCCUCCCUUGGAUAUUCUGAGAAGUAUGCUCCUCUCUCUUACAGUAUCUCCUUCCUUCGGAUGGGGCGCUUGUGUAUUCAACCUUAUCUCCGUCUGACAUGAUAUUACUAGAUGGCCGACUUUGUCGAGGAUGUAGCUUGAGUACGACCGCUAAAAUAUUAGGGCCCUAGAGUCAUCUUUGUCGAAUAUUUCGGUACGCCACCUUAUGACCAUUAGGAUAAUAACAUUCUCGCCCCCGUCUUACUUUGGUGCAGAUAUCUGCCUGACCUGUCGAGACAUGACUCAAAAUAUGCUUAUAGGAAAUAUGGGCUAACAGUCGAAUUCCCAUGGAGCCAAGAGCAUGGCUAGACGAAUGGGGCGUUCCUUGAGAGGCCCAUCUCCCCAACCUUUACGGAAUAAGCUUGACCUUCUCCUUUUGUCUGGUAAUUUCUCUAUGAAACGAUGAUGUCUAGAGAGGGAUCAUAGAUAACUUCUAAUAAGAGGUGUCUUUGAAGGAUACUUGGUUUCCUUACUACCAAAGUUAGGGGUGCCACUCCCCUGAGCGUAUUCAACGAGUCUCUGUUCUUUUGCCGGGCCAACCAUGGGGAUUUGGCAGUUCGGCUAUGAUGGACAACGCAUUGGCGCUUGAGGAAUAUUGCUUAUGAGUUAUCUCGUAUAGACUCAAGCCUUAGUGGAAACCUCUACACUCAUUGGACGAUAUGUGUCUAUAGUUUGUUUAACGGUAUCGUUCUUUGACCAUAUUUAUGCUCCGGUGUCUCUAUAUUUCUUGAUGCAGCGCUCCAGAGUCAUAUGGAAAAGGAUUUUUACCAGAAGACUGCCAUUGGAAUCAACUGAUAUUCUGACCUAAGUUAUGAGGAAAAGGUGUAAAAGAGUCAGCAUGCUCAACAAACAAUUUCGUGAUGAAAGCUCAUUUCGCUUUAUUGCGAUUAUGUAAUUUCAGUUGUAAUACGAGCUUCAGCACGAUCUAUUGGAUUUGGCCUUAGGAGAUCUCCGUUCAACAAUCAACGAACCUUUGGUACCUAGAGAAGGCGUUUUGGUAGCGAAUCCAUGUCAACAUUAACUAUGAACUUGUCGUAUCUUUGACGUCACCAUGGUAAGUAUCAUGUUAGUGGUGGGCGAUAAUGGCGAUGUUAUAUUGGAAGAUGGAUCAUGAAUCUUUGGCACGAUCUUCAAGUAAACUGCCCCCAUUCUCUGGUAAUUUUAGUGUAAAUUUGGAGUUAGAUCUAGGAUCCUUUCUUUUUUGACUUUGUUGAGUUCUCAAGGGAAUCAGAGAUCUAGAAAUCCUACGAAUCAUAGUUGAAACGAUAACGGAUUGGAUCGAAUGCAAUGGAUCUCCUCAUUCGGUUAUGAAUGCUCCUGCUUUAAUGACUUGAGGAGGUUACAAACUGGUAAAUCAGAGAUUGAAUAUGAAAUCGUGGAAAUCAUAGGAAUCAGAAGUCAUUUUCCAUAAAUGGUGUCAUUGUUCCGAUCAGAAACAAAAAAUUUGGAUGCAAUUGAUGAACUAAAUAUCUUGAACCAGUUGUGCUGAUCUCCAUUGCGACGGUGCGGGAUGAACCUGCAUAAUUAACACUCCAACGAUCUAUGUUUUAAAAAAACAAAAAUUUACCCUAAAAUGCAGACAUUUCUAAAAUUCAUAAUAUUUGGAUGGUUCUUCGAAGCACAACAAAAUUCUCACGCGAACAAUUAAGUGUCCGUCGCAGUUUGAAUGUGGAAUAACAAUUUGAAUUGGAACUAGAACACCUAUCUCCACAAAUGACAACUAAGUUUUGAAGGGGAGAUGAUGCAUGACGCAUUAUUGUUGUCUAAUUUUGAAAGGAUAAAAAAAAGAUUUCUCAGUCUAUCCUAAUUUUAAAAAUGAAAUUUUUUAAAAUAAUAAAGAGAAACACAAAGAAUGUGACUUAAAAUAAAUGUUGACAUAAUAUCGCAUUUACUUUUUAAUUUUGAAGAGAAUUGAUAAAAAGAACUGACAUGUAUAUUAUUAAGAUAUCAUUAUUAUUAUUUAUUUUAAUUAAGGGUCUCAUAUGAACCUCGAAAGAUAAAAUAUAGUUUAACCUUCAAUAACUAAAAAAUAUAUAUAUAUAUAUAUAUAUAUAUAUCGUACUUUUCACUUAAUAGUGACUAACAGAAUACAAUUAUUUGUAUACUCACUAAUCCACACAUUUAAGCAACUAUUAUUUCUGUUACACUUGAAUUGAGAUCAAGCAAUUCAGAUUUUACAAUCUACAUUACACUUUUUCUAAAAUCAAAAUAUUACUCAGAACCUUAAAGAUCUACUAAAUGCCUUCCAAGAGAGUGGAUUCUGAAACUCUACAUCUUCUUUUCUUGCUCCAUUUUUUCUACCAAGAAAAGGUUUCAACAAUUUCUUAAACACCUUUCGAAAACCGGAACCGCGACACCUUCGUCCUUGCCUCACCUGAUUCACAAGAGGAAUUGUUGUUGGAGCAACACUAACGAGUCUUGGUUGUUGAGACACUGACCUUAGAUAUCUUGGUUCUGAUAAACUUCUUUGUAACAUUGCUUUGUUGAGUUGUGUCUCAAAAGAUAGCCUCUCAAAUUGGUCUAAUAGAGUGCUUUGUUCAUCUCCAAAUCUUUUUCGAAUCAUUGCUACUUCAUCCAUGUUGAUUGUUGUUGGUGAUGUUAUGUCAUUUUCAUUAGGUGAUAUAUUUUUAUACACAAAAAAACACACAAUGUCGCAUUGGAAGCUUAAAGGGUUCAUUUUUCUUUUAUAUUGGAUUAUACUAUUAGAUUAGGAUUGCAAAAUACUAGGACUCCUUGUUUAAGCAAGGUAUCGGACACAACAUUUGUCAUAAGAAUGUGGAAAGUGAAAAAGCUGCCAAAUAGUUUAAUACCAAUGGAAUCUUAUAUUAUAAUUAUUUGAGUUAAUAAAUGCGCUCAUAUAUCUUUGAUUGAUUUAAGUUAUAUUUGAUAAUUAAAUUUUUUUCAAAGAAAAUAAUUUUGAAAUCAAUUUAGGAGUGACAAGUGAAAUAUUAAAUUAUUUUAAUAGAUUUAAAGUUUUAAAAUAUAUUAUAUUAAAAUUUACAAUUCAAAAUAAAAAAUGAAUGAUCUGAGAACGGCGGAAAAUAUAAAAUAAAGGCUAAAUUUUAUUUUGUAUCAUCCAAUUUUAUCUGAUUCACAAAAUUAGUCACUCUAUUUUAAAUUCAAACAAUUUUGUUUUUUCUAUUUUAAAUUCAAACAGUUUUAAUCUUUCUUUCACGUAUUUUCAUAGAAAAUCAAUGAGAUUUUCAUCUUUUACCAUAUAUUUUUAUCUAUAAAGUUCAGCGGUAUGUUUCACUACAAAAAAAAUUGUCUGUAGCAACGUGAUAUUCACAUCACAGCGUGAAAAAUCACUUCACAACAAGUUUUUUGCGACGUGAACUUUCACGCGGCAGGAGUACGGGUGACAACUCUGUUGUCACGUGAAAAUCACGUCGCAAUUUUACCACGUGAAAAUCACUUCAUAACACGUUUUUCAAUUUUAUCUGUUGUAAUUCAGAGUAACAGUGAUAGCAGAUAAGGGGACAGUGACUUGUGAAGUGAUUAUCACGUGAAAAUCACUUCAUAACUUUGUUUCUUUUAUAAAAUAAAAAACUAUAAUUAUUGUUUUAUGUUUUAAUAUACUAAAAUUAAUAAUAAUUUUUUAAAAUAUAAAUAAAUACAAAAAUAAAUGAUUUUUUGUUUUUUGUUUUUUAAAUAUAAAAUAAUAAUAAAUUUUCUUGAGAAAUAGGCCAUUUGUUGAAGAAAGCAUGGAAAUAAACACAUGAACCUUUGACUUUUCUUGAGAAAUAGGCCACAAAAAUUUGAGAUGCUCUUGAUCAAAAUGAGAUUGAAAGAUGCUUGAGAACCUUAGAGGUCAUGCUUUGAAAAAUAAGCCCCAUUUAGAAUCAAUGGUUGACCACACUUUGACUUGAGGAAUCAACAAAAACCCUAGCUGAGGAACCAUGCUUGAUGCUCUUGAUGAAAAGUCCUACUUUGAACAAUAAACUUAAAGAAAACAAGACAUAUUUUUUCUAUUUUGAUUAGUGGUUAGAUAAGUAAUGAACAUACAAACACAAAGGUAAAACACCAACAAAGAGGUGCUUGAUAAUCCCUGCAAAAGGCAAACCCAAAAAUGAGAGGGAUAGGAUAAAGAUGUGACCAUGUUUGUAUGCAAAGAUGCAAAUGAUAUAUGGGAUCUUAGAGUUAAAAAUUAGGGUAUGACAUAUAAGUUUUAGUGGCGUGCUUAUGCAUUAUUGUCAGGUUGUAGCUUAUGCUUCGAGACAACUGAAGGUUCAUGAGAGGAAUUAUCCUACCCAUGAUUUAUAAUUAGCGACUAUGGUGUUUGUGCUUAAAGUUUGGAGACAUUGUCUAUUUGGCUUUAGAUUUGAAGUGUCCAGCGACAAUACGAGUUUGAAGUAUUCGUUCGAUCAAAAGGAACUAAAUAUGAGGUAGGGAAGAUGGAUGGAAUUUUUGAAGGAUUAUGAUUUUGGUUUGAGUUAUCAUCAUGGUAAAGCCAAUGUGGUAGCAGAUGCUUUAAGUAUGAAGUUCUUGCAGAUGUCGACACUUAUGGUUAGAGAAUUGGAUUUUAUUGAACAAUUUAGAGAUCUUAGUUUGGUGUGUGAGAAGACUCCUAACAAUGUGAAGUUGGGUAUGUUAAAGCUGACUAAUGGUAUUCUUGAAGAGAUCAGAGAAGGUCAGAAAUUAGACUUGGGAUUGAUUAAUCGAUUAGUGUUAAUCAAUCAAGAUAAGGAGGUGGACUUCAUAAUAGAUGAGAAUGAAGUUAUGAGAUUUUGUGAAGAGUUUGUGUACCAAAUUUUCUAGAGCUUAAGAAGAUAAUUCUCGAGGAAGGUGACAUGAGUAUUUUGAGUAUUCAUCUUGGUGCUACUAAAUGUAUCAAGAUCUGAAGAAGAUGUUUUGGUGGCCAGGAAUGAAGAAGGAUGUCGACGAGUUUGUGUAUUCUUGUUUGACUUGCAAAAAGUCGAAGUUCGAGCAUCAGAAACCGUUAGGAUUGAUGCUACCAUUGAGUAUUCUUGAGUGGAAGUGGGAUAAUAUUUUUGUGAAUUUUGUGAUGAGUUUUCCUAAGACUCUAGGGGAAGUGAUACGAUUUGGGUUAUGGUGGAUAGGAUAACGAAAUCGGCUCAUUUCAUUCCAAUAAGAUCAGGUAUCUGUUGCAGAAGUUAACUGAGGUGUACUUCAAGAAGAUCGUCAGUUUGCAUAGUAUUCCUUCGAGUAUUGUUUCAGAUAGAGAUUAGAGGUCCACAUCGAGGUUCUAGGAGAGUUUAUAGGAAGCCUUGGGAACUAAUUUGCAAUUGAGUUCUACUUAUCAUUUGCAUAAGGACAAUCAGACAGAUAGGACCAUCCAGUCGUUGGAAGAUUUUCUAAGAGCUUGCGUGUUGGAGCAUGGAGAUGAUUGGGAUACUUAUUUGUCGUUUAUUGAGUUUACCUACACCAACCAUUUUGAUUCUAGUAAUGGAAUGACACAAUUUGAGGCUCUGUGUGGUACAAGGUGUAGGAUGCCUUUGUGUUGGUAUGAUUUUGGGGAAAGUACAAUACUUGGACCAGAGAUCAUUCGGUAGACUAUUAAGAAGAUCAAGAUGAUUAGGAGAAGAUGAAAGCUUCGCAAAGAAUAUAGAAGAGUUAUCAUGAUAAGAGAACGGAAGAACUUGAGUUCUAAGAGGGAGAUCAUGUGUUCUUGAGAGUCAGUCCAGUGACAGGUGUUGGUCGUGCUUUGAAAUAUCGAAAUCUCACACUAUGUUUUAUUGGUCAUUACCAAAUUUUGAAAAAAGUAGGAGAAGUGGCCUAUAGAGUUGCAUUGUCACCAUCUCUUUAGAAUCUUCAUAGUGUGUUUCAUGUGUCUCAACUUCGGAAGUACAUUCCUAAUCCUUUGCAAGUGAUCCAGUUAGAUGAGGUGCAAGUUAGAGAGAACUUGAUAGUUGAGGCAUCAUUUUUGUGGAUUGAGGAUUGUGAAGUGAAGCACUUGAGAGGCAAGGAGAUUGCUUAGGUGAAGGUAGUGUGGGGAGGACCUCUUGGUGGAAGUGUGACGUGGGAGCUCAAGAGUUGGAUGGGAGAGUGUUAUCAUGAGCUUUUUCUUUCAGGUAAUUUUUUAGGGCAAAAAAUCUUUAAGCGGGGAGAGUUGUAACACCCCGAAUUUUAGUAUAUUAUUUUAAUUAAAUUAAAAUUAUUUUUAUUCGAUUAUUGGUGUAUUUGGUGUGUUUAAUGCUUUUUGGGGUUUAUUGGAGAAUAUAGAGAACUAAUGAGAAUUUUAAUUAUUUUAAAUAAUUAAAAUAAUAAAGAAAAUAGGAAAUUGAAGAGUUUGGGUAGAAAUUGAGAAUAACAAAUUAAUGUGGUAAAGUGGUGAGAGAUUAAGAAAAUAUUGGGGCUAAGUGUAAUAAUUAAAAGAUAAAUUAGAUUAAUAUAAAUUUUAAGAGAAAUAGUAUAAAUUCAGUUUUAGUUUGACAAUACGUGAAAAUUAGAGUUUUGGAAAAAAAAGCAUUUGGGAGAGAAGAGAAACAAUGGUUAUGAGGAGGAAGAAGAGCAAUAGUCAUAGAGAGAGCUUACUUGCCGGAAAUCUAAGGUAAUGGGAGAGAACUACUCUAAUAAUGAGUAUCACAUUUAUGAAGGAUAGUGAAAAAUCCUUACCCUCCUCUAGGUUUUUAUUUCUUUCUUUCUAUUGUUGAUAAUUGUGUGUUAUCAAUAUGAAUUGGUGAUGAAUAUGUUAUGAUUGAUGAUAUCAAUAUGAAUUUUGUGUACUGUAAUUGUGCUCAUUGUUGUUGAUGAUAAUUUGCCAUGAGUAUGAUUAUGGUUGUUAAAAGUGAUGAAUUUUUAUUCCAUUAACGUAAUUCUAAAUCUGUAAGUAAUUGAUGAAUUAAGUUGUUAAUUGAUGUGGAAUUAACAUGUUUAAUAUGAAAUAAUUAUUAUGUGUCAAAUUCUAAGCAUUUGACUUUUUAUGGAAUUUAAAAUCGGAGGUCUGGAAGACCUCAAAUGGUGAAAAAAGCAGAAUUAUGCAUUCUGUAGUGGUUCGACAUUUUGCAACGGUGACAACAUGCUUGUCAUUGUGUCUAGCAAAGUGACAGUAGUCAGCUUUGUGAGGGUCCACUCAUCACGACCAGGCUGAUUUUGUUCAAAUUAAAGUUUUAUCAUAAUUUGAGUUUCGUGAAUCCGUUUGAGGCGCGAUUUGAAGUGUUGGAAUGCUAACACGUAGCACUAUGUCAUGGUUAUUCCAUAAGAGACUAAAUAUGCAUUUAAGGGGGUUAAUAAAUUGUUUUACUUAAGCUGUAAUAUUAUGUGACAGUUAAUGAUAAUGAAAGAACUUUUAAUUAUUGUGAUCGAUUAAAUUGAUGUAUACCUCAUGAGGAGUGAUGUUGAUGUUGUUGUUGAUGUCGAUGCAUGAAUAAUUGUUAAGAAUUACAUGUAUAAUUAUCUGAAGUGUUAUAAUUAAUUGCAUAACUAUGAUUGGUGAAUUAUUGUUGUGCAUAAAUAUUAAUAUGCUACGAGAAGAUGUAUGUUGUUGUCAUGAUUGUUUAAGGCAUAAUUACACCAGAGAUCCUUUAAGUUAUUUUUUUAUAACAGGUUGAUCCUUUAUGUUUUUUUGUAACAACUUGGUCCUUGAAGUUAUCAAACAUGAGCACCGUUAUCGUUUUUUAAUAGAAUGAAGAUGCUAAUUGUGGAUGUAAUUGAUUUUAAUGGUAUGAAAAUGAUGAAGUGGAAACAGAAAUACAACAGUCACACAUUUCUAAAUGUUUAAAAUGUGAGAAAAUGAUGUAGAAAUCACCCUAAAGGAUCAAGUUGUUACAAAAAACUUAAAGGACCAACCUUUUACAAAAAUACAACUUAAAGAACCUCUGGUGUAAUUUUGCCAUGGUUUAAAUUAUGAAAUGGUGAGUCAUAAUGUAUUCAUGAAUAUGAUGUUUCAUGUUGGUUUCCUUAUUUGGCGUAAGUGUGCAUUUGUCAUGCAUCAUUUGUGUGUAAACUUCGAUUCGAUGGUGUGCUCUAGUCUAGUGGAGGGAUCGCAGUGAGUAGCUGAAUUCCAUAAAUGAGGAUUCAGUGAAGUGUUAUUGUUUCUAUGGUGAUGAUCAGUAAAUAUUUUGGUGUUCUCUAGUUUAUUAGUGGAAUCCGAAGCGAGUAGCUGGAUUCUAUAAAUGGGGAUUCAGUGAAGCGUUACUAUUUCUAUGGUGAUGAUCAAUAACGAUUUUGGUGGGCUCUGGUAUAGUGGUGUGACCGGGAGCGAGUUGGGCAAUAUCAGUAACAAAUCUCUGAUGUCCAAAUUAUUUGGUAUUGCAUUGCAUGAAGAAUUAAGGUGUUGUCACAUUUCAUACAUAUUUGCAUUAUGAUUGAGUUGUUAUUAUUGUCAUGAUAAAUGAUGUCUGUGGAUUAUGAAUUGAUGGUGUGUGGAUGAGUGAUGAAUGUGUGAUGUUGUUGUGUAAUACUUGUGUGUUGUAGAUUAUGAUAUGUAUUGCUACCUUUGUUAUGUUUUGCACCGUUAAUAUUUAGAGUGUAUUCUCACCAUUUUUUGUUUGUUGUUACGUUUGUGCUCCUCUAGGGAAUAGACAAUCAGGUUCAAGAGUAGAUGCUUAAUGCUAGAGAAUGGCGUUGUGCCUCUUUAGUUAUUUAUUGUUCGGGCCUUAGUGGAAUCGCUCUGAUAUGUAACAUUGGGGAACAAGUCAUUCUAUGUUUUCUUUUGUUGCAUGUCUUAUUUCUUUUGAGGAUUCUCGAACCACUUUCUCAUUUAUUGUUGUUGAGAAUUAUAUGUUAAACUUAUUGUUUUUCCACAACUUAAUUCUGAAAUUUGUAUUUUUGUGGUUCUUUUAUGCUAUGGUGAAGCAUGUGUGACAAUCUAUAUGUUGAGUUAUAUUGAAUUAUUUAGUUAAAUGCCUAGUUGAGGAAAUAGGAUGUUAAAAUAGUCACCAUGAGUGUCUUUGUAGUAUCUCAUCUUAUAAACUCCAAAAUCGUCCAAAAUCUUAGGAGCUUCAACCAAGUCUUCCUUUUUGGAAACAAUCUCAUUAACCUCAAGGAUCAACUUAACAAAAGAAGAGAAAAACAUAGGUCUCUUUGGAUUAUCCCUGCAUUGAAGCGUCCAUUCAAUGAUAUGACCUACCCAAUCAAAUGCAUAAUUUGUAAGAAGAUCCCACAUAAGGUAGAGGUUAAAUUCGUCAACCUUGCCACAAUUUUUGGGUUUCCUGUAGAACACUUUAACCGUUAUCCAGUGCAAAAUUUGCAUGUUGAACUUCACUUGACUAAUAGGGAAGUUUGACAUACCAAGGUUCUCAACCACAAAUUUUGAAAUCAAUAAGACAAAAUGAACUCUAUCAUACUCAGUCAGUUUAACACCAGUUACACUUAAAUAAUAAGAGGUUAAGCCAAGGUAUUUAUUAAAAUUUGUGUAAAUAAAUCUAAUUACAUUAUACUUGAGCCUACUUUAAAUUCCAAUAAGGGUUCACACAAGAUUACAAUAAAAUGCUUUAACAUAGUUAGGGUUAUACCUUGUGUUCAGUCCAAUAAACUUCAAUAAUUUAUGAUUAAAAAAAUGUUUCAGAAACUUAUCUCUUAAUUUAACUUCAACAGAGGCAUUAACAUGAUACUCAUGAUCAAUUGGCUUAUUCAGAAAUUUAUUUUGGUACAAUUCCAGACUGUCCUCAGGAAGAAUGUGUUUUACCUUAUGACACAAGGCAGUAGCAGUUUGGCUCUUAGAAUAUUUCUUCUUUGUAACCCUUGCAUUACGAGAAUCCUUGCUUGCUCGAACUUUUGUCCUUACCUUCUUUGGAAAUUGAGGAAGAGAAGGGCUUGAUGAAGACAUUGGUCUCUUUCCAUGUUGCUUAUCAGAGAAACUCUUUUGAGGGAGAUGAGAGGCCAUUGUUGAUGUUGAUAGAAUGGGUUUGGGGUGAUGGUGUGAAAAUGAUGAUGAUUGAUGAAGAUGAAUGAUGAAAUGGAUGUUUGAUGAUGGUGUUAUGUGAUGAUUAUAUUUUUUCUCAAAAAGGGUUUUGGUGGUUUGAAAUAGAAAUGAUAUGAAAAUGAAAAGAAAAAGAAAAAGAGUGAAAAUUGAAUGACAUUCAAAAAAUAAGCGUGACUUUUCAGUUUGUGAUUUAAAUCAUGUGUAAAAGCUUAUUUGAAUCACGGGUUUUAUUUUUUAAGAGAAAAGCACUUUGAUUCGAAUCAAGUGCAACGGCUGAUUCAAAUCAAUUUGAACAGUCCCAAAAUGUUUCAAGUCCCAGGCUUUUGAUUCAAAUCAGAUUCAAAUUAAAAAGUUCAUUUUUGAAUUUUUUUUUGAUAAAAUGAGGGUUUUCAAAUUCAAUUCAAUUUAAUGAUGAGAAAUAUCUUUAAUGAAAAUGAAAAAUGGUCUUUAAUGGUAUGCAUGAAUGUAAAGAAAAAUGAGAUUUUUUAAUGCAAAAUGCAUUUUGUUGUGAAUGAAAAAAUAAUUUUGAUGCACAAGAAAUCGAAUGGUGAUGCAUAUAUGUAUGAAUAAUACACAUGAAUGCAAUCAACAGACGAAAUAAAAAUUACACUGAUGCAUUGAAUGUUUGAAUGAUUAAGACAUGAAAUGCCCAAACAUAAUAUAUACACAAACAUGUUUCAAGCAUACAACACAUUUAGUCAAUAGAAUAAAUACAACCAUGUAUACUAAAAAGAAAUAAAAGAGGGUUGGAACAAUCAUACCAAUUUAGACGGUCUAGGCUUAACUUGCUGCACACGAGAACAAUAAGUAAUCAACAAAAAGAAUAUCAUAAGCUUUGAAAUACAAACAAUCAUAUACUAAUUGGACACAAUCUCCUUUUACACGUCUGAAGAAUACUAUCAUAAUCUCAUUCAUAAGGCUUUAGACAAACUUUGAAUGAUGGUGGUUUGAUUAUCACUGAUUGACACAACUUGUCAAUCCCAAAUAAUUGAUUCAACUCUUUGACGAUCGAUAGCCCUUCAAGGAGUAUAUUUUAUCCUUGAAUCUUUUUUAAUUAUUGAAACUUUGGAGAAUCAUUGACAAUAGUAAUAAAAUUGCCUUUAUAUUAUUUUUAUGAUAACCUUGGAAGAAUAAGUCACUUAGAAGUUGCUUUUUGUUCCUUUCUUUUUAUCUCACAAAACUUUUAGCAUGUUUUAGUGUGAAUGCAUGUUCAUCAUUGAUUAAGAUCAAUCAAUAGCAAACUGAAAGACAUAGUGUCAGGUUUCUGGUUACACUGCACGUACCUCAAAAUAUUGUCAGUUCAAUCCUUGAUGAAUCAAAACUUAAAGAAUAUCUUAAAUACAAUUAAUGUUUGAAGAACACAUUAGUAAGGUUUUACUUUAAGUUAAUCUAUGUAAUGCGUGCAACGAAUAAUGUUACAUUAGUAAAUCAACAUAGAUUCAUUGGAAUUCAUUGAAUUGCAUAAGCUUCCAAAUGAUUAGAAAAACUCGUCUAGAAUCGAAGGAACCAUAUCCUCAACUUUGGAGUCGCGGGACUUUAACCAAAAGACUUGUUCUUAUACCAAUUGUUGGGUGAGAAUAUGGACACAAAGAGGUCAAGAAGGGGGGGGGGGGGGGGGNGGGGGGGGGGUUGAAGAGAACUCUUUCCCUUUAAAAAAAAUCAAAAACAUUUUAGGUCGCACAAACGAAAUCAUAGGUUUUAAGAAGUACAAAAGAAAAAUACAAAAAAAAAGAGCUUGGAAGCAUCUCAAUGAAUUAGACCAAAUGAAAUAAUACAUGAUGUUACUAAGUUCUCAAUUGCUUAUAAUGUAAGUCAAUCACAAGACAACCAAAGUCACUUUAAACAAAGCGAUUUAAAAACUAUUCACGUAGAAUAUUUUAUCAAGCCAUAAUUGGAUUCAUGAUGAUUCUAUAAGAUUGAUGCACCACUGAACUAAGCUUAUACAUAAAGUCUCUAUAAGCAUAGUCGAACUUAUGUGGCAUACAAUCAAUGCAACUAUGCAAUAGCGAUAUUAAUGGAUGCUAGUAAAAUAAAGGGGAUAAGGGAAGAAGAAAAGAUACACAGAGAUAUAUAGUGGUUCAGCGUGCAUCCUCAUUUUCCUACUCCACUCUUCAAUGGUGUUAAUUAACCACUGAAAAAUAAUCACUGUCAUCCACUAUUUUGAUAAUUUUGAUACACGCAUUUUGGUUACAACAAACUAUCACAUGAUAAUUCCCUAUGUUAAUGCGGACAAUUAAACUGCUAACAAAAACAAGAUCUCUAAAAGAUCUCCAUCCAAUAACCUUGCUAUACACAAUAACCUGCAAUAAGUAUUCGUGUGUGGUAAUCCACCUGAUUCCACCAAUUUCUUGUCCGAACAAUUUCCAUUAGCUAAGUGUUGAUUGGAUAACUCCCAACUUUGUCUGUGAGCAAUCUUUCUCCAACUCCAACAAAGAAGGAUAAAUUGUAACUCCGCCUUACGAACAAUUGAUACUUGAGCUUUCCAAAGUCUUCCUUAGAGUAUAUUAAAACUUUCCCUUUGAUAGACAAUAAUAAAAACCAAAUUGCAUUCAAGAAAUGAUACUUGCACCUGUUACAAAUAGCAAACUUCACACACACAAAUUAGAUACCCUUAUGUACCACUAGUCUUCUUCAACACUCAAUCUUUAUAGAUGAAGGUCCUAAACAAUGGAAAAAGAUUAAGGAUGAAGAUAAUGAACCGUGCCAGAAUAUCUCACAAACAAUCUAAAAAUACAAGGUGUUAGUCAAGGAAUUAAAUGAAUGUGAAUGAAGGAUGCACACACACGACUCUCUCAAAUUUAUGGGUGAAUGAGUCUGGGUUCUUGGUUGUUAUCGUGAGCUUAAUUAAUCAUGAACUACACGAUAAGAUUAAUUAACUAAAUCUCUUUAAUUCACUCAAAACAAAAACAAAUUUCACAAGCAUAAGAUGAAAUAAAAAUAAAUGAAUCUGACAUGGAAUACACUAAAAAGGUGGUUUUACAGAAUAAGAGAAAGGUUCAUGGUUAUGGGUAUAGACAGACUAAGAAGAGAAUACAAAUUGACAUUUUUAUCUCUAUGGGUUUCACCUAUAUGUUUCACACACUUGUUUCUUUCACCAAAGAAACAACUAUUUAAAUCAAGGAUGAAAAAUGGGUCUUGUGAAGCUUUGAUUCGAAUCAAGAAGAAACUUUUAUUCAAAUCAAUUUGAGCAUAGCCCAAAUAUAGCUUCAGAGAGACAAUUGAUUCAAAUCUAGAAUUUAACUUGAUUCAGAUCACAUAAGGUCGUGAUUCAAAUCAUGUUCAUUUUGUGAUUCAACUCAAUUUGUCUAGAGGCAGUUCUCAAUUUCAUAAGGCUUCUGAUUUGAAUCAUGAUUAACACUUGAUUUGAAUCAAGUAAAUCAACAUCCAAAAUUUAAAGGUCUAACUUUUGAUUCAAGCCACACCUGAUGAAACGAAAAAGUAGUGUAAGACCCUAAUUUUGACCCUAAGAUCCCUCAUGUUAUUCUCAUCAUAUGCAUUGGCAUUGGGAUCACACCUUGGAAUCCUCCUUACCCCUCUUUCAUUGGGUUUGUAUUGGGAUAGAUCACCAAGCACCAUGUGAUUGUAUCUUACUUCAUUUUCCUUUAUUUUUACUAACCAAAAUACCACAAAUAUGUCAUUGUAUAGCUUAACUCUUUUGUAGGUAGUGCACAUGCUCAUCUAUCCUCUAUCAAGUUCAUAUCUAGGGUUUAAGACCCUUAAUGCAAGGAGCUCAAUCAAGGAAUGGUUUAAUAUGGCUCUAAGUAUCAUACAUGAAUCCCCAUGAUCUUCACAUGUUAUUUUGAUCAAGAAAUCAUCAAGAGUUUGGAGUUGGUUUGCCUUGGAAACCCUAAUUCAUCUAGGUAUCUUAUGUAACUUCUUCAACAAGUUUCUUUAACAAUUGAUCAAAUAUUUCAAGGGAUGCUUCACAUUUCAUCAUCUUAUGCAUAUAUGAUCCUCCAUGAGUCCCAAAAGUCAAAAGAAUAGCAAGCUAGCAAGUUGGUUCAUGGUGGUUGACUAGAGGAAUUCAACUUAUCAAAACUGGGGUUCCCUAGACCCUAUCUCCUACAAUUUUUGUCAUAUGAAAAUGAUUCCAAGAGAAACGUUACUCUAAAUGACAUUCCAAACAACUUUCAUGUUGAGGUCUAGAUCUAGUUUUGCUUGGAAAGUCAUUUUUUAUGGUGAAAGAUUGUAGGAUAUUUUGUCUAAACCCUAAUUUGGAGGUCAACUUCCCAAGACCAUAACUCGACCAAUUUUUAUGAGAUGAAAUCCAUUCAAGUUGAAUAAUCAAAUUUAAGAUGUCUACUUCAACUUUUAUGCUUGAAGGAAGUGAAAAUUCAACUUUUAAAUGCAUUUGAUAUGAGGAAACAUUAUAGGUCAUUUUGGGCCAAUACCAUUGAACAAGUGAUUUUCCUCAACUUCUAAAAUGCAUGACUCCUUCAUGAUAAAUCCAAAUGAGGUCGAAUUUGUCACCAAUUUGAAGGACUUUGGAAGAGGUAUAACUUUGAUGAAGGAACUUUUCUCAUUUGAAGCCCAUAGAAAACGUUAUUCAAGGUGGAAGAAGUGAACAUAUGGCUUGGUACUUAGAAAUUUGUUUCAUAUGUUUGAUUUUCCAAACUUCCACCUCAAAAUUCAUCAUGAUCCACGCUUCAAAUGAAAAAGUGUUAAACAUGAAAGUUGUUUCUCUUGAUCUAAACUUUUUAAAAAGUCCAAAUUCAUCCCAUUUGGACAAAGUAUGAAUGACUUGCGCAUGGCUUAAAGUUGAAUGACCAUUUGGAAUAUUUGAACUUCCAUUUCUCAUACACGAUUGCAUGGCCUUUCCACGUGACUUCAGCAAUGCUUACACAUGAUUUUGGACCUGAAUGCAUCAUUACAUGGGCCUAUCACACGCCCAUGCAUCCAUGCAAAGGCAAUUCUCUAUUUUUGAACUUUUGAAAGAAGUGUGCAAGUAUCAAAGGUUUUGGCUAUAAAUAGAAGUGUCUAUGCUCAGAAUUAAGGACACUGACGCGCCAGCUUUGAAUCAGCAACCCUAAACCUCCACAUUCAAAGGAUAACCUUGAGGAUUUUCAUUGAAAAUCGAGUUUAAAUCCCCCACUGUUUUGAGAUUCAAAACUCCAAGAGUCCUUCUUCU
rnacentral:lncRNA from 1 species